GGUGGCAUGUAAAAAUUACCUUGUCCCGGCAAGAAAUAUAGCUCUCUCCCCAACCACCAUCAUCUCUUUGUGAUUUGAGUAGAAACUCAACAGCUCUACCAAUAGCAAGACAGUUGUGGUAAGUCUUGCCAGCAGCUGCUAGGCCUCCAAGUGCCCACCAUGAGCUAUAGAUGAAACAUACUCCCCACUUGCCAUACCUGGUGAAAUGCUUCUUUGUUUAAAUGGAUCUGCACUGCAUAUAUAAAAAAAUAAUUCCCCAGUGAAAUAGUAAUAGUGGAUUUGAGAAACAAACCAUGAGCCAUCAGGCAUUUGUUGGUCUUCAAUGUACUUGGUAGCAUUUGUGAUGAAAUUGUCUAUCUCCUCCGUCCUGUGUUCGGGGUAUAACUUCUUAAACAAAACUAGAGCCUGAAUUGCUGAUGCAGUGCACUCAACAUACCUGGAUCAUCGUUUUGUUAGUCUCCAAGGAAGUUAAAUCUAGUAGAGUUAGAAAAGAAGGUCUAUUAUCAAGAAUCUUACUCAUGCUCGAUGACAAGGUCUUCAAACAUUUCACUGGGGUUGAGCAGCUGAAAAGAGAAGGGAUUGGCAUUGAUUUAGAUUCAAAGGAUACAGAGAGAGAGAGAGAGAGAGAGAGAGAAAACGGAAACAUUGAAGUUAUUUAAACAUGUUGAAGUAAUUUACCUCCAACCAUUCUGAAGCUCCUGCAGGCUCCCAGCCUACUAUACCACCAUUUUCACUCUACAGUGGUUUCGAAAAGAGGGGUUAUUGCUACUAAGAAGUUAUGACUUGUUUUGUGAUGGGGGAAACCAUGCAAAUGGCCCAAGGAAGAUGGUUCUCACCUGUAGGGAAAGCAGGAUGUUGACAGAAUCAAAUAGCCGUCCAGGUUCGAUCUUCAUACCAACAAUUUCUGGUGCCAUCAUUGAAAAGAGGAGACAACACUGUAACAGAGAGGGGACUUUAGUGAGAAACCAAGUGACUUUAGUUAAUUUGCAAGCCCUGACUCAAUUGAAGUGUUUGAGCAGAAAGAGUUACCUUCAAACCUUCUGCAGUGCAAUCAGAAACUUGCCAACCAUGAUCCUUAUCUGAGAAUGUCCACGAUCCUUUGGAAAUGUGGCGGUACAUGCUUUUAAAGUCACCGGAAGGAUUGUCCUUGACCUUCAAGAUUUCAAGCAAUACGAAGUAAAUGGACCAUGAGAAACCAAAGUAGAUUCUGGUUAAAGUAAAGCCAUAAACAAUGGAAUUCAAGAUCAAACCUGAGAUUCCUUUAGGAAUUCAUGGCCUUUCUUUAGCGUAGGUCCAAUUUCAUUGGUCAUAUUGCAAGCUAGCAGUGCUUGAAGGGCAAGACUAGUGUCCCACUCUUGACUACCAAAGGUCUGCAACAAUCGACAAUUUCAAAACCAAUUAGGCAGGAAAGGGACAAAAGCAUAGCUUCAAACCAAUUGCGUACUUGAAAAAUUUUAAGAAAAAGAUGACUGGAUAUUAUCUAUUUUUUCUACAACUGUUUGGGAGAUUAGUGAUUGAACUUGUUUUCUGACCUGCAUCUUUAUUCCAUCUUCUCCAACCCAUAUAUAAUCUGGAAUCCUAGCAAGGUGCUUCUUGAAAUAAUCCCCGUUUGGAUCUUCAACCCAACAUGAAAGCAUACACAACACCUAUUCAAUUUAAGCCAUAUUAGCACCCCAAAGAAGAGAUAUACUGUCUGAAUAGACAUUAUCCAUUGCAGAAAAAUUACCUUCUCCACACAUCCAAUGGUAAUGUAUCGACUGUUUUCAUCUUCAUAAUGGAUGUGUUUCAUUGUUACUUCAAGAGCCUUCUUUCUCAACUUGUUGAAGGGCCAACGAGUAAGAAGAGGCUCGGUACAUAUGUACAAACUAUCCCACAUCAUAUCUUGUAUUAGGGGGUGGGGGUAGUAGAGAUCCUCCUGCAAUAAACAAUUUUGAAAGUGUGUUUCAUGCAUGCGUAGCAUAUUCAUCGGAAAAGGAAAAGUGUUCCAUACAAAAUCAAAACUUACUUUUGCACAAAGAUGCCGUACUUUCUUCCAGUUGAUUUCAUUAUAUGGUUGAAGGAAGAGCUCUUCUCUCAGUUCUAGAACAAGAGGCGUGAUUGGGCCAACGAAUCGUUUACCAUAUAGGUAUGACAUGGGCAUGAAAAUCAACCGACUGUAGCACCAAAUUUUUGCUGCAUUGAUCGUCUCAAAUUAUAAGAAGCUAGACCAAAGAUAGGAAAGUGUAAGCUAAACCAAAGUAGACAUGGGAAUGGCAUUUCUUAAGACUAAUAAACCAUCCCCAGGUUGAAUUUGUAAGUAUUCAUGCGUGAUUUUAUAUUUGUAUAAGGCUGAAGUUACACAACUUUGGGCUUAGCAUUUUGAGUCAGUGUGACCAAUUCCAAGUUUUAUGCAAGAUGGCCUUAGGAUGUAAAAUGCAUUAAGUGCAGAAGUAGAUGUUAAAUUCAAGCACUUGAGUAGAUUGCUACACCACAAACCUGGAUUCAUAGGAAGAUGAGAGGGGAAGAGUGAAAACUCUGGGGGCAUUGGGUUGCUUCCUGACCAGUCAAACAAGCCAAAAAUCUACACGGAAGAAACAAUAUCAUAUAAGAUUCAGUCCAUCACACAAGAAUGCAUUGUAUAGGAUGAAUGUGAACUUGUGUUUGAAAUGGCCAUACUGAAAGCCAAAUCUUUCCCCAAGUGGGAAUGGAUGUCACUCCACCACGAUUGAGGAUCCAUUUACGCCCUCUUGCACAAGCAUUGUCUCUACCACCAUCGCGCCCUUCUCCAAGGAUACGCAUACAAACGUAGCUGAGUGUUGUACAAAACAUGAUGCUGUGUUCCUCAAUAUGCAAUCCCCACCCACCAUCUUCAUUCUGCAAUGUACAUAAGCCAUUUUCAUACUUCAAAGCUCCAAGCUCAUUUAUGAUGUUAGGAUGAUGACUAGGUUCAAAAUAUAUAUACCUGAUGACAGUAUAGGUAGCGAAGAAUUUCUUUACGAUAUUCUCCAGGGAAUACAGUGUCAAGAUGCCCUGUAAUGUAUAGACACAUGACCUGCAUUUUCCAUGAAAUUAUUCCAUUGAGAAUGGCUAUUAAAAUGGUCUAUAUACAUGAUUUUAAGGAGGGUGAGAAGAUGUUAAGUAGACUCACCAGGGGAGGAAGGAAAAACAAGGGGCCGGAAUGUUCAGCAGGCCAAUGGCCAUCACUUGCCUGCAAGGCUGAAAAGAAAUGUGCACCCCUUCUCACUGCUGUUGUGGCUGUCUCUUCUGCAAUUUCUUCACCAUCCCCAACCUUCACUUGUGGUAUUGUUUGUUUGAAAUUUUUCUCUCUCAAAAACUGUAGUUUUUUUUUUGCCCAAAUGAAAUGCGAGUUAGUGAAGAACAAGUUUAAAAGAAAAGGUAAAUUAACCUCAAAAGUAAGCAUCUAUUUAUACAAUUGUUCCAAGCUAAGAGAACCAAGAUAGAGUUACAAUUGUUAAAACACAUAAUAUAUAUUUUGGGUCCAAAUACUACAAACUUAACCUUUUAGGAAAUUAGUUGUUCAACAUGGUAUCAAAACUCGAUUUUGGAAUGGGUCUUACCCUCUCCUUGUCCAACAAUCUGGUUGAUGGUGUCUCAACAAGCUCAAAAGAAAAGAAAAGAAAAGGCAAAUUAACCUCAAUAGUAAGCAUCUAUUUAUAUAAUUGUCCCAAGCUAAGAGAAUCAAGAUAGAGUUAACAAUUGUUAAAGCACAUAAUAUAUAUUUUGGGUUCAAAUCCUACAAACUCAACCUUUUAGGAAAUUAGUUGUUCAAUAUAGUAUCAAAACUCGGUUUUGGAAUUGGUCUCACUUCUCAUUAUCCGACAAUUUGGUCGAUGGUCUCUUAACCUAGGGCAUGGUGUAUGAGGGGAAUAUUGUUGGGUUUUCCAUAUCUUUUAUAGAAGGAAUUGGGUGACUCCUUAUCAGUACUGUGAGGGGAAAAUCUCACCCUUUAAGUUAAUUUUUGGGGUGGGAAGGCCCAAAAUCAUCCAAUGGUAGUAUCCCCAAUAUAUUUUUUCUUUUUUACUUCAUGAUAUCAUAAUUAACCUCAUUUAGUGGGAGGUGAACGUCAUAUGGUGGCCUGAAAAUACAUGUUUGAAGUCAAGUGGUUUCAAUACAUGUUUCUUUUCCCAAUACAUCAAGUUCGCAUGCAAGCCUGGAAAUAGAAGCUGCACAUGUAAGAGGGAGAGAGAGUGAGAGAUUAUGGUUGUUUGGUGGUGAAAACAUGAUUCUAAAGAGGGCCCCAUAUCUUGCGAUUUUUUGGGUUCCUUUUUUCAUAGAAAUCAUCACCCAUAAUCAAAUAAAUGGAAACAAAACAAGAAAAGCUAUGUAGCUAGACUACGUAAAACAACAAGUAUGUAUGCAUGGAAGACACGUAUAGUCAGUGAAAAACUGCAAUCUAGGACGCAGAUGACAGAUCAAUAUCUGUUGUGAUAUCAAGACUUGAGAUAGAUGGGAUCAAAUCACCUGCAUCCGCCAAAGGAGGUCGCUGCUGGGCUUAACCUGAAACCGGUUUUUCCAGAAAUUUUCACGAGCUGCUUCGACCUCAGCUCGCUCUUCUGGGGUUCCAUAAUCAGGAUCAAACUCCCAUAUCUGUCUUCCCACGAAGUUGUUGGUGCUGUAGAUGUAGGGAUCAUUGCCUCCAUCUGCAACCUUGAGCCUCCACAUUUUCAAACUCACCAAACUGACGAGAUAUAUCUCUAUAUAUAUCUAAGUUUACAAAUAUGUGUGUCUCCCUUCCGAAAACACCUGCUGAUCAUGCAAUCACCAGAAAGGUAAAACAAGCUUUUCUUUGCAGUAAAAUUAAGUUAAAAUGAUACAGACCAAGGACAGAAAGAUAGGUGCUGGGUGGGCAGAGAAGAGAGAAACUUCAGAAACUUGGAAUGGCGAGUUCCAGGAGGGAAUCGCUCAUUCAUAUAGAAGCACAGCAGCAAGUCAAUCACCAACCCCCAUGACUUGUAUUUAUGAAUGAGAAUACUAACAUUUAAUUUAUGCUUAUCUAUGUAUAUGCAUUGAUGUUACAUAAAUUUGUACAUUUUUAGAAAUUUAUUUUGGGAGUCCAGGGACAGUCCCUGAUAGAUAUCAGUCGUUCAAUCCUAAAAUUAAUAUACUUUAAGGUUAUGUUUGGUUCUCGGAAAAUACUAAGGAAAGAAAAAAAAUACAAAGAAAAAUGAUUUUUUCAUGUUUGGUUGUUCUAUAAAAAGUAUAAAAGAAAAUGAAAUAUAAUUAAAAUUAAUUAAAAACUUAUGUAUUUUUAAAUUAUUUAAUCUUUAUAUUGAUGAGUUAUAAUAAAUAAAAUGAGUUUGAAAUAACAAAAAAAAUAAUUUAUCAACUUUUAAUCCAUUGUUUAUUUUCCUUCACUUUUUCUUUCCUUUUAUUUUUCCUUUGUAUUUUCUUUCCCUUGCAUUUUCCCUCAAAUUUUCUGGAAACCAAACAUAGUCUAAAACAUACAUGAAGAAAUGACACAUCAAUUAGGUAUUGUAUCAACUAACAUUCAAAUGGAAAGUCUCAAUCAACUAACAUGUGAAAGAUUCCAUUUUUGCAAACCCCCAAAAAUGGAAAGGAAAUAAAUGACCUUCUGUGUUGUUGCCAUCAGUUAUAAUUAUGGUUCUUGUGGCUGUUCUUAGGAGAAAUGGCCACCAGUAUUUGAACAUAGAGUAGAUGUACUAUAACUUCAGAAACUUCAGAAUCUUGGAAUGGCGAGUUCCAGGAGGGAAUCGCUCAUUAAUAUAGAAGCACAACACCAAGUCAAUCACCAACCCCAUGACUUGUAUUAUUUUGGGACAGUCCCUGAUACAUCAAUUAGUCAUGUUUAAGUGACGUUUCACCAAUUUUUCCCCAACACGUCCAAUUAAAGUCGCAAUCAAAGCAAAAAAAUUUAAUUUAGAUGGUGGACAUGUGAAAAAUUCCAGUUUUGCAAAGGAAAAGGAAAUAAUUGACCUCUGUGUUGUUGCCACCUGUUAUGAUGGGUGUUCAUUUUUCUAUGGUUGUUGUUCUAAGGAGAUAUGGCUACCGACAUUUGAACAUGGAUUAGACGGCAAUGCUAGAUUUUUUUGGGGGGAGAAUUGUGCUUAAGGGAGUCCACUUGUUCAUAAUGGGUCAAUUAUCCUUCAAAAUCAUAUAAUUGACAAUUGAUAAGAAGGAUAUAAACUUUAGAGAGACCAACGUACCUUUCAAAGUUGUUAUGUCCCUUAACACCCAUACUUUCACCUAUCGUUGAAUUAGAAAAGUUAUCAAUUCAUAGUUUAUUCAUCAGACUGACAGUUAAACUAUAGUCGAAUUGAUGAUGUCAUAAUUAUAUAACUAAUAUAUUAUUAAAAUUAAAAAUAGUUACAAAAAUUAAAAUAAUAAUUUAUAUAUUAUUUUAAAAUCAAAAUUUUAUUUUAAAAUCAUAAAAUUAUUUAAAAAACAGAAAAUUAGUUUCAAAUCAUAAAUUUUAAUUAAAAUCAUAAUCUUAAUUUAAAAUUAGAAAUUUUAAAAUUUAUUUUUAAAUCAUAAACUUAUUUUAAAAUCGGAAAUUUAUUUAAAAUCUAAGGGACACAAAGUUUUUAGAUAUUUAUUUAAAAUCAUAAUGUUUUCAUUAAUUUAAAUUAAAAUCACAAAUUUUAAAAUAUGAAAAUGGGGAGAAGAGCUGCUAAAGAAAGGAGGAAGAGGGGGCAGCAGCAGGGGUUGGGAAGAGUAGUGGUGGUCGGAUCGGCUAGUCCGAUUGGGUUUUUAAAACACAACUUAACACAUAAAAUGGAGAAUGGUUCUAAGGAGAAUUUUAUGGUCCGGUGUACCAAAGUUAGAUUUUUGACUCUUGGAUUUAUAUAUUUAAUUGACUUUUGAUUUGCAGUGUACAAACGAAGAAGAAAAAAACUUGUUGUCAAUUUCUUGUUGGGGGCUUUUUUUUGCCAUCAGUUAUAAUUAUGGUUCUUGUGGUUGUUCUUAGGAUAAAUGGGCACCAGUAUUUGAACAUAGAGUAGAUGUGAAUCAUGUGAUAGCCUACUUACAUAACUCCACACCCAACCAAAUCAACAACUCACUAUUUAAGACAAAUAUAACAAUGUGUAUCUGAGUUUACAAAUAUGUGUGUCUCCCUUCCGAAAACACCUGCUGAUCAUGAAAUCACCAGGAAGGUAAGACAAGCUUUUCUUUGCAGUAAAAUUAAGUUAAAAUGAUACAGACCAAGGACAGAGAGAUAGGUGCUGGGUGGGCAGAGAGGAGAGAAACUUCAGAAACUUGGAAUGGCGAGUUCCAGGUGGGAAUCGCUCAUUAAUAUAGAAGCACAACAGCAAGUCAAUCACCAACCCCCAUGACUUGUAUUUAUGAAUGAGACUAUUAACACUUAAUUUAUGCUUAUCUGUAUAUAUGUAGUGAUGUCAGCCAUAGUAACUUGAUUUCUAAAUUCAUGAAUCUUGUAACAUAAAUUUAUAGAUUUUUAGAAAAUUAUUUUGGGAGUCCAGGGACAGUCCCUGAUAGGUAUCAGUCAUUCAAUCAUACAAUUAAUAUGGUUUAAGACAUACAGUCCCUGAUACAUCAAUUAGUUAUGUUUAAGUGACGUUUCACCAAUUUUCCCCCAACACGUCCAAUUAAAGUCGCAAUCGAAGCAAAAAAAAUUAAUUUAAUUUAAAUCAAAGCAAAAAACUGGACAUGUGAAAAAAUCCAGUUUUGCAAAGAAGAAAAAACAAAAAAAAAAAGAAGAAAAAAAGAAAAGGAAAUAAUUGAUGGGUGUUCAUUUUUCUAUGGUUGUUGUUCUAAGGAGAAUUGUGCUUAAGGGAGUCCACUUGUUCAUAAUGAGUUAUUGUGAAUUGACAAUUGAUAAGAAGGAUAUGAACUUGGGUUAUUUGAUUAAAAGGGUCUCUCAAAACCUAAUUUUUGAAAUUUAACCUCCCACCCUUUUUUGGUAUCAUUUGGACAAAAAUAUCCUUAUUAUUUUCUUGUAAAAAUAAUUAUUUCUUUAAAACCUACAUGUAAAUACUUGAAAUAGAAAAGGGCAUUUAUGUUAAAAAUGGAUUACUUUUUCAGAAAAAACAUGGGAAGGGUUUGAUUUUCAAUUUUGGGGAUUAUUUCAUCCCUUUUAACCAAAUAUUUCUAUAAACUUUAGAGAGACCAAUGUACCCUUCAAAGUUGUUAUGUCCCUUAACACCAAUACUUUCACCAAUAGUUGAAUUAAAAAAGUUAUCAAUUCAUAGUUUAUUCAUCAAAUUGACAAUCAAACUAUAGUGGAAUUGAUGAUGUCAUAAUUAUAUAACUAAUAUAUUAUUAAAAUUUAAAAUAGUUACAAAAAUUAAAAUAAUAAUUUAUAUAUUAUUUUAAAAUCAAAAUUUUAUUUUAAAAUCACAAAAUUAUUUACAAAACAAAAAAUUAGUUUCAAAUCAUAAAUUUUAAUUAAAAUCAUAAUCUUAAUUUAAAAUUAGAAAUUUUAAAUUUUAUUUUUAAAUCAUAAACUUAUUUUAAAAUCGGAAAUUUAUUUAAAAUCUAAGGGACACAAAGUUUUUAGAUAUUUAUUUAAAAUCAUAAUGUUUUCAUUAGUUUAAAUUAAAAUCACAAAUUUCAAAAUAUGAAAAUGGGGAGAAGAGCUGCUAAGGAAAGGGGGAAGAAGGGGUGGCGGCAGGAGUUGGGAAUAACAGUGGUGGUUGGAUCAGUGUGGACCCCGCAUUUUCGGCUCAAUGCGUUUUCCACUCGAAUGGCGAGCUCGAUUUUUAUUUGAAAAAUUGAUUUUUAUUGAUUAUUUGAAAAUGACUUGGAGUCGCCACUUAUUUUUGUUUUAUUUUUAAAGGGUAAACAAAAUAAGAAAGAAAAACCCUAAGUGUGACUCCUUAUUUUGGAAAAGGUGAUCUACGAAAACCGGAUCGGGUUCGGGGGUCAGGUUACUUAUCGAGAAGGUACGGUAAAGACCGUAGCACCCCUCUAAGUCCCUAAGUUGGGUCUCUACUAAUGAGAUGAAGCUGAUAUGACAAUCAAUGAGAAAAUCAAUAAAUACUUGAAUCAAUCAUGCACACAUGAGAGUCAGAAAAUGCAUAUAAACUAACCAGAGUGGGAAUGAGUGCAUACCUGUGCAGCGAGCCACUAUGCGCUAUCAAGAGAGAGGGUUAGUGCAAAAUAAAGAGCAUAAACAUAGCUCACAUGUCACUAAAUUGAGUACAAAAUCAUCAAAGGCACGCAUGACACUUCACUCAAAAUUCAUUUUUAUUUUAAAGAAAAUUUAUUUGAUGUUGGGCCCUCACCAAAGCCCAUUUAUUUUGCACGAAUCAAUUCCAUAAAUCCCAUCACCUGAGAAUUACAAAAUUUGAUUUUUGGCUUAUUUUAAAACAUUUUAAAAUCAGAGAAGUUAUGAAAGUUGCAUGCCGAAGAGAGAUGACAACAAAUUUUAUUAAAAAUAGAAUUUUGGAACCUAAAGAAAACCUAAGGAUGAAAGAUGGAAAAUAUUGAAAUUAUUUGAAAACCGAUGUUUAAAAAGUUAUUUGCAAGAAAGGAGUCAGAAAAUUAUUUUCUAAGCCAAAAGAUCGUUGGAAUGGGAGGUGACACGUGGCAUAGGGGUGACUAAGCAAGCCAUGCAGACUAGAAAUGCGAACUUGGGGCACCUUGAGCACUGACUGCAUAUUAUUCCAUCUCUGCAUUAAUGUUUCGGCCAUGUAGACUUGAACCCCAACACACUGAAUGCUCAAAACUGGUGCAAACUUUUGCUGUUUCCACUUUGCAGGCCCUUAGCUACAGGCUCAGAUCACUCGUGAACCAUUUAAUUCCAAUACCAUUGGGCCAGAUAAAUGGACAGGUGAAGAAAUAGCAGAAGCUCCCCAAGCAGAAAGCAUACUACCUACUUCUAAAUCCCGAUGUUCAAUUCCAACCUUGUAGUCUUCCAUGGAAAUUGCAAAACUCCGUAUCUCCGAGUGUUCGGUUGACAAGAAUAAUGACUGCAUGGCUCGUGAAAUCAUGCCAAUAGAGUGCCCAAGUUAUAUGUAAAUUGACAUUGAAAUCCCUAGACACAGAAACUGGGGAACGAUUCUCAUGUCAAGAGCAUGAAAAUCAUCAUGAUUGCAAACACCUGCUGCUUCUAGCAUUGCACGCCAAUGUCAGAGCAUAUGGCGAUCCCAUGGGUCUUGUAUUGACAAGAAGGCACUGAACAUUAUCCUUCCUCUAGUCCAAUUCGCUACUUCCAUCGGCAUGGCAUAAUGGGAUAAGCUAGGUCACAACGUUUCCCCACACUACGCUCCAAGAUGCAGCCAGUUUUCAGAUCUUUCAUCAAUGCAAAUUGGAACAGGAGGUGGAGCUCGUCUACCGACGAGAAGCUGCUGAUUCAACAAACAAGCCAGAUUCAUAUCUUCUUUAGGAGCAACUAGUUCCGCAACUACAUCUAAUUGCCACCCCGUCAACAAUAAUAAUAUCUAUCCUAAAACACUGGAUUCAUUUUAGGAGCUUACUUCACCCUGUACCAGACAGCAAACAUUCUCCUGCUUCAUCUUCAUGACGAGUCUCAAAAUUCAAAUUGGAGAGAAACGGCAGUCUGCUUGUUUGGUGACUUCAAUGUCCAUGCUGUCUCCCUUCCCGAAACCGCUUCUUGCCAUGCACCCAAAAUAUAGAAGAAGCAACACAGGCCCAAUGCAACAAAGAUGGAAGUAGCCCAAUACAUCUACCUUUCCAAAUGUGAGAGAUAAGGGAAACAACUUCCAGACCCGUGACACUGCAGCGAUGAAAGGCUGCCCAAGAACAUGGACCAACAGCCUCCAGAUGACCAGUGUUGACAAUGAGGGGGAGAGAUUGAUGUAGGCGAGUAAGGGUAGCAACACGCAGGGGAUUUAAAGAAAAUGGGUUUGCAUGGAAGAAAAUUUGACGUGAAUAUGGUUGUGGGGUUAGCUAUGGUACAUGGAUAUGAUGAGUAGAUGAGGAAUGGCAUGGUGCAUGGUGGUGUAGAGAGAGAAUGGUGAUAAUAGAAAUGGGUAUGAAAGGUGUAUUGGGUAAGGGUGUGAGAGAGAUGACCAGAUUUGCAUGUUCUCAUGAGCGUGGGUGGAUGGAUCUGAGGAGUUUUGGACAGCCAUGCAUGGGCGGAAACAGGUAAUGGAUUGGUGGAAUGAGUAGAGAGGUCUAAUGAGAAAAUGGGUAUAUGAAGAAUAACCAGGUUAGCAUGGUUCUCAUCCUGGAUCAUUUCUAAAAAUGAGGAUGACUCGUGAGAAGUAGUGGCAGCCAUUUUAAGAAGGAUAUCUUCUAUGUACUUGUAAGACUCAAAUGAACCUCCAAUCAUCAAAGAUUGGCUCAUGACGAGCACCCUUGUCACCACUUGAAACUCUCAUGCCAAGAUAGGGCGAACCCAAUUCAGCCAUGGCUUUCUCCUUUCUCUCAGUGUUCUCAUACUACUCAUUAUCAUCAUCAAUGAUACAAUCAGUGUCUUCGACGUCCAAAGGUGUGCAGUCAUUGAAGCUAUUGAUGGCUUCUUCACCCACUACAUCCUCAUCCAAACAGAGAUGGUUAGGGUAAGGAUUCCCUCUAUUUUCAUCCUCGUCUCUAUCAUCAUGAUUGUGCAUUGCAUGGAAUGGCACGAGACCAUAAUUUCCCGAGUCUUCUCUGCAUGAAGCAUAAUGAGACGCCUCAUCACGAAAUCCAUACCCAUAGGAAACGUUCUCAUAUAAGCAGAAUCCCAGAAACCCCAUGGAUCAGCUUCUUCAUUAUCAAACUGCCACCGCGUGUCACCAUUGAAGGCGCACCCUUGGCUGCUGAUUUUACAAUGCUUUUGGCAUCCUCUGAAAAGAAGAAGAAUUGGCUGAAUAAUUAUUAUUGAUGUUGAAGUGUGUAUUUAUACAAGGAGGUUUGAGAUAUUUCUCUACAAGUCAGGAAUCAGCUUACCAUAUUCUAGACUAUCCAUCUAUAAGUCAAGAAUUACAAUAGGAAAACUAACAUAUACAAAUCAUCUAUUCUUAAUAUGGAAGAUUUAGAAAGAUUGACUUUCCAACACUCCCCCUCAAGUUGGAGAGUGGAUAUCCUGCACUCCCAACUUGCGAAUCAUAGGAGCAAAAAACUCCUUUCCCAAUGGUUUAGUCAAAAUGUCUGCAAGUUGGUGCGCUGAGCUCACAUGUCUUGUAAUAAUGGAACCAUCUUGGAUCUUGUCCCUAAUAUAGUGACAAUCCAUCUCAAUGUGUCUAGUACGCUCAUGGAAAACAGGGUUGGCUGCAAUGUGCAAUGCUGCCUUGUUGUCACAAUACAGCAAGGCAGGUUCCUUAUGUAAAACACCCAAAUCUUUCAAAAGGUACCGAAGCCAUGUCAACUCACAACAAGCUCCUGUCAUUGCACGAUACUCUGCUUCGGCUGAAGAGAGUGACACUGUUUUCUGUCGCUUUGAUCUCCAAGAAAUCAGUGAAGGUCCAAGGAAUACACAGUAGCCUGUAGUGGACCUUCUAGUAAGUGGACAACCUGCCCAAUCAGAAUCACAAUAGGCUCUCAAUCUGAAAUCAUUAUUCGAAGAGAAGAACAGACCCUGACCAGGUGCAUUCUUGAGAUAACGUACAACUCUGAACGCUGCUUCCAUAUGAGUCUUUCUCGGUUGAUGCAUAAACCGGCUUAACACAUGAACUGCAUAAGUGAUAUCUGGCCUCGACACAGUUAGAUAUAUUAACCUUCCAACCAAUCUCUUAUAACGACCUUGAUCCUUGAGCAAAUCGCUCUUAUCAGACAAUUUCAAUCCUCGUUCCAUAGGUGUAUCAAUAGGGGCAGCGCCCAACAAUCCUGCAUCCUCAAUAAUCUCUAAUGCAUACUUACGUUGGGAAAUAAAAAUCCCAUUUUUAGAAGCAGAAACCUCAAUGCCAAGAAAGUAUUUUAAAUCGCCCAGAUCUUUGAGAUGAAAAUGACUAUGCAGAAAUUUUUUUGUUGUAGCAAUGCUCACAGGAUCAUUUCCAGUAAUCAGAAUAUCAUCAACAUAUAUCAAGAGGGCAGUAAAGGACUUGCCUUGUUUUUUGGUGAACAAAGAAUAAUCGGCUCGAGAUUGUGCAUAACCGGCGGAUUGAAUAGCUUCUGAGAACUUGGCGAACCACUGGCGAGAAGCUUGUUUCAGACCGUAGAGUGAUUUAUGAAGGCGACAUACCAAGUUUUCCUCCCUCUGUCGCCGAAGCCCUAGCGGCGGAGACAUAUAUAUUUCCUCAUGUAAGUCGCCAUGAAGAAAAGCGUUGUUAACAUCCAUUUGAUGAAUAGACCAGCCACGGGCUGUGGCCAAUGCAAGCAAGCAGCGGACAGAUAUGAUCUUGGCGGUGGGGGAAAAGGUAUCCUGAUAAUCGACACCUUCUAAUUGAGUAAAGCCUUUCGCUACCAAUCGUGCUUUGUAACGCUCAAUAGACCCAUCUGAACGGUGUUUAAUUUUAUACACCCAUCGACAGCCAAUCGGUGUCUUGCCAGCCGGAAGUGGAGUUAGAGACCAAGUGCCAUUAGCUUGGAGAGCUUGCAAUUCAGAACGCAUUGCCUUCUGCCACUCAGGAUGAGCGGCUGCUUCCGAAUAAGACCUGGGUUCUGUGACAGCACUAUGUUGAGCAACAAAAGAUCUAUAUGCAGGCUUAUAUCUGUGAUAAGAAACAUAAUUGGCCAGUGGAUAUCGUGUACCUUUAGUUGGACCUGGAAUCAAGGAAGACGAUUGAUUGGAGGAAACGUGGGAGCAAACAUAAUCGUGGAGCUUGAUUGGCGGGGCGAUAUGGCGGCUGGAGCGACGGAGCGGAGUGGCUGGUUUGGGUGAGUGUGUUUCUGGUGAAAAGAUGGGUGUCUCAGUUGGAGGAGCGGACGGGAUGGAUGCAAACGGUGGCCCCGGAGAAGGCGAUACUAGAGUUGUAGAAGGCGAUGGUGAAGGGUUUGGAUCAAUCUGAGAAGAAGGUUCGAUAAUGAGUUCGGAAGGUCGAGAAGGAGAGGAAAAGUCAUCAUUUUCUGUGGUGGGAGACGGUGUGCUUGUGUGGUUGGAAAGAAGAGGGGAAAGUGUGUGAGAAGUAGAGUCAAAGGAGGAAGAGAUGUCGUGGGCCACUAAGGGGAUUGGACCAGAAUUAUGGGUCAACGAAGGGAGAGUAGAGUUGGGCUUGAGAGAGACAUAAGGAAAAAUAUCUUCAUAAAAUUUGACAUCUCGGCUAGUAAAGACCUUUUUGGUUGAUAAAUCAAAUAAUUUGUAUGCUUUCUGACCAACAGGAUAACCGAUGAAGAUGGAUGGCAUGGCACGGUAAUCAAAUUUGUGAGAGGUGUGAACAUUGGUGGCAUAGGCUAAACAUCCGAAAACACGGAGAUGGGAGUAAGAAGGUGGUUUUGAGUAAAGCAAUUCAAAAGAGUUUUGAAAGACAAUAUUGGUGAAAGUAACCGAUUGAUGAUAUGUACGCAGUGAGAGCACACUCCCCCAAAAUUGAGUGGGAACUUGAGCAUGGAAUUUCAAAGCUCGGGCUACUUGUAAAAUUNUGACGAUGUUUGCGUUCCNNNNNNNNNNNNNNNNNNNNNNNNNNNNNNNNNNNNNNNNNNNNNNNNNNNNNNNNNNNNNNNNNNNNNNNNNNNNNNNNNNNNNNNNNNNNNNNNNNNNAUCGACAAUAGUGAGAAAGUAAUGGGCACCAAACAGAGAAGGGUGUCGAUAACGUCCCCAAAUGUCACAAUGAAUAAUCUCAAAAGGUUUUGUAGAAGAAAUAGCACUAGUACCAAAAGGUAAACGACUUUGCUUAGCCAAAGGACAUAUAGGGCAAGCAUUAUUGGACUGAACAGAAAAAUUCAAAAAAUUCUUGGCAAUGAAACUCAAACGAGAAGGUGAUACAUGGCCUAAGCGACUGUGCCAGAGAUCAGUGGAAGAGAUGGCGAGAUUGCAGGCUGGUUGGUUUGUGGAUGAGGAAUGGUUGGUUAAAGAUUUCUCCGUCGCUAGUGCCACCAAAUAGUAUAGUCCGUCACGUUGUUUACCCAAACCAAUCGUCCUCCUCGUAGCCAGAUCCUGCAAAAUACACAAAUAAGGGAAAAACGUCACUGAACAAUUUAGACCUCUUGUCAAACGACUAACUGAUAUUAAAUCAACUUUGAAUGUAGGCACAGAUAAGACAUCAUGCAGAUAAUAGACGGAAUUCAGAGGCAAAGUCCCUUUCGUAACGAUAUUCGCUUUUUCUCCACUAGGCAAUAAUACGGGCGGUAACGAGCAAUUUUUAUCUUUAUGCAAUAACUUAGAGGAUGAAGUAAUAUGAUCUGUCGCCCCACUAUCAAUAAUCCAAUUGCGGGAAGCGACUUUGGACAAACCUGGCUUUGUUACCGCAUUCACUUUGGAACUAGAGUUUUCAUCUUGGUUAUUAAGAAGUGACAAAAGUUGCUUGAGUUGGGCUUCUGACAAUGCAACUGCAGGUUUCCCUUCAUCUGCCUUAGAAACUUGGUUAGCCGCAGAAAAACUUUUAUUCCGAUUUGAGUUUGAGCCUAAGUUCAUUCUUGCUUUAGGAUGGUCUGGUAGGUAUCCAUGUAGUUGAAAACACUUUUGGACCCAAUGACCCAUAUCUCCACAAUACGAGCACUGGGGACGUCCUCUACCAGAACCCAUGCGGCGCCGAUCUUGAUCAAAAAAUGGUCUGCCAUCUUGUCCUUGAGAAGACCGAUUCUCCCGGAAAUUUUGAGAACCAGAGGGGCGAUUAGUCGGUUCCAUCCUUCUUGUGUUCGAUCGAUCUAUUCCGUCCUUCCAAGUUGUCGAAGACUUGCCGUUGCUGCGCACAGCCAUAGCAGCACUUGCGGCAGAUUCCGCUGCUGCGUUCGUCGAAGUGAGGAGGCGUUGCUUUUCUUCUUGAGAGAUAGAGGAGUAUGCUUGGCGGACAGAAGGAAGAGGAUUCAUCAGGAGGAUUUGCCCGCGAAUAGCACUGUAAGAUUCAUUCAAACCCAUCAGAAAUUGCAUCAAUUUUUGUUGAUCUUGUUGUGCCCCAUGUGCUGCAGCGUUGUAGGAAGCCAGUUCAUCCCACAGGCCUUUCAAUUUUGUGUAAUAGGCAGAGACAGAGAGUUGCUCUUGUCGAAGACAAGCAAUAUCUCGCUGAAUUUCAAAGAUGCGAGGCGCAUUGCUCUGAGAGAAUCGCUCACAGAGAUCUUCCCAAACUUCAUGAGCAGUAGAAUAAUAAAUUACACUGUCCGCAAUUUCUGGAUUGAGAGUAUUGACGAUCCAAGAGUGAACCAUGUCGUUACACCGUGACCAAGUCGCAUAACCUUCAGGAUCAAUUUCUUCUGAAGGAGCCUUGAUCGAGCCAUUAACAAAACCCAAUUUGUUCUUGGAGUUUAAAGCUAGAAUCAUAGCCCUUUUCCAAGCCGAAUAAUUGUCUCCAUUCAAAGAUUUGGAAAUCAAAACCAAACCUGGGUGAUCUGAAUGGUGAGUGAAAUAGGGAUUGGAGAGAUCUGCCUUUGAGAAAUUCGUAGGAAUUUCUGAUUUUGCCAUGAUGAUUGAAGAAAAGAGAUGCUACACGAGAGAGAUUAGAGUGCAGCAAUGAAUCAGGAUUUUAGUCCUGCUCUGAUACCAUGAAAAGAAGAAGAAUUGGCUGAAUAAUUAUUAUUGAUGUUGAAGUGUGUAUUUAUACAAGGAGGUUUGAGAUCUUUCUCUACAAGUCAGGAAUCAGCUUACCAUAUUCUAGACUAUCCAUCUAUAAGUCAAGAAUUACAAUAGGAAAACUAACAUAUACAAAUCAUCUAUUCUUAAUAUGGAAGAUUUAGAAAGAUUGACUUUCCAACAUCCUCUGCUCUUCGAUAGGAUUAUGGGACCUCAGGCAUGUGAGAAAAUGGGCAACAAAUGGGUAAUGCCAGGAAGGAGAGGUGGAUAUGAACAUGAAGGACAAGCGAUGUCAUGGAUGAAGUGUGGCAACGGGUGGAGAGAGAAAAGGUGGUGAGUAAAGCGGUGUGUUUGAAUGGGGUAUGAGACAUGAAUUUAAGAGUGAAGAUGUGAGUGUGUGGAGUGAAAGCAUGAGCGUGAGUGGUGAUGAGUUUGAAUGGGUUUGGGGUGGCGGUGUAGAGAGAGAAUGCAAGAUGAUGAGUGCAUGUGUAGAUAUGGGUGUGAAAUGAUGUAAAUCUGAAAAAGAUGACGAGCUAAAUAUGUGAAUGGAGAUCCGAGAAAGAGUACAGUGAUAGGUAUGAACAAACGAAGUGGUGAUAGAAUGAAUAAGAAAGCAUGCAUGUGGUUAGUAUGGGACAUGGGUAAUGAAAGGCAGAGUAGAGAGAGAAAAAAGUGGUGAGGGAAUAAUGGGCAAGAAAUGGUGGGUUGGAUACAUGGCAUACGGGUUGGAUGGACAUGAGGCAUGGCAGCCAAUAGAUUUAACAUCUCCAACUCCGUGAAUCACUCAUGAUUAUCUUCUCAGCAAACCCACCAUACUUCACUUCAGGAAUGUCUAUUGGACUGCUACAUGCUGCAACAAUAUUAUCCCCAUCCAAUAUAAGAACAUUCCAUGAAAAUCCUGAACCGUUAGGGCUGACAUGUGACACAUUCUCACUCAACACAUCCACAGAAAGAAUUACUUGAGUGCUAAGCCAGGUGGAAGGCAAAAUCAUAGUACAUCUAUCAGAAAACCAUGAGUUACCAAGGAUGCUUGAACCAUACAGCCCAGGGAAGUAGUUAUCCUCAGCACACAUCGCAACAGGAACCACAGAACAAGGAUGAAGCAUCCACGGAUGAUUUCAAGGUGUCAUUGACAAGGCUGAAGUUGCUGAAUCACUUGAACUCUGACCCAUUCCUUUAUUCAGUAUCAUCUUAACUUUGAGAGCGCGCAUCUUUGUAGGACUUCACAGCUGGGUUUGGAUCCACUCUCAUGACCCAUUCAAUUAAGAACAGAGGAAAACGUGAAAGGAUCAUUUACAAAAAACAGAGUAUAAAGACAGAAAAUCAAUGAGUGAAGCCCUAUUUCAUUUUUCUAUCCAUGGGCUUGCAAGAGGGUUGACUGUUGAGAGACUACGGGCUCAUAUAAAAACAGGGGGAUUAGAUUCUGAAAUAUCUCACAAUGAAGCUAAAAACAAAUUCAAGUUACUCUUCAACAAAGCUAAGAAGAAGAGAAAGAUAAAACAAUGACAACAAACCCACAAUCGUACCAGAGAUUAGUGAAAACUAAACAUUCAAUCUGAUGCACAUACCCAAGACAAACAAUAAUCCAGAAACAAGAUGGAGAAGAGUAUGCAAAGGGUUCAUACCUGAAAAGCUUCUUGCUGGAACCUUACUGCCUCUCUAGAAAAAUCUCAACUCAAACGUCUCUCUGCCUCGAAAAUAUCUCCAGCCGAGCCUCAAAAGGCACCUCCUCUCUCAAGCUAAACUAUCCUCCCUUAAAGCUCUCAUGUCUCUCCCUCUUACUCUCUCCCUUUUCUCCUUAGUUAACCUCCCCAGAAAACCAGUCUCCUUCUCUCUCAAGCUUUCUCUCUCUCUCAAAAAAAAAACCAAACAAAAGCUCCCUCUCUAAAGAUUUCUGCCACCUUCCUCUUCUAGGCCGAUAUCCCUUUUCUCUCCCGGAUUUGCCCCUCUAACCAUCUCUGUAGCGACAGCCACGCCCUGCACCACUACUCUGCAGCUGGCAGAAAGAAAAAGCCUCCUCCAACGGCCAGACAACCUUUUUCAUGCAGCUGGCUUUUCUCCCUCAAAUAACAACCAAAAUGAUUUUUGUCUGAUUCCAUGAUGACACGUGUCGACCCUAGAUUGGCCUUCAAAAGCGAUUCCAUGAUGGCCAGUCAGGGAUUGACACGUGGGUGCUUAGGAGCGCGACACCUGGCCAAAAGAGCUGCAAAAAAUGCAUGAAAGUGAGGUUCCCAAAAUGGGGUCUACAAUCGGCUAGUCUGAUUGGGCUUUUAAAACACAACUUAACACAUAAAAUGGAGAAUGGUUCUAAGGAGAAUUUUAUGGUCCAGUGUACCAAAGUUAGAUUUUUGACUCUUGGAUUUAUAUAUUUAAUUGUGACCUUUGAUUUGCAGUGUACAAACGAAGAAGAAAAAAACUUGUUGUCAAUUUCUUAUUGGUGGCUUUUUUUUCCAUCAAUAACUAAGUAAAAUUGCAUUUAUAUUGAAUUUUGGAGGUUAAUAAUUUAGUAAUGGAAGUUAAGUAAUAAUAUUUUAUAUUAUUAAAAUAUAUAAUAUAUAAUAAAAAAAUAAUGUAUUAUUUAAUAUCAUCUUCAUUUUUAUUUUAUAUCAAUGUUAUUUAAAAAUACAGAAUAAUAAUUUUUAGUUUUUUUAUCAAUCAUUUAAUAAAAAAAAUCAAUUCUCAUAAACUAAGGAAGUUGAGUUCAUUUUGAAUUCUAAUUUUAUUAUAUUAGAUAACUAAAAAAAUUAAUUUCAAUAUAAGUUAAUUAAAACAGCAUUUUGCUUUAGUGUAAUUCUCAUAAAUAAAUUAAAAUAUAUAUUUUAUUUAAAAUAUUUAUUUAUUACAUGAAAGAACUAAGGAUAAAAAAUUAAUUUAAAAAAGAUAAAUUUCAUAAUAAAAUUGUUUAAUAACAAAAAUCUUUAUUUUAUAAAAUGGAUAAAUAUGAAAUAAAAAAGUUAUAAAAUUAUUAAAAUAAAUUUAAUAAAUGUGAAUUUUAUAAAUCAAUUAAAAUAGAUAUUUUAUAAUUUUGACAUACCAAUCCAAAAAGGACCUAAGUGACUUAAGCAAGUCUAUCCAAAUUAUAGCAGAUUCCGGAGUAUGACAUACCACUUAAUGGUUCCAAUCCCACACAUAUUAUCAAGUAACGAUGGAGCUGCUGUAUGUAAUAUGACCUUCCUCAAUCAAUAAGCAAAUCAAGGUGUUCUUUCAAGUGCAACUUUGCCUUCAAGAAAAGAAGAAAGAAAGGAAAAAAGAUUGGAAAAAGAGGGAAAGAAAAUAAAAUUCCUAUUCCAUCUAUCUUUGGAUUUCAAUAACAAGCGCAUCUCACCUUCCUUUCAAUAAUAAAACUAGAUGACAACUCAUUUUAUUUAGAGAAUCAACUGUGGAGAAGGCUUCUCCAUGAGAACUAAGGUCACAAUAGUUUACAUAAUGUUGGUCCAUAGUUUGUGAAAUUUUUUCUACCCUGGUUCAAUAAUCAUCAGUAAGAUGGAAAAGCACAAGGAUUCAUUGCUAAAAGGAAGAAUGAUUGAGAAUGAGCAAAAAACAGAAUUUAUAGAACACUGAAUUCAUUACCAGAAAUCACAAAAAGAGAGACAUAAUUCUAGCAUACUCAGUGAAACGUUUCACAUGGAUGCUUUUAAUGUGGACAUUCAUUUUGGAAUUCCUACUUAUCGGGAGGGAAUGUUUCAUGGACUGUAUAUGCCACAUUCAUGGGACAACUUCAGGUGAAAAUAAUAAAAUGGCAUCGGUAUUUAUCAAAGUUACCUUCACCUAUCGGUAAGAUCUUGUCAUUUCGUAUGUUGCAAAACCACCAUCUGCAUUCUGUUGAGAUUCCAAGGGAAAAUCUAUAAAAUGAGUACAACACUCGCCUGAAGUCAGACAGUAGAGAAUCUUAAAUAUUGAUAAUCAGAAAAGACGGGAGAACAGGCUGAACAAGGAAUUAUAACUGGUUCCCAAAGCACACACUUGUAAAAAUCUUCAACACAAAACUUGAGUUGAGAAUCCCAUUCUAGGUAUGCUUGAAAGAUUCAAAAACAAGUUUCAGCCAACAAACAUAAAUUUGCAAUAUACAAGUAUUAUAAAAUCUGAUAUAGAGUUAUAUACUUUUCGGAAUAAUUUUGUGGCCUAGAAUUUUUAAGGCAAUAAUAAAUUUUUUAAAACUGCACAAAGAAGAACAGGUCAAAAUAAUACCUUUUGUAGUUCGGGAUAGAUUGGAUGAUCCCCUCUUCAAUAACACCGAUGCUGUUAAUUAAGUUGGAAUGGACUCUAUGUCAGAAAGGGACGAAAGAGAGUGUGUUGGCUGCCCUUUUGCAUCUUUUUUUGACAAUCUGCAGAAGUGAAAUUGGAAGGUAGUUGAAAAUCGCUCAAAUCCUUUUUUAUGUGCAGUUUUUCAGAAUUUGUAAGGCUUUGUAUAGAAGAGGCAUGAGGUAGGACAACCCUAGGAUGGUUGCCUACACUCAAGGGUAGGUGGGCUAGGGUUUUAUUUUUAGGGUAUAAGGAGAGGAACAAGGAAUAAAUUUUAUGAUAGAGAAAAUUAUAAGAUAAGAAAUAGAGAGAAAGAAGAAACAAUAAAGAAAAUAUGGAAAACCUUAGAGUCUCACUAAGGCCUUCUAGGAGUCUCACCUAGAAGAAAAUCAAUGGAAUCUCACCAUUGAGGGUUGCAACCUUGCAAUGAAAGAAAAUAUAAUAUUAUUCAUAUUAAUUCAUUCAUUUGAUUUACAUUGAUUAGCCUAUUUAUAGGCUUUUCUAUGAAAUCCAAAGUCUACUAGAAUUCUAAUAACCUAUUAUGAUUCUAAUUCUAAUUAUAACAUCCAAAGUCUACUAGGACUCUAAUAACCUAUCAUGACUCAAAUUCUAAUUAUAUUAUAACUCAACUAGCUAAUCCUAAUUAGACUCCAACAAAUACCAAUCCCAAUUCAAUUCUAAUUAAUAUUAAUCCUACUUAAAGUUUACUUAGGUCUUUACUUUCUUCCUUGAAUAAACUUUAAAAGGCUUUCCCCAUCAAGGCAUCUAUGUCUAUGAAGGAUUUUAUAGAUUGAGGGAAUGUUAAGUGCCUUUUUUUUUUUUUUUUUUUUUCUGAUAUUUUGCUUGGUGCCCUUUGCAUUCUCCCUGUCUACUCUGGUAUACCCUUGUUAUGGCUCGUUUGUAGCUUCUUUUUAUAUAUAUCGACCAUGUGCUUACCUAAAAAAAUAAAAAAUAAGAAAGAAAGAAACGCUUUUUGUUUGGACUGCUUGUCCUCUCGCUUCAACUUCAUUUCUUAUGGCAAAUAAAAGAAAGUUAGGUAUGAGAUUCUGAAUUCAGUAUGUUUAAAAUCUAGUUUUUAGAGUGCAUGCUAUACAUUGUGAGCCUAAAUCCUACAAACUUAAGCUUUUAGAAAUUUUUUUGAUAAGAGGUCAUGUAUUUGAACCUAACCACAUGUCUAUUUCCCCACUUUAUUAUUAAGCUUAAAGGAGGUUGUUUGUAGUUUGUUUAUCUAUGGACCUAUAUGGGCAUGUGUGUGCCUAUUUGUUUCUCUAGGUGCAGGUUUGGAGCUGCAUGUGAAGAAGGAUGUUGAAGGGCAUAAUAUACAUUAUAAGCUUUUAGAAUUGGUUGCUAAAACCAGUCGACUAGGAAGCAAAAACGUUUCUUAAAGAUCAAUACCAUUUCUAUUAUAACCAUUUUUUGUUUGCAAACAAAUGCAUAUAUAUGGGGUGAAGUCUAAAGAAUUUCAAAGCUAAACGUACAAGCCAGAUGCAUAAUCAACCAUGAGUUUUAUUAGAUUAUCAUUCAAUGGCAUCAAUCAUUUUUAGAGAGAUGGAAUAGGAGAAAACCAAUGAUUUCUCAGUAACUGAUACCCUACCCAAAAAUCCUUAAGGAAGGAUUUAUAACUAGUAAAGACUAUCAGUUUAUAAACUUUGUGCAUCAGCAAUUAAGUCUUCUACAUGAACUAUGUAUGAAUGUGUAACUGUUUAAAAUAUUCAAAUGAACAAGAAGGUUUAUAAAGUUUUUUCCAUAAUUAAAGGAUGCAAUUCAAUCAAUGGAUUGUUGCUUACUCCGAACUAUGCAUAUAUAUUUAUUUGUCCACUACCGUGAAUAUAGACCAUAUUCUGCACAUUCCAAAAAUCCUAAAUUUUAAAAUGCGAAAACACUCAUUGUUCAAGUCAGUUCUAACACCCAUACCUAUACCCACUCAGUAUGUCCACACCAUAACAUUUACAGCAUCAAACAAUUGCUCCAUAUCUAAUGGUUCCCCAAAUGUUUUCAAUGGAAGUUUAGAUAAUAAUAGAACAGCCUGCACAAGAGAAACAAACAAUAAAAAUGUCCGUAUAACAAGUAUUUUGAGUUAGUUCAGUUGUUACCUUCAAUCCUUCUACUGUACAACCAGAGAUCGGCCAUCCAUGAUCAACACCAUACUCUUCACCUAGGUUUGUUGAAAUAAUUGCUUGAACAACAAAAGAAGUAUCCCAUAAUUGACUUCCAUUAUAAUCCUGCAGUAAACUUAUUAUGUAUAACAGAUGGAUGAUAAAGUUCAAUAAUUUCCAAGGAAUAAAAUACAUAAUCUGCCUUUACAACACGCCACUAUGAAUGGAUAUAGACACUAUAAAUGGCUACAUCCACCAGAAAAAGUAAUAUCACAAUUCUCCAUAACAUAUAAAAUGGAAAUGGCACUUUGAGAUAAACUAGAAAGAGACCAAUACUACUUAUGGACCUGCAUUCUCAUGCCGUCUUCAGCAAUCCACAAAUAAUAAAAAAUUCUUGGAAUAUGCAACUUAAAGGCCUCCGAGUUUGGAUCUUCAAUCCAGCAGCAAAUCAUAUUUAACACCUGUACAAAUUAGAUAACAGGAAAUCAAGACCUUCAUGGAACAGACAAUUAGAUCAAGAGCACCUGAGUAGAGUGGUAGAACUAAAGAAGCUAACUGGUUUAGUUCUUAAUUAAUAGUAAUCGGUACAUUUAUUGAACUUAGUAAUCACUACAUUUAUUGCAGUUCAAAGGACCUUUCUAUACUUCACAUGUACCUUGUUCACAGGCCCUAUGCAUAUAUACCGUGUAUUCUCAUCUUCAUAGUGUACAUGCUGCAUUACAGUGCAUAAAGCCUUCUCUCUCAACUUGUUUCCGGGCCAAUGCCCCAGAAUAGGCUCAAGCACCUUAUGAAGAGAUGCCCAUAGAAUAUCCUGAACCAGUGGAUGUGGAUAGUAUAGAUCUUCCUGCCAAUAAUUGUAAAGACAAAUAUCAAAAUCAUCCGGGACCCUAAAGUAUAAGAAAGAUGCAAUUGAUCUUCUUCAUAAAUUUCCUUCUUAAAUGCUUAUUAAAAUGAUGUCAUUGAUUCGUCCUUCAUGCAGUCGUGCCAUUUGAUUAUGGCCCAGACCGGUGUUAUCAACAAAAUUUAUAAAACCUAAAUCACCUUAUACUAGGAUAGCAUAGCUAACAUAGUAUAGUGGCUCUAGGAUCGUCCACAGGGAUGAGUUUUUGUCAUACAGUUGACUUUAGUGAAGGAAAUAAAAUGGUGCUUUUCCUUAUGAAAAUUAGCUUUUAAAGAAAAUGGAAUUGUGGUUGCAAAGAUUGAUUUUAAGUCAAACAAAAAUAAUAAGUGAAGUUAACUACAAAGAAAAUGUCUCUUGGAGCUUUAGGUCACUAAGAUCAGGUUCCUUAGGAAAAAGGGGAGAUUCCGGAUCUUUUCCUUGCGUUAGGGACAAUAACAUAAAGGAUGGUUAUCUCCCGAACCGGUUUUGUAUUUAGCAAUUAAGAUUUGAUCCAAAGGGUUCAUGAAAAAUGGCAAUUGCUUUCCAUUAAUGGCUUCAAACACUAAAGACCCUCACCUUGAACCACCUUCCAAUGGCUCGUAAAUGAUAACUAAUAGACAUCCAUGGAUCUAGCAAUAAGCAUCCAUAAAAUCCGAAAAGCUUACCAAGUAUUGGGCAUCCAAGGUGAUUUUAAGGGAUUUAAAGCUAAACCUUGAAAUAAAAACCAUUAAUGGUUAACAACUACUUUCAUUUAAAGCAAGGACAACUCCCAUCUUUUCAUUUGGGUCUUUCACCUAGCUUCCCUCACUCCAAGAAACGUAAAACCUAGCCACUCAUCCCCUGAGAAAUCAUCCUCAGAGGUUGUUUGGCUAGAAAGAAAAGUGAAAACAAAAUGAGAAGGAAAGGUAGAGCAAAAGCUCUGUAUAUUUCUUUCUACGGGAAUUUACAAGUGUUCAAUCAUUUUUUCAUUCCCCCACGUCUCUCUCACUCUCUCCCAAAAAAUGUUACCAAAAAUAAAAAUAAAAAUAUAUAAAAGAAAAUAUCUAGGUUGAUUACAAGGGGAAAAUAGGAAAUUACACAAAAUAUCUGGAGAUAAAAAUCUAAUGGAGUCGGUGCACAGGAAGAUUUCGCAUAGUGUGCGAAAUUGCCUUUCACUCAGUCCUGCUCGCAGUCCUGCAGCUGCUCCUCCUCUUGAUUUCUCAUGCUAUGCGAAAUUUUCACAUAGCCAUGCGAAAUUUUCACAUAGCCAUGCGAAAAAUGCUGGUUGUUGGAUUUCUUCCUCUGGUUUUCUUCCUUGCAUCUCUAAUUGGCUUGACAACCUAUUGCCAAGCUUGGCAAAGGGCUAUGAAGUGCUCCAAAGCUCGGAUUCUUUAUGUAUUUGAGCUUCAACUUGUAUUGCCAUGGAUUUCACAAAAUUCUCCCUCAUUCUUGGCUUGUUUCAAUGAUCAAAUAGCUACCAAAAACACCAAAACUUGCCAAAAACUGAUUAGUAACCCUUGCUAGGUCCUUAAUGUGCCAAUUGAGUUAAAAAGUAUUAACUACCACUCAAUAGUGUUUAAAAUAGUUAGUUUCAAGCUAUAAAAGAGUACUUUUUGAGUAGUAAUCACUCCCCCUAACCGACAUAUUGCUAGUCCCUUAGCAAUGAAGGAGAGAUAAAGAAAAAUAGACAGUAAAAUAAUUUUCAAAAUCAUGCUAAUCAUUUCAAAAAAUUUUCAAGUGGCAUGAUGCUGAUUAUACUCUCUCAUGGAACAUCAAAGAGGUAAAACCUAACCUUCAACAAAAGUCAUCAAAUCUCUUGCCUAAUCACAAUUUAUAAAGAGUAGGCAUUAUGCAAAUUUAAGCAUCAAAAGAAUUUCUACUCCCAAAGGUCGAAUCCUUAUUUUUCCACAAAAAUCUAAGUGUUAAGCUUAUUAGUUUCCGAUUAUAGUAUGUCGAACUAUUCUCUCCCCCCCAACCUAGUUCUUUCUCAAACCUUAGGAAACUAACCAACUUCCAAUAGGCUAAGAAUGCACCUCUUUUAUUUCACAAUUUUUUUUUCAUUGUAGGAGUGCAAUGCUAAAGGUAUUGUUUUCUAAAGUGUCUAUGUAACAGGGAUCCAUCGAUGACUCCCAACCAAUCAACGUUUAGGGCAUCAAGCUUUAAGGAUCUUUCGACCAAUAACUCCUCAGAUUUUUCCCCGGGCUUUUGAGAUUGAAAUUCAAUAUCCAAGCACCUACAAUAUGUUAAACUCCACAUAUUCACCCUUGUAACGAGCAUUGAGGUCGGUGACUCCCAACCAAUAAAGGCUUAGGGCACCAGGUUUUAAAGACUUUCACCAUAUACCCCUUGGACCUUGCUGAAGUUUCAAGGCAAGUGAAACACUUUGUUCUUUCUUUAUAUAUAUAUAUAUAUAUUUAAAGGCUCAUUGGCAUUUUAUAAGGUAUCCUAACACUAUUAAAAUAAGGUCAAAGGUACCAAGUCGAAAUUUUCCUAAGUUCAGGGGGUGAAAUAGUUUUCCAUCUUAUAAUCGGAACCUAAUGUGCACAGUGUGUGGUAAGAUUAAAGUGGAAAAAAUAAGGUUGAAUUCAAUAGGAGUUUCAAUAAUUCAUCAACUUCAAUAAGCAUAAUACAAACUCUAAGAUUCAAGUAAAAAGACAAGAACUCAAUUUCUCCCAUUUCAUUUUGAGAAUUUUUCCUUAAUAACCAUGGAGAGUAGAGUAAAAACUUUUAAAAUUAAGCAAAAAGUAACUAAAUUAACAAAUUAACCUAGCAUUAUUAACAAUUCUUCCUUCCUCAACUCUCCCCCUAAUCAAGAUCAACAUUGCCCUCAAUGUGUCAAGAGCAAUUGAAAUAAAGGGAGGAAGUGGUAUCUCCUGAGUGAAAUGGAGUUUGAUUCAUAUAAGAGAAACCACAUGAGUAAAAAAAACAAAAGAGUAAUGAGUAGAGGAAAUAGAAAAAUGUUAAGUAUAAUAAAAAAAAUGAUGUCUAUAUAUUAAUAUGAGAAAGUACAAUAUAAGAUAUGAUCAAAUAAUAUAUCCAAUCCCAGAAUAUAAAACAUCAAAAUAAGAACAAAUCUCCACUAAUAUAAUAUGUAAAUACAAUAAGAUAAAGAGAUGUCCUAUGAUCAAGUAGUGGCAGCCUCAGGUGGAGAUGAUGCAUCCUCAGGUGUAGUUGUGACUGUGUCAACUAUCUGAGGCUCAUCAUGAGGAUCAUAUGAAGCAAUGGCAUCUGUGGUGGCCUCCUAAGGUGGUGGGAUAUGGACCUCUACUAUGGUAGUGUCCUCAGCUGGAAUAGUAUCCUCAGUUAGAGCUAAAGGCUCUGAUGAUGCAAGAAGGUCAGGCUAAGGUGGAGGCAGAAGUCCUAGGUGCUACUAAAUCUGGUGGAGUAUAAUAGUCUGUUGGUCCUAAUGGGCACGCAUCUCAACCAUCUGCUGGAAGAGAGCAGCAUGUGUGGUGGUCAGUGUUUGAAAGGUAUGUACAAGGCCGCGAAACUUCGAAGCAGAGAUGGUGAUGGAAGGCUUGGAUGUAGUAGGAGCAACUGGUGGAACAGUAGGAGUCAUAGGGGGAGCAGCAGAAGUAGCCUCAAGCAUAGGCACUGGUGGUGUUGAAGUAGGUGAUAUAGGGGCAGGUGGUAUAGUCUUUGUCAGAAGCUCGCCCUGCUCUGUCUGUGGGGGCACUAGAGGUGUUACCAUGGAAAGGGCUUCUAGAGGUGCAGAAUAGCCCGCCAACUGAUUCCAUUUUUCCAGAGUGAAUUGCUCUCGACAAAGCCAACGACGCUCGAGCCGAAGCUCAGUAGGAAAGCCCAUAUACUCUAAGAUCUGGCAAAGCAACCUCAGGAAUAGUAAUGGAAUGGUGUCCACCCUCUGAAGCUUCUUCCUAUGGACCUUCUCCUCAAAGUGGAGGAUGGAGGCCAUGAUUAAGUGGUGUGGGCCAAAGUAGAAGCCCUUUGAUAUAUGGAAUAAAGCGUCUAAAAUAGCUCAUCGCCACUGUACCGAAUGCUAUAGGGGAAAGAGGUUGGAGCGUAGCACCACAUCUACGAGGAGCAUCCCAAGUGGAAGCUCCUUCCGUAGAAGGAUCGAAUAUGUAGAGGUCCCCUUGGAUAAAAUGUGGACCAUGUCCCUCUGAGAUACUAGGGACCACUGGCCGAAAGCAGAUGGAUCAACUGGCUUGAAAGGAAUAUGUAGAGUCUCUGCAAUAUGUUUGGCCUCAAGGAUACCAUGACAUCCAUCAAUGGUGAAGUGAAUCGCGGUAGGACUCAGGAUGCCACGAGUAGUCAUAGACUGGUAAAAGUCUAAUGUUACUCUAGGAUAAAAGAACUCACAAUGAGUCAUAAGGUGCUCAAGAUAGUACCUCUGCAAUAGGUCAUAAGAGUCUCGGAGCUCAGGCUACUGUUGCAUGGCCUCUUGAUCAAAAUAUAACUCCGAGUAGGAAGGUCUCACUCUACAAUCUGAGUUACCCUCAAUGGGUGGUGCUGCAAACAUCGGGCGUUUGAUAAUAGACUCCAGUGACUGUCAGAAGGAAGCUCAGAAUCUACAGGAGCUUGAGCAUGUGUAGCUACAGGAGGCUCAGGUUGUGGAGCUCUAGAUAACUCGCCUAGGCCUGAAGUCCUGACCCUUUUGGCAGGAGGGCGCCGCACUGAAAUCUCAGGGCGUGAAGUAGUCGCCCCUGGUGUAGUAGGUGGUCUCCUUGUCUCAUAUCUGCGUUGAGGAGCAGGAUAUGAAGGACUUGUGGGCACUCCAUCCUCAAAAGGUGGAAUUUGUAGGGCCUCCGUGGCCUAAGAUGGAGAAUCACGAGGCACCCGAGCAGAUGAGGCUCUCUACCUCGAAGUGCGACUCGGUGAGAGGGCGGAAAGGGCUCCUUGGGUCCGUGCCAUGUCGAAAAUGGAAGGUGGGCCUUAGGUAUGUGCUCGAAGGGGGCUCGGAGUGCGACUCUUUGAAGUAAGAUGCGCGUGGCGGGGUGUUGAAUGGAAAGAGACGAGGUGACACUAUGAAGAGAUGAGGUCGCAAGGUGGCAAAGGAAAAUGAGGGGUUCGCAAUGAUAGGGGUGCUUGCGAAAUGAGAAAAUUAGGGCUCGGGGGUUUAAAAAGAGAUGGUAGAGUGUCUUUUGGUUUUCGUACAACGUCUUUUGAUUUUUGCAUAGAGUGCGAAAUGGGUUCGCAAACCCCUUAGGUUUUUGUAUAGUGUUUCGCACUGUGUUGGGUAUGCGAAAUGAGUUCGCAGGGUUAAUUUAUUUUCGCACAGUAUGCGAAAUUGGUUCGCAGGGUGUGCAAAAUUGGUUCGCAGGGUGUGCGAAAUUAGUUCGCAGGGUGUGCGAAAUUGGUUCGCAGGGUGUGCGAAAUUUUCACAGCCCAUGUGAAAUGAGCCAUGAAUUUCGCAUGUCUUGCGAAAAUUUCACAGGGUGUGUGAAUUGCCUUGGUUUUUCCUUUGCUAAGAAUCUUUAAGGACACACCCAACUGCUUUGAAGUCCCCCCUGCAAUUGAUCAUCAAAAACCUAAGUUAAAUCAAACCAAAAUAAAAUUAAAACAAGAAAUCAAAAUCAAAACAAGUAAUAAUACAAGAAAACUCUCAAAUAAAAAAUAAAACAAAAAGAUAUGGACUGAUAGUCUUUAGAAAGACUAAGUCCAUAAAAAAAAACUAGUCUUGUCAAGCUUGAUGUGGAUCAAGGAGGAUGAAUUCCUCUUUGUCAUGGGAAAAAUGCUCUACAAAGGGCUUGAGACGAUGGCCAUUCACUUUGAAGCUCCUAGUGCUGUUGGAGUUGAGUAGUUUCACUACUCCAUUUGAAUAACCUUGGUAAAUGGUAAAAGGACCUAUCCACCUUGAUUUCAGCUUGCCUGAAAAGAUGUGGAGCUUAGAGUCAUAGAGCAAGACUCUUUGUCCCUUUUGAAAAUCCUUAUGGGAAACCAACUGAUCAUGCCACCUUUUCAAUUUCUCUUUUGCAAUUUUUGAAUUGAUGUAGGCAUCAUUUCUCAAUUCUUCCAACUCAUUAAGGUCUAAGAACCUCUUCAACUUAGCUCUGCUCAAAUCCAUGUUGAGCUUCUUGAUUGCCUACUAAGCCUUGUAUUCCAAUUCCACAAGGAGAUGACAUGCUUUGCCAUAGACUAGGCAAUAAGGAGACAUCCCAAGAAUGGUCUUGUAAGCUGUUCUAUAUGCCCAUAGUGAAUCAAGGAGCUUGACUGACCAAUAUUUUCUGUUUGUGUUCACCACCUUCAUCAAUAUGUUUUUAAUCUCCCGGUUUCCUAACUCAACUUGCCCACUAGCUUGAGGGUGGUAAUGUGUAGCUACCUUAUGCUUCACCCCAUACUUGGCUAGGAGAGUUUCAAAAGGCUUGUUGCAAAAAUGAGUACCCCCAUCACUAAUUAUGGCUUUGGCGCUAUUUGAUGCGACUCAUGGUAGCUUAGCUUUAAAGGCGUAUCAACAAAAUUUAUACCUUAAAUACUAUUACUAAAGUAGCCAAGCUACUAUAGCAUAGUGGUUCUAGGAUCGUUCACUGGGAAGGGUUUUCGCAAACACUGGUGAAGUUCGGAGGAUGGAGUGAACUUUUCUUAAUAAAAAUUAGGUUAAGAUGAAAACAUAAAAAGAUGAAGGUGUUGUAAACUAAACUAACAUGAAAAUAGGUUAAAAGAUGGAAAAAGAAGUUUCUCAAAGCUUUGGAUAGCCAUGCUUAACUCACUAUGUAAAAAUGGAGAUUUUGGGACUUUUCACCUCGAGUUGGGGAAGCAACUAAGUGAUGCUUACUUCCCGAACCGGUAUGAGUUUAACAAUUGAGUUUUAGUCCUUGAAAACUUACAAAAAGGGUAGCUGACCUCAUAAAUGCUCUUUUAUUGGUAUAAGUCAUCUCCUCGACUUGCAAUACAAUUGCUCGUAGAGAUUACUAAUGAACGUCAGUGGAUCUACAUAAUGAAUCCCCUGANNNNNNNNNNNNNNNNNNNNNNNNNNNNNNNNNNNNNNNNNNNNNNNNNNNNNNNNNNNNNNNNNNNNNNNNNNNNNNNNNNNNNNNNNNNNNNNNNNNNAAGGUUUCAGCCUCUCAUCCUUGGGGAUUUCAUCCUCCAAGGAUGUUUGGCUACUAAGAAAAUGAGAAAGAAAAUAGAAAAGAAGCGUAUGAACAAAAGUGCUCUUAUAACUUAUAAAGUUACAGGUUACAAGAUAUCUUUGUCUGAGGCUCUUCACCUCUAUUUAAAGACAAUAACAAGCUAAAUUACAAGAGCUAUUACAAAAGCAACCUAUUCAUUGGUUGAUUACAAGGGUAAAAUAGGUAUUUACAAAGCUAAAAAUCAAGCAAAAUAUCUUGGAGAACCGGCAGUGGAAUAUCAUCAACAGCGUCUCAAAACAGGGGAUUUCAAAGGCAUUUUCGCAAAGGGGAAAGAUGAAGGGUCCAAAUUUCGCAAGGUGAAAAGGCACCUUGCGAAAUUUGGACCGGUCAUCUUGCACCUUGGCGAAAAUGCCUUGGAGAUCCUUCGUGUUGAGACGCGGUGUNNNNNNNNNNNNNNNNNNNNNNNNNNNNNNNNNNNNNNNNNNNNNNNNNNNNNNNNNNNNNNNNNNNNNNNNNNNNNNNNNNNNNNNNNNNNNNNNNNNNAUUUCGCAAGACGAAGGAGCUCCUUGCCAAAUUUCGCAAGGUGAAAAGGCACCUUGCGAAAUUUCGCAAGGUGGUUCUUCAUGGUGCGAAAUGGUGUUCCCAUGGCUUGAUGCAGUUGUCUUCCGAAGGCCAUAUCUUCCUCAUUUCAGCUCCAAAUCGUACACGGUUUGAAGCGUUAGAUUCUUGACUUCCUGAUCUUUGAAAUGGUAUAUAGCAUUUAGAAAAUGGACUUCAGGAAGUGCUCCAAAAGUGUGAAAGAAUACUGUAGCUUCUGUCCUCUAUUUUCUUCACUCUGUUUUCCUCUUCUCCAUUGUUCUUUCCUUGCAUACUUUGAACGACUUUGGCAAAGGGCUAUGGAGCUCCAAAGCUUGGUUCUUCAUGAAUUUGAGCUUCCAAAAUCUUUGCCAUGAACUAUAUACAGCUCUCCCUCAUUCUUGGAUUGCUUUGGUGUAGCUAAAAGCUAUCAAAAACACCAAAACUUAACACAAUUUGAUUAGAAACGAUUGCAAGGGUCCUUAACAUGUCAAUUGGGUUAAAUGAAUAUGAUUACUACUGAAAGGUGCUUAAAACCAUUAUAAUUAGGUCUACAAAAUAGCACUUUUUGGUAGUAAUCAGGCACCCCAAAUCUUGAGAAGAUGUUUUCCUUAAGAAACUUGGGAAUCACUCUAUGGUCAUUGUGUUUGCAUGAGAUUGCCUCAACCCACUUAGAAACAUAAUCUACUCCCACCAAGAUGUAAGAGUAGCCAGAAGACAUAGGGAAAGGUCCCAUGAAGUCAAUGCCCCAAACAUAAAAAAAAUCAACUAUCAAAAUAGGGUUCAAAGGCAUCAUGUUCCUGCUUGUCAACUUCCCAAGCCUCUGGCAUCGAUCACAACUCUUGCACAUGGUGUGAGUAUCUUUGAAAAGUGAUGGCCAAUAGAAACCUAUUGCAACACCCUCAUGGCUAUCUUCUAAGAAGCAAAGUGGCUUCCACAUGCAUUUUCAUGGCAAUGACUCAGGAUUCCCUUUUGUUGUUCUUCAGGAACCCACUUCCUUAUUAUCUGAUCCACACAAUACUUGAAUAGAAAUGGCUCCUCCCAAUAGUAGGCAUGAAUUUUUUCAACGAAGUGCUUCUUAUCUUGUGUUUUCUACUCACUUGGAACUUCUCCUAUGACUAGGUAGUUCGCAAUGUGAGCAUACCAAGGAGUAACUUCCACCAACAUAAGAGACUCUUUUGGAAAAUCAUCAUUAAUGGGCAAACCAUGGGAAUUAUGUGCGAUAGCUAGCCUUGAAAGGUGGUCUGCUACCACAUUCUCCACUCAUUUCUUGUCUUUGAUUUGGAGAUUGAACUCUUGAAGCAAGAGAAUCCAUCUAUUCAACCUUGCUUUAGCAUCUUGCUUAGUCAACAAAUACUUUAAAGCAGAGUGAUAAGUGAAAACCACAAUGAAAGACCUGACCAAGUAAGCACGAAACUUAUCCAAGGUAAAAACUACAACUAACAAUUCUUUCUAGGUGGUUGUGUAGUUUCUUUAAGCCUCAUUCAAUGUCUUGCUUGCAUAGUAGAUCACAUAGGGUUUUCCAUAUUCUUUUUGCCCAAGAAUAGCUCAUAUAGCAAAGUCACUGGCAUCACACAUUACCUCAAAGGGAAGUUGCCAGUUGGGAGCCCUCACUAUUGGUGCGGUUGUCAGAAAUAGCUUCAAUUCUUCAAAACUCCUUUGGCAUCUAUCAUCCUAUAUGAAUUUAGCAUCCUUCACCAAUAGUUCACAAAGAGGCCUUGCAAGCUUAGAUAAAUACUUGAUAAACUUCCUAUAGAACUCGGCAUAGCCAAGGAAUUGCCUUACUCCUUUGACAUUUAUUGGGGAUGGUAACUUAACAAUGAGUUCAACCUUUGCUUUGUCAACUUCAAUGCCUUGCUUGGAUAUGAUGUGCCUAAGGACAAUCCCUUGGUGUACCAUGAAAUGGCACUUCUCCUAAUUAAGCACUAAGUUUUUCUCAAUGCAUCGGUUUAGAACAGCUUCUAAGUUGACCAAGCAUUCAUCAAAUGCACUUCCAUAUAUAGUGAUAUCAUCCAUAAAGACUUCCAUAAUAUGCUCCACCAUAUCACUGAAAAUGCUUAACAUGCAUCUUUGGAAAGUUGCGGGUGCAUUGCAUAAGCCGAAAGGCAUUCUCCUGUAUGCAUAAGUUCCAAAUGGGCACGGGAAAGUGGUAUUCUCCUGGUCUUCAACAUCAAUUUCUAUAUGAAAGUACCCGAAGUAGCCAUCCAAGAAACAAUAAAAAGGAUGCUCAAAGACCCUCUCAAGCACCUGAUCAAUAAAGGGCAACGGGAAAUGGUCCUUCCUUGUCACCGCAUUCAGCCUCCUGUAAUUGAUACACACUUUCCAACCUGUAGUGAGGUGUGUAGAGACCUCUUCUCCCUUAUCAUUUUGCACCACCGUGAUCUCUGACUUCUUUGGCACAACUUGAGUAGGACUCACCCAUAGGCUAUCUGAUAUGGGGUAAAUAAUACCGGCCUGAAGUAGCUUAAGAACUUCAGCUUGCACCACCUCUUGCAUAUGAGGGUUCAACCUUCUCCGAGGUUGACAAACUGGCUUAGCUUCAUCCUCCAUGUAAAUAUGAUGGGUGCAGACUAAAGGGCCGAUCCCUUUCAAAUCAGCUAUUUGCCACUCUAUUGUUUUUUUACAUAUUCUAAGGACUUCAAGUAGACAAUCCUCCUGAUGGAUGGUAAGAGCUGAAGAUAUAACAAUAGGGCACUUCUUGUCUUCUUCCAAGUAUGCAUACUUCAAAUUUGUGGGUAGUGGCUUAAGAAUAAGCUUUGGGGGGUCCUCUUUAGCAGCUCUUUGUGUCUUCUCCUCAUUGAAUAAGGGUAGAAUUUCUUCUCUCCUCCUCCAAGGGGGUAGGGUAGCAAGCAAAUCUGAGGGUUCAGGUAACCCUUCAUUAAGAUCCCCAAAACUCUCAAUCAAAUCCUCCUGCAUUCUCUGAUCACAAUGCUCCUCCACUAAAGUGUCAAUCAUGCACAGUUCCUUUGGACCUUCUUCUUCUUCCAGAUGAAUAUGCUUCUAGCACAAAUGGAAGAUGUUGAGCUCUAAUGUCAUGUUGCCAAACGUGAGUUACAUGACUUUAUUCCUACAAUUGAUGAUUGCAUUUGAUGUAGCUAGGAAUGGUCUUCGAAGUAUGAUUGGAACAUAAUUAGUUCCUUUGACAACCGAAUCCGUAUCAAGAACAACAAAAUCCAAUGGAUAGUAGAAUUUGUCAACUUGAACCAAGACAUCUUCAAUCAUCCCUAUUGGAAUCUUCACUGAUCUAUCUGCCAGAGAUAGAGUGAUGGAUGUUGGCUUCAACUCUCCAAGUCCCAACUGCUUGUAGACAAAGUAGGGUAGCAAAUUCACACUUGCUCCCAAGUCCAACAAAGCUUUCUCCACACAAGUCCCUCCAAUACUCAUUGAGAUGGUAGGGCAGCCUAGAUCUUUGUACUUCACUGGAGACUUACACUAUAUGAUGGCACUCACUUGCUGAGUUAAGAAGGCUUUCUUGUUCACAUUCAACCCUCUUUUUACAGUGCAUAAGUCCUUCAAGAAUUUUGCAUAUGUCGACACUUGUUUGAUCAUGUCUAGCAAAGGGAUAUUGACCUUCACUUGCCUCAACACUUCAAAUUUUUUUGAUGCAUUAUUGGUUCCCUUUUUGCCAUGCAAAGCUUGGAGGAAAGGUGGAGGCAUGUGUUUCUUCAUCAUAUCUUCCUUGAUGACUAUCCUCUCGGGUUCUUCAUCCACACUAGAAUCAUGGUCAUCUUUCUUUGUACUUUUCCCUUUUCUCUUUCCUUUAAUUUCCUCACUCUUUUUUUUUUCUACUACACUCUCUUCAUCAUGCUUUGGCUUGGAUGUGGGCUGAUCAACCUCUUUACCACUCCUCAAGGUGAUAACUUCUUUGACUUCCCUCACUUUUGAAUAUUCUCCCUCUUGAGCCUCCAUUUCAUGGAUACCCUUGGGAUUUUGUUGAGGUUGAGAAGGAAACUUUCCUUUCUCUUGCACUGUGUUGAGGUUGGUAAGCCUUGAGAUUGCGUAUUGGACAUUGUCUAUCUUUUGAGACAGUCAUUUUGCAUCUCAUCCAUCAUUUUGUUCAAUGUACUCUCCAUACUAUCAAUUCUCUGAUUCAGUUGAGCAUUGAUGGAAUUCUAAUCUCCUACAAAGUCUCCCACAACCUUGCUAAGGUUCACAAUAACUUGUUCAAGAUUCGAGGCUUGCUAAGGUGCUUGAGCAGGUUGUGUGUACAGAGGUGGAUUUGGUUUCCAAGAGAAAUUUGGAUGGUUCCUCCAAUAUGAAUUGUAGGUGUUGCCAUAUGAAGCAUUGUUAUUGGGCUUGAAUUGACCAAUAACAUUUGCUUGAUCACCAAAAAUCUCUCUUACUACUGGAAUUGUAGGACACUCCUCCACCCUAUGCUCAUAAGAUUGACAAAUGGAACAAGGCAUAGCUUGCACUGGUAUCUCAGAAAUGGCUUGCACUUCUUGUACCUUCUUCAUUUCUAGCUCUUCCAAUCUCCUUGCCAUAGCUGCAACCUUUGCCUUCAUGUCAAUGUCUUCAUUCAAAACAUACAUCCCACCCUUAGCAUUAGGUUGAGACUUCAUUAUUCCCAACUCUCUAGCAUUUGGUUCAUCCCAUCCUCUUGAAACUUCAGCCACAUAACUCAAAAGGUCCAUGGCUUCCUCCGGAUUCUUAUUCAUGAAGUCUCCUCCACACAUAGUUUCUAGGAGUUGCUUCAUUGAAGAAGACAUACCAUCGUACAAAUAGCUCACUAAAAGCCAUGUGUCAAAGCCAUGGUGAGGACAAGCAUUAAUAGCUUUCAUGUACCUCUCCUAACACUCAUAGAAUUUCUUAUUCUCCUUAGUUGAGAAGUUCAAAAUUUGCCUUUUCAAACCAUUGGUCCUAUGAGUAGGGAAGAACAUCUUGAGAAACUCGGCUUGCAAAUCAAUCCAAGUUCGGAUACUCCUUGGCCUUAGAGAAUUAAGCUAAAUCUUGGCCUUAUCCUUCAAGGUGAAAGGAAAUAACUUGAGCCUCAUCAAGUCAAUUGAAGCUCCUCCUUCUUGGAAUGCAUUACAAACCUCCUCGAAUUACUUAAUAUGUGAGUAGGGAUUCUCACUUUCCAUCCCAUGGAAAGUAGGUAGGAGUGGCACGAUGUGAGGUCGGAUUACUAGUUGCUCAAUGGGAGGCACUAUGCAUGAUGGUGCACUCAUACGAGGUGGAUGCAUGUAGUCCCUCAUGGAUCGGUAUGCAUUGAAAUUAUCCUCUUGACCAUGUUGGCUAUUCUAGUCUUUAGGUAGAACAUCCAUGAUGUUCAAGCACACUUCCAACUCAGUUUCUCGAGGAGUUUCGAUUUUCACAAGUCUUCCCUCAAUAUCUCUUAUCUAAUAGGGCAUGCACAAUUAGAUACCACUGAAACAAAAAACAAAGAAAACAAAAGAAGUACAAUUCUAGGAAAAGUUAGGUUAGCUAAAAACUAAAUAAAAGAUAAGCUAAAAUAGAGACAAAGAAAAAUAAUUAGUAAAAGAAAAAUCACAAAACUUGUGAUGAAGAUCACAAGUGUUCACCAAAGGUCAUGUUAAUGCACUUUGGCACCAUCCCCGACAAUGACGCCAUUUGAUUCGUCCCUCAUGCAGUCAUGCCAUUUGAUUCUGGCCUAGACAGGUGUUAUCAACAAAAUUUAUAAAACCUAAAUCACCUUACACUAGGGUAGCAUAGCUAACAUAGUAUAGUGGCUUUAGGAUCGUCCACAGGGAUGGAUUUUCUUCGUACAGUUGACUUUAGUGAAGGAAAUAAAAUGGUGCUUUUCCUUAUGAAAAUUAGCUUUUAAAGAAAAUGGAAUUGUGGUUGCAAAGAUUGAUUUUAAGUUAAGCAAAAAUAAUAAGUGAAGUUAACUACAAAGAAAAGGUCUCUUGGAGCUUUAGGUCACUAGGAUCGGGUUCCUUAGGCAAAGGGAAAGAUUCCGGAUCUUCUCCUCGCGUUAGAGACAAUAACAUAAAGGAUGGUUAUCUCCUAAAUCGGUUUUGUAUUUAGCAAUUAAGAUUUGAUCUAAAGGGCUCAUGAAAAAUGGUAAUUGCUUCCCAUUAAUGGCUUCAAACACUAAAGACCCUCACCUUGAACCACCUUCUAAUGGCUCGUAAAUGAUAACUAAUAGACAUCCAUGGAUCUAGCAAUAAGCAUCCAUAGAAUCUGAAAAGCUUACAAAGUAUUGGCCAUUCAAGGUGAUUUUAAGGGAUUUAAAGCUAAACCUUGAAAUAAAAACCAUUAAUGGUUAACAACUACUUUCAUUUAAAGCAAGGACAACUCCCAUCUUUUCAUUCGGGUCUUUCACCUAGCUUCCCUUACUCCAAGAAACGUAAAACCUAGCCACUCAUCCCCUUAGAAAUCAUCCUCAGAGGUUGUUUGGCUAGAAAGAAAAGUGAAAACAAAAUGAGAAGGAAAGGUAGAGCAAAAGCUCUGUAUAUUUCUUUCUACGAGAAUUUACAAGUGUUCAAUCAUUUUUUCAUCCCCCUACGUCUCUUUCUCCCUCUUUCCCAAAAAAUGUUACCAAAAAAAAAUAUAAAAAGAUAUCAAAGAAAAUAUAUAGGUUGAUUACAAAGAGAAAAUAGAAAAUUACACAAAAUAUUUGGAGAUAAAAAUCUAACGAAGUCGGUGCAUAGGAAGAUUUCGCAUACCAUGCAAAAUUGUCUUUCACUCAGUCCUGCUUUCAGUCUUGUAGUUGCUCCUCCUCUUGAUUUCACAUGCUAUGUGAAAUUUUCACAUAACCAUGCGUAAAUGCUAGUUGUUGGAUUUCUUCCUCUGGUUUUCUUCCUUGCAUCUCUGAUUGGCUUGGCAGCCUAUUGCUAAGCUUGGAAAAGGGCCAUGAAGUGCUCCAAAGCUUGAAUUCUUCAUGUAUUUGAGCUUCAACUUGUAUUGCCGUGGAUUUCACAAAAUUCUCCCUCAUUCUUGGCUUGUUUCAAUGAUCAAAUAGCUACCAAAAACAACAAAACUUGCCAAAAACUGAUUAGUAACCCUUGUUAGGUUCCUUAAUGUGCCAAUUGAGUUAAAAGGUAUUAACUACUACUCAACAGUGUUUAAAACAGUUAGUUUCAAGCUAUAAAAGAGUACUUUUUGAAUAGUAAUCAGUGAUCAUCAUGAAACUGCAAAUUAAAUAAAUUUUGAGGAAAAAAAAUGAUUGAAAAUCUAAAUGCAUAUUGCUAGUUGACUUGAUUUAGAAUUUUAAGGAAAUAUAAUAGUUGAACCACAAUAAAAACCAGAAUUUAGUUGUAAAUUGUAUAUAAUAGACUCCCAUUCUUCAUUAGGUGAAUUACUUUCAAAAGAUUGGCUCAUUUUUGCAAGAGAACCUAUUUCUUUUCACAACAUCCAAAAAACUUCUCUUAGACCCUUGGCUACUCAACAAUAAGCUUAGAGAAAAGGAUGAACAACCCCUAAAGUUAUUAUUCAUAAAGUAUUAGUGUAAUUUACAACUCAAUAGGAAAUACAUGAAAUUUAUAUAUAAAAAGAUUCAUAUGUGCUGCAUUUUAAAUUUCCAUUAAAUUCCCAAAUGCAGGAACACAACCUUACUUUGGAGAUAUUUUUCAAUGACAAAUGAAAAUCAUGGUGUUAACAAUAUGUCAGAAAUCUUAAUUAAUAUCUAUAAAGUAUCGAUAUUAUUUUAACACUUACACUUAACUAACCAAAAUGCCAAUAAACACAUCGAAUUACAUACUGAUAAAAUGUUGAUAUUAUCAAAACAUUAUACAAACCAAAUUUAUGUUGUGAUUACCUUUUCUCUUUUUCCAUUUUUUUUCAUUUUGUAGAUCCUCCAAAAUGAGUUUUAAUUUUCCUUUUGAAUCCUCUAGAAAGACUUCUUAUUGCAUAAGACUUCUUUCAAAUAACAUUUUUUAUACAGUACUUGCAUUGAAUUACUUGCCCUUGACAUCACUUGUAUAUUGAUUUAUACAUAGAGCAUUUAAAUUAUGAAUCCAUCUUAAAUCAUAUCAAGAUUGUCUUCAACCUUUUGUUUUUGUUUGGUUGUAAGUUCUCAGCAACACAACAUCUUCCAUUUUAGGAAAACCCUAUCACCAAAAGCCACAAAACGAUUAGAAGCUAACCUAUUUUAAAAGGCCCAAUGAUUUAAGAAACAUUAUUAAGAUGGCUUUCUCAUCCAUUACUACAAAAAUUCCCUCCAUUGUAGGCAACAACAAAAAUUCCUAGUACCUCUCAUCAUGCCAAACACAUUUCAAAUGGGCAAUACACAUGUUAAUCAAAGCCACCGUAAAUAAUAUUUUUUUUGCACAAGAGACUUGGUCAAGGAACCAUAGAAGCUUUAGUCUAAAAAUAUUAUCUCUAUUGGAGUAAAAAAUAAAUAAAUAAAUAAAUUUUAAAAAUAAGGUUGAAUAUAGUGAACUUCACAUGAAGUUAAAAUAGACAAUGAAAAAAAAAAGAAAAGAAAAAAGAACUCCACAAUUUGAUCAAGAUGCCAACAUGACUAAGCAACUCUUGCUUAUAUCUAUGUUAUUUUCAGGAAGAAGCAUAUAUGGCACCACCACCCUUUCAUCCUUAGUGAAGGGAGAGUUAUGCAUGGGGUAUGGACUAAAAGCAAUCCACCAAAGCACAAUUGGAGCACUUUGGUGUUGCAUUUUUGUACUUUCAGCAAUAGAGUUUCAGUUAGACAAUACAACAUAGGCCCAUAGUACCACUUCUUUUGUGACUAUCAUACUUGCUGACAACACAAAAUAAAAUUUUCAAGGUAAAAAAAACAUCUACUGGAUUUCUCAUAUAGAUCCAAUCAAUGUAUCUCCUUGGAAUCAGAUAGGUGAGAUCAAGACAUGGGGAAAAUUACUUCACAAUGAAGAUACUCCUUGAUCUUCUUACAUAUACCAGUAUGCUUCAAAAUGGAGAGAAACUUGUAGACAUCCUAGUGAUGGUUAACAUAAAAUCUAUCAGCAACUAAUAAGAUUAAUUUUCAGGGGAUAAACUUGUAGAUCAUCCAUAUGCAAGGAUACUGAUCAGAAGCACAGUUGUGGACCCGCAUUUUUCACGUGCGUCCCCACUCGAUCGGCUAGACUCGCUUUUUAUUUGUAAAAAAAUAAUUUUUGGAAAAGUCGGAGUCGCCACUUAUUUUAUUUUUAUUUUAAAGGGAAAAUAAAACAAGAAAUAAAACCCUAAAAAAAACGACUCCAUAAUUUUUGGAAAAACAUGUCUUUGAAAAACUUGAGUCUAAGUCCAGGGAUCAGGUUACUUAUUGGGAAGGUACCUCUGGGAGGUAGCACCCCUCUAAGCCCUAAAGAGGUCUCUACUGACUAAAUUGGGGGUAAUGUGGCAAUUAAUUGAUUAAUUGAGGAUACCUAGAUAGACUAAGUUGAUUUCAAAAAAUAACAUGCCAAAUAGGAUCAAAUUACCAUAAAGAAGAGUUAGGGUGCAUACCAGGACGACUUCUCAAGCGUUAUCAUAAAACAUUAAAGUUAGUAUUGAGAUACAUCACACAACAUGCAUUUUAUCAAAGAUAAUCAAACAAUCAUCAAAUGUAUAUCAAGGCAAUCAAACAAGAUAGCAAGCAUGGGCAUAGUACGCAACGACAAUCAUAUUCAUAGGGUUUAGAAAGUGGGUAUUAGGGAACGUACCUGAAUAGCAUAUAUAACUCCUAAUGCUCCUUAGGACAUGAGGGUUAGAUAAUAAAUAAUAAAUAAUAAAUCCUAGCAUGCCUAUCUAAUUAAUUAGCAAAAAUUAUUAGGAUACAGAAUAAUUAACCAUACAUAUCUUGUAUACAAUUCCUAAAAAGAAAAAUGUAAAUAUGAUUACAAUAAAUAGCAGGGUAGUAGCAAAAAUAAAUUUUGAAAAGAUUUUCUUAUGUAGGGGUUUCACCAAUUCCCCAAAUUAAUAUACACGAAUUUAGCCUAAAAUUAUCCCAUUUAUUAGGACCACAAGCUUUGAUUCGUGUUUUGUUCAAAACCAAAAUUUUUGUUGAAAAUUGAAAAGGAUGCAAACCGAUUAAGAUACGGUUGCAUAUUAUUUUUUUAAAAAAGAAAAGAGAUUUUGAUUCUAGAGGCUUUAAAUGAAUUUUUAAAAAAAAUCUUAAAAGGUUUUUUUUUAGAAAAAGAGUUUUGUUUUAAAAUAAAAGAAAUUAACUUUUAAAAUAGCAAAAAUUGAAAACAAAAUAUCAAUCAAAACAAAAGGAAACAAAGAUCACAAAAUAAAGAUUUUAGAAAAUCUUGUCAAUUAAAGUGGUGAGAGUAAAGGCCAACCUUUGUGGGUUUCCAGUGGCCCUAAAAAAAAAUUUGACCAACAAUCACUAAAGCAACAAAUUUAUGACUUCCUAAUCAAACAAACUAACAAAAUUAUCAUCCAAAAACUAACAUUUAGAUUUCAAGAAACACGUGAAUAACUAGAAUUAAACUAAUUGGAAUUAAAAAUGUAAACUUUACCUCACAAGAUCAAUUAAACUAAAGAAUUAAGAUCGAUAACUCGUUCAAAUUAAAAAUAAACUAGAAUUUAAACUAAUCGGAAUUAAAAAUAUAAACUUUACCUUACAAGACCAAUUAAACUAAUAGAUUUAAGAUCAAUAACUCAUUCAAAUUAAAAAUAAACUAGGAUUAAACUAAUUGGGAUUAAAAAUAUAAAUUUUACCUCACAAGACCAAUUAAACUAAAGAAUUAAGAUCAAUAACAUAUUCAAAUUAAAAAUAAACUAGAAUUAAACUAAUUGGAAUUAAAAAUAUAAGUUUUACCUCACAAGAGCAAUUAAACUAAAGAAUUAAGAUCAAUAACAUAUUCAAAUUAAAACUAAACUAGAUUUUAAACUAAUCGGAAUUAAAAAUAUAAACUUUACCUUACAAGACCAAUUAAACUAGUAGAUUUGAGAUCAAUAACUCAUUCAAAUUAAAAAUAAACUAAAAUUAAACUAAUUGGAAUUAAAAAUAUAAAUUUUAUCUCACAAGAUCAAUUAAACUAAAGAAUUAAGAUCAAUAACAUAUUCAAAUUAAAAAUAAACUAGAAUUAAACUAAAAGGAAUUAAAAUUAUAAUUUUUACCUCAUAAGAUCAAUUAAACUAAAGAAUUAAGAUCAAUAACAUAUUCAAAUUAAAAAUAAACUCGAAUUAAACUAAUUGGAAUUAAAAAUAUAAAUUUUACCUCACAAAAUCAAUUAAACUAAAGAAUUAAGAUCAAUAACAUAUUCAAAUUAAAAAUAAACUAGAAUUAAACUAAUUGGAAUUAAAAAUAUAAAUUUUACCUCACAAGAUCAAUUAAACUAAAGAAUUAAGAUCAAUAACAUAUUCAAAUUAAAAAUAAACUAAUUGGAAUUAAAAAUAUAAACUUUAUUUAAACUUUCAUGUAGAUUAAAAUAAACUAGCAUAGAACUAAUGAAUUGCAAUCAUAAAAGAGAGACAUUUAAUCUAAUAAAAAUAAAAGAUUGUUUGAAAUCGAGAUUUAAAGGAAUUUAUCACAAACAAUUAAUUAAACCAAUAAACUAAAACCCAAACUAAAAAAAAGAAAUACUAUAUCGAAAACCGAAAACUAACCUGUAUUGUAUCGGAAAAAUACUCUCUUGUGUUUCAAGUCCUCUACUGCUCCCCCCAAAAAAACUCUUGCGCGUGUCCUCUCUAAAAAAGAUUGCUCUUGUAUGUGGAUCUCUGCUCCAAAAGAAAAGUCCUCCUCGUGUGUUCUCUCUAUGACAUGUUUAUAUGGCAACACCUUCUCUCUAUUGAAUAUUCUAUUUCCUUUUUUAAUGCACAUGGAUAAGGAAAGUGCAUACAUGGUGGCUCAUUGGGAGAUUCCCUCAAGGAUGCAACCACAUCUCGUUUGGUAAGUGAUACAAGUUGACUUUUCUUUUCUAAAAAAAACAAAAAGAAUCCCCCUUACAACCCACUAUAUGCGUGUUGUGCACAAAGUGGCCACUUCCUUUCUAUUUUCAUGUUAUUUUCCUUUCUACUCAUCCAUCUGUACCACAACGUUGCAUUCUAAGGAUACUUUCAAUUUCAUCAGCUGUCAUAUACUUGGAUCUGAACUGUGGCCACCCAACAUCACUCUUCCGACUACUAGUAUCCAAGCCUUGUUGAGAAAACCGAUGAUUCGGUCUACCUUUUUGCAUUGACUUGGGUCUUUGAUUCCUCAGAUCACUUAUCCCAAGCAUUGCUUCAUAUUUGUUCAUGAUGGGUGGAGCUGGGGAAAGAUGGGGAUUUAAUAGUUGGGGCUGCAACUCUGAUAAAUGACCAAAUGAAGGUUGAACUGAAUGAUGCAGUCUAUGCUGCUGUUGCUGCAGCUGCUGUGGCUGCUACUGUUCAGGAUAUGACGAAGUUCUGUACAGAGGCUUCAAUUCUGAGAGAUGGGCAGAAGAAGCAUGGGGCUGUGAUGACCAUCUUUUUCCAUCCUGAAGGCUUUCAGUCUCAAACAUAUGUUGAUCAAACCAGUAAUGUAGAUCCUCUUGUACUCCCCAAGAUGGUGCUCCUCAUGCAAAACAAAAUAAGAUAAGAUUAAAAAAUCAAAGGAAAAGAGAAGCAACUAAUGAAAGUCAUGAAAUUGGUAAUAAAGUGAAAUACGAUUAAAAGAAAAUGAAAGAGAAAAUGAGAUAUCAGAUUGUACAAUUCCAUCAUUCAAUAAGGGGGUUGUAUGCAUAUUUAAUAUCUAAACAAUUCUAACAAUUCUCUAUUAAGUAGGUAAAUAAAUGAAAGAAGAAAAAUAAAAAAAAUAAAAACAAAACGUAAUAGAAAUUAAAAAAUGAAUAAAUAAAUGGAUGAAUAAAUAAACAAAUAAAUAAAUGAAUAAACAAAGAAAAUAUAAUCAUCAAAUGCAUGCAAUAAUGAUCAAGAGAUUAUAUAAAAAGGUUGAGCCCCAAUGAAGUGUUUAAGCGGGUCUAAGGUGAACCUAGGCGAGUUUAAGGUGUCUAAACGGGCCCAAAAUGUCUAAAUUAGCCAAGGGUGAUGCCUAAGUGGACCUAAGAGCUAUCCUAAGAAGGAAUGAAAAGCUUAAGUCUAAUCAAGACUGCUAAGGAUCAUAAUAAGGGGUUAGGCAAUCCCUCAACCAAAGUCUCCGAGGUGGCUCAGAAAAAAUAAGUUGUAUGAGUAGUUAUGGGCCACCAAGGAAGUACUAUGAAGCACUAGAAAUGAACUUAAAGACAUAUGCUAAAGAGACAAAAUUGAGGGUCUACAACAGUACAAGAGCUAAAAUAGCAUCAUAAGGGGAUGGUAAAUGUUAAAAACAUGAGUUCGGAAGGAGAAAAUAUGCUAACCAACCUUCGCACAUUGAUUGCGGGCUUGAUUCCAAUCUACUUCUUGAUAAGGGACUAUGUAUAGCUCCUUUCUCAAAGAAAUAAUUGUGGGUGUAAUUAGACCAACAAACCUCUUCCCAUAUAUGUAUGACAUGGGCAAAUAAACCAUUCGGCAAUGACACCACAUCCGUCCUAUAGAUAAAAAUUUGAAAGCUUACCACCAAUAAAUAAAAUCUUGCUUGUAGUGAGAUAAAAUAAACCUGAAAAGCUGCCUAAUUUAUUGGUAACUUGUUUGUCAAGGAGAAUAAAAUUAAAGUCUUUAAUAAAGUGGAAACAAAACCUAGUUCUGUUAACAGGGGAGAAAAAAACCCGAGCAAAGUAAUUGAAAAAUCAAUUAAAGCUUUGAUUGUAAUGAAUUAAGGAAUAAAGAGGACACUCUAGGGGAAAAUCCCCAAAAAUAUAAAUAAAAUUGGCAAGAACCCAAAUGCGAGGAAAAUAUUUUUAAAAAAAUAAUUAAACUAGCCUUUUCAAAGUCUAGGAUUCUAUUUAAAGAAACCUCAUUGCUCCAUAGUUUGCUUCUAUUCUCUAACAUGAGGAAUAAAAUUAGAUACUACAGCUUUCCUCUAAUGUAAGAUUCUUGUCCUAGUUGUCCAAAAGCAAUUUUAAUUCUCCAAUCCUUCAUUAUGCGUUACAAUCAUAUCCAUUUGUAUUUUCUAGCCAUUUGACUUUCCCCAUUAGUUAGGAUCUUUGUUAUGCAUCAAAUUGAGAUUAUUAAUAACUUCUUCUACAGCUAACCAUGAUCCUUUACACCUCAUUGCAGGAGACUUAUAUUCAUAUCCAUAUUUAUAUUUACAUUUAUAUUUACCCACACACACACACAGUGAGAGAGAGAGAGACCUGGAUUAACUGGAAGAAUGUAAGGACAUAGCCACACUUUUGGUAGGAGUGGAUUAUUCCUAGACCAUUCAUAUGCUCCAAGUACGUAUGGCUAGCAGAAGCAAAUCAAAUGUUAACUCAUAGUUGCAAAACAAUUAAUAUUUUAGCUCAAGCCAAAAUUUUUGAGUUCAUACAGAAAACCACAUUUCCCCCCAAGAAGUUAUUGCAGUUGCACCCCCAUGGUCCAAGAUCCAUUUUCGCCCAUUUUCCAUUGCUCUUUCUGCACCAAAAGCUCCUUCACCAAGUAAUUUUAGAGUAGCAUAGCUGAGCACAGUACCAAACAUGGUGCUCGGACCCUCAAUGUGUAGCCCCCUACCUCCAUCUUCGUUUUGCAACAAAAUGUGCUAUCCUUUUAAUUACUUUUGUUUCUUCACUAGCAAUGUCAAAGCUAGCCAAGUAAAUGGUAAAAGGCUUCAUUUGGUUGAAUUUUUUAGCUUCCCAUCAAAAUAAUAGCACUUUACAUGAGUAUGUAGAGAUGUAGCUAGUACAUACAUGCAUUUAAUGUUCCAUAACGAGUGCAUAGUUACAAGUCACUCAAGUUGGAUGGGAUAACACAACAUGAAUAGAGUUUUCUACCACCCUACCAUUUGGGACUAUUAUUAUGUGCAAUGAAUGUGAAGUUAUUAUGUGGUAGGUGCAUCAUAAAUAUUGGUAAUAGGUUACUUGUAGGUAUUAAUGGUCCACUGUGGUACAAUCAAAUCAAAUGCUACAAAAGUUUUCUAAUAUUUUUUCUCUUAAACAAAAAAUGGCCAAAUUCGGGAUGGGUUUUUGUACACAAGGUAUAAAAUAUUGGUAAAUACGAAUAUGUUAGUACUUGGAUUUUAUAGAUAUAUCGAAAAUACCGGUGGAUAAUUUGACAAAAAUAUUGAUGAGAAAAAAAGCUUGAAAAAACUCUAAAAACGAUAAAAUAAGUAAGAAUAUAUAUAUAUAGUAAAGUUAUUUUGUAAGUGUAAUUUAUAUAAGUAUAAUUAAAUAUAAUAUUUAUAAAAUUUUUAUAAAAAAAAUAGCAUAAAUUCAUUUAAUAUAUUUAAGAGAUUUAUUUUAAAAUUAUAAAAAUACUUUUAUUGAAACAAUUUUUAUUACAUUUUAAAUAAACAAUUAAAUUGAUUUAUAUAAAAUAUUUUAUUUGAGAUAUGAUUUCUAAAAAUUUAUUAUAAAUAUGUGGUCACAAUUUUUCUGUUAACAUUAAUUUAUUUAAAUAAUUAAAAUUAUUAAUAAUUUAUCUUGUCAAGUUAAUUUUAAGUUAUUAAAUAUUAGGACUUCAUUAAUUUAUUUUUUUAUAUUAUAGCAAUUUUUUAGUAAAACUAUAUUUUUAAUAUUUAAAAUACAAACAUUUAAAAUUAAAUAAAAGUAAAUGGAUAAAUAAAAGAAAUUAAUAAUGAAGUGAUAGUAAUUUUUUUAAAAUAGCAUUAAUGAGAUAAAUAUAAAAAGUAGUUAAACAUAAAAAGAUAAUAUAGAUUUAAAAUAAAAAAUAAAUUAAAAAUGAAUAAUGAAAAACUUUUAAAAAUGAUAAUUUUUUUUUAAAAAAAUAAAAAUUUCAAAUAAAUCUCUGAUUUUAAAUCAACAAGGAAUCAUUUCCAUCACUUAUUUCAUAUGAACGUCAAGGGCCAACCUUUCAAGCUAUUAGCAUGCCUCCAUUUGCCUUACUGCCCAACCCACACCUCAAAUCUAGUCAUCUUGAAGGCAUGCCUCUAACAGAGAGUCAUCUUUAUAUUUUCCUACUGCACAUAGCUUAACAAAAAUAAGUUUUUCACCCACAUUUAUGCGUCUUCCAUGAAGGUUGUGCUCUUAGGUUGACUAGUGCACAUAGGCUACCAAUAUAAUGGUUUCACCCAUAGGUAUGCCUCUAAAAUCAAGGGUGUGGCCCUAGUUUGCAUACUGCAUAUAGUAUACCAAAAUAAUGUUAUCAUACCAUGGUACAAAUUUUGCUAUUACAAUUACAUUAUCAUGUAACAUAUCCCAUAAUAUUGAAGAACAUACAAUCACAAUAUAUGUACACUAGAAAAUGACUGCAUUUACAAACCCAUUAAACACAAACCCAGAAAAUGACACCACCACAAACCAUCCAUGCCAGGAAUAAAUUCCAUUAUAUGCCCAAUCCUACUAAAAGGCCUCACAAUGUUGAAUUGUAGGCCAUGCUCUACCCCCUUGUCUGUAAAGAAUGAAACAAAAAUAUAGUUCAAGCCUAUAUGAUACACAUACAUGGUAAGAAACAUCCACAUUGAUGGAAAAGUUAAGUCACCAUAAAUCAACCUCUAAAUCAAUUGCUUCGCACAGGCAUAAGACCACUUUUUCUUCUUAAUUGGAAAAAAAAAUGCAGGAGGAGAAAUAUACAAAUUUAAUCCAUUUGAACAAUAACACAAGAAGAAACAAAUAACAAAUAGCAUAUGAUAGCUUCAAAAAAAAUUUUUAUUUCUCAUUCUGCAAAUAGAAAUGAUAAAGCAGUGGAAUGUCCACAAUGAUCAAGACCAAAGAAAAAACAUUUUGUAGUGGAGGUUAAAACUUGUACCAAUUACUCUAAAUCUAUUAACCAAAGAAGAAAAACAUUUAAAUGCAAGAUAAUCAAAAAGAAAAACACUUGAUGAAAAGUCUUCUAAUUUUCCAUACCUAAUUAUCAAAUGACAGUAACUAUCUUCACUAAGGUGAUUGUGAAAAUCCCGGAAGCACCUUUUGAUUGUAAUAGACCAUAGAUGUUUGAGUUUGAACCACUUGUUGAAGAGCCUUAAUCACAAUUGGACCCGCUAUAAAUGCUGCACCUAUUUACUAAUGAAGCUGAGACGACUAAGAUAAUUAUCUUGCAGGGUGCCUAUAUGUAUUAUCCAUUGGUCUACCAGUACAGAAGAUUGAGAGGGUUUUAAAUAUUGUCAAUUUGAUUUUCAUAUGAGUCUUGUGUGGAAGUUUCAAUUACAAAGAAUGAGUACAACACAACUAUACUCCUAAUAAACUAUAAUUUAUGGAAGCAUAAAGAAAUUGUCAAUAAUAUAACUUGAAAAAAAUAAAUAUGUCAUUUACUAUAGUUUUAUAUAUAUAGGGAGGUGAUAUCAACUAACCUGGUAGUAAAAUAAACCAUGCAUGCAUUGGAAGCAGAGGUAUUGAUAACUUAUCCCUUCAAUUGUACCAUAAAGAAGGCAUGACAUAGCCUCAAAUUCUAUUAUUCACUAUAGAUGGCCAAGUAAGAGUUUAAAUUAGAAUGUAUAGUUAAAUAAUUGAAUGAAAUAUAACAAAAUAAAUGAAUUGUAAAGGUUACCCAAUACUAUUAUGCAUCGUUGGUUGACCAAAUAUUAGCCGCAACCAUUUCACCAAAUUCAUUUUCACUAUCAAGAACCAUUUGAAUUGCUCUGCUUACUUAACAUGAAUUAGGAAUUAAUGUCUUUUAUUCCUUAUCCUCCUGGUAUAUAUAAUAUAGAUUAUGAUCGUGUAAAAGAACUUAAUAAUAGGUUGUAUUCUCAACGUAAAGAAUUUAGAGAAACUUGUGAUAAAUUACAUAAUUUAAGAACUACUGUAAAAGAUUUAACCACAGAUAUUAAAAAUUUAACUUCUCUUAAAUAUUUGAAUGAAUACGAAGUAGCUAUACAAGAAGCUUUUGAUGAACUUUUUGCUACAGAAACCAUAAUUAGAAGAGAAAUUAUAAAAUUUUAUAUUGAUAAUUUAUAUGCUAGCUCAUCUAAUUAAAACAUAUUAGAGAUAAUGAACCCUCAUCUACAAACCCAAGAGGUAAAACAGUUAAAAUUUUUAGUAGAGACACAAUUAAAAAUAACAAACGAAGUAUUACAAGAACAAAUUCAGAAAGAAAACCAAAACAAUAUAGAUAUUUUAAAAGAAAUCCAGAAAAGACAAAUAAAAUCUGUAGAAAAACUAAACACGGUCUUAGGAAUUAGAAAAGAAGCUGGAAGACUUUAAGAACCAUAAUUUGCUAAGAAAUAACCUAGAUUAUAUUAAAGAACAAUUAGCUAGAGAAGAAAAAUUUGUUAGAAAAGAAAUAGAACAAAUAAAAUUAGAACAACAAAAUUUAAAAGAAACUUUAGAAAAAAUUAACCAAAAAGUAGAUAAACUUUUAGAACAAAGAAAUAUAGUAAUAUCAGAGGAACAAAAAUUAAAUAACCUUUUAAAACAAUUUGAAAACUUUAAUUUAGGAGAAAAACCAAUAAUUAAAAUAGAAAGAAAAAUAAAUCCUUUUGAACCAAAAAAUCUAGCAAUAAAACCAUGGAAAUAGUAGAAGCAAUAAACCCUCGAGACAAUGUAAAAGAAUUUAUUGAAGAAAAAUUAAAAAAGGCAGUAAAGGAAGUAACACCUUACAAAAAACAAUUAGUUCAAAAUUAUAAAAUAACUAGAUUUUUAAAUCAACAUACUAUAAGUUCAAUAGGAAAUAUUGUAUAUUUAGAUUUAGUAUCUCCAGAAACAAAACAUAAAUUACUAAAAAAUAAAACCGAUAAAUAUAUGCACUUAGGAAUAAUUUUGAUAGGAAUAAUAGGACUUCAUCGUAAAGAAAUUGGAGCACUUAUAAAUAUUAACCUUUUAGAUACUAGAAACAACACAGUAGGACGAGCUCUUUUAGCUAGUGCAGAAGUUAAUAUGAACCAAAAUUACGCAGUUAUUGGUUGUAUACCUCAAUUUUGUAUAGAUCUUAAGGAAUUCACAGAAAAAAUAAAAAUAACUGUAAAUACUAAAGGUUAUGAUAUGGAAGUAGGAAGUAAAAACCUUAGCAUAGCUAUAGGAUUUAUAGGAAAAACUACUAAUGCUUUAAGUUUAAAAUGUAUGAUGGAAUUCGAUGAUAUAGUAAAAACCUUUGGAAGUAAGAUAGUAAAUAUGAUAGAAGCAAAACCUGUAAAUAUAGACUAUUUACUAGGACGAGAGUGGGAAUUACCUCAAAUAAAUAAACCAAUAAUAAGAUAUCCAACAUCCAGUAGCUUAUAUGAAAACCAAGAUGGAAGUGCAAGUAUAACCUUUGGAAAUUAUAAAACUGUAAAUGUAGAGGUAGAGUCAGAUAGUGAGAUAGAAAAUGUAAAUGUUAUACAAGAAGAUAUUUUACUAAACAUUGAGACAGUAGAAAACCUAUACAAAAACUCAGAGUUAGUAAAUAUAAUGUUAGAAGAAUUUAGUAAUCCAAUAUUACUAGACGAACAAAUGGAUCAAGAAAACUUUGCUAAUAUAAUGUGUAACAACUAUACAGAUGACCAAAUAAUAGAACAACUCUAUAAAACCAAUUUAAUCAAAAAACUUAUAGAUAUAGAAAUGAUAAAUCAAUUUACUAUUCAACCAAAAGUUAACGAAAACAUAGAAAUAAUCUCAAACGAAUCAAUAAAUACAAUAAAUGAAGAAAAAGAAACUGUAAAUGUAAAAAGUGAAAUAGUAAAAUAUAAUAAGCCGUAUAGCAAGCCAAAAGGACCUCAAUGGAAAACUAAAACAGAACCUUCUAGUUCUUUGCAACCAAUAUACGAAUAUGGAACAAUAUUAGAUAUAGAUAGUGCACAAGAUCUUAGAAAAACCAUAGAAAAUUGGGAGCAAUCUUUAAAUUCAGCAGGUGUGGUAGUAUCCUUUGAAAACCAACAAGAAAUUUAUGAAUUUUGGAAAAGCACCCUUAGAGGAACUGUACUACAAUUUUUUAGAAACAUGGAACAAGAAAACAGCAGUUAUUUUCAAGAAGUCAGAAAUAAUUUUAGCAUAUCUGUAUUUAUAAAUCUAAUAAAACUUUAUUUUUUAGGAACAACACAAGAAGAUGUAAAGGAACCUGCAAUAUACCUUCAUAAGUUAGAACAAUUGAAAUUAUGUAACCUUUCAUAUAUAAGAGAAUAUGAACAAAAAUUUAGGAAAUAUGCAAUCCUUGCUAGAGUAGACAGAACCCCUGAAUAUUUAAAUAAAUAUAUAUUAAAAAUACAAGGACCCGUAGGACUUAGAUUAUGGAAUGAAUUUACAACCUCCGAGUAUAAAAACUCUCCUUAUAUAGGUGCUAGAAUAGAAUUUGUAAAAAAUUGGUUAGAAAGAGAAUGUGUAAGUAUAGGAGAAAGAAGUCAGAUAAAGAAACAAGACAUAAAUCAACAACUUUGUAGAAAAUUACAUAUAGGAGAAAAUCUAGAUAUAGGAUGCAGAGAAUAUAAGUUUAGAAAACCUAAGAGAUAUAAUAAAUUUUUAAGAAGAAAGUCAAGAACCUUUUAUAAAAAACGACCAUAUCAUACAAGGUAUAAAAAACCUGGAAAGCUUUGGAUAAAAUGAAAAAGAACCUCAGAAAGAAAAAGACAGUGUAAAUGUUAUUUGUGUGGUCAGGAAGGCCAUAUAAGACCUGAAUGUCCUGAACUUAAAAAACCAUUAAAUGAACGAAAUAGAAAAACCCAAGUAAAAAUAAACCUAAUAAAUGAGUAUCAGCUAGAUAGUGAAGAAGAAGAACUUAUCAGUGAAUUAGACUUUGAAAGUGAAAAUUCAAGUGUAUAUAGUGUAGAAGAUAGUGAAAAUGAAAAAGAAGAAAUUUGUAUGAUUAUUGAAAAAGAGGAAAAUCAAGCUAAGAAAACCCCUUUAAAUUUAGAAAACCUUGUACAACCUUUAGAAAGUAAAAUAAAACCUUAUAAUAUAUGGAAAGAUUUACAAAUAAUAAUCAAAGGAAAAUUUUCAAAAGAAGAAGAAGAUAGUAGUUCAAAAACUAAGGACACAGAAGAACACACAGAAGAACCAAAAAGUCCUGUAAAAGAACCAAUGAAUCCUGAAAAAAUAACCAUACAAACAAUAGAACAAGUAAAUAUGGCAAAUAAAGUUAAAUCUAUUAUUUUUCCAACAACAAUUAAAUUAAAAACCAUAGAAUUAAAGGUAGACGCAAUGUUAGAUACUGGAGCCAGUAAAAACCUUUUAUUUGAAACCUUAGUACCUCAAGAAGAUCAGCAAACAUUAGUUCAACCAGUAGAAUUAAUCCAAUACAAUCAACAAAAACUAAUACUAACCAAGUAUAUUUCAAACGUACCAAUCAUAAUUAAUAACAUAACCUUAGUAUUACCCCAAACUUAUCUUGUACAUACUAUAAGUUUAUAUCCUUUUAUUUUAGGUUUAAAUUUUGUACAUUCUUUACAAGGAGGGAUAACAAUACAAAAUAACCAAGUUAGUUUUCAUCCUAAAACCACAACAAUUGUUUAUACAAACAUAGAAAAUGUAUUAAAUAAAAAUCAUAAUGUAACAUCUCAUCAAAUUAGCAAAGUGGAGGCACAAAAGGAUAGCAUAAUUAAUGACUACUCAGAACAAUUAAGAAAUGCAAAUAGAUUAAAAACCCUUAUAUUAGAAGCAGAAAAAAUAGGAAUUAUAGGAGAAGACCCACAAAAACAUUGGAAUAAAAAUAAGACAACAUGUAAAAUACCAAUUAAAAACCCAGAUUUAACAAUAAAAACUGCAGAUAUAGCAUGCAAUCUUAUAGAUACAAAGGAAUUCAAAAUUCAAAUAGAAGAACUGUUACAGAAUAACCUCAUAAAACCAAGUUUCAGUCCCCAUAGAUCCUCAGCCUUUUUAGUUAGGAAUCAUAAUGAAGAAAAACGAGGAAAAGCUAGGAUGGUUAUUAAUUAUAAAAGAUUAAAUGAUAAUACAUAUGAUGAUGCCUAUAAAAUUCCGAACAAAGAUUCUUUAAUUAAUUCUAUUCAAGGAUGUAAAUAUUUUUCUCAGUUAGACUGUAAAAGUGGAUUUUGGCAAAUCAGAUUAGAAGAGGAUAGUAAACCAUGGACAGCGUUUUCAUGUCCUUGUGGAUUAUAUGAAUGGAAUGUAAUGCCAUUUGGACUAAAAAAUGCUCCUCAGAUAUUCCAACGAAUGAUGGAUAAUAUUUUUGGAAAAUAUUCUUUUGUUCUUGUAUAUAUUGAUGAUAUUCUUGUCUUUUCAUAUACUCUUCAAGAACACAUAAAGCAUUUAGAAUUGAUUUUUGAAAAAUUAAUUAGUCAUGGAUUAAUAGUAAGUAAAAAGAAAUUGAAAUUAUUUAAGACUCAAAUAGAAUUUUUAGGAUUAGAACUAGAGGAUGGACAAAUAAAAUUACAAGAACAUAUAGUACAAAAAAUAAAUAAUUUUCCAGACAAACUCGAAGACUUAAAAACCCUUCAAAGUUUUUUAGGAUUAUUAAACUAUGCUAGGCCAUAUAUUAAAAACCUUAGUAGAUUAGCUGGACCCCUUUAUAGUAAAACAAAAAAUACAGGGCAGAGAUAUUUUAACCAAGAAGAUAUUAAACUUAUACAGAAAAUAAAAGAACUUGUGAAACAUCUCCCAACCUUACAUUUACCCUUAGAAAAUGAAUAUAAAAUAGUCCAAACUGAUGCUAGUCAAACAGGAUGGGGAGGUAUACUUUUAGUUGUAACUAAUAUAGGAGAAGAAAAACUUUGUAGAUAUUGUAGUGGAACUUUUAAUGAUUAUCAAAAGAACCUUAGCUCUACAGACUUAGAAAUUGAAGCAAUAAUAUUAUUCUUAGAAAAAUUUCAAUUAUUUUUGAACCAAGAACAAUUUACUUUAAGAACCGAUUGUGAGAAUAUUAAAAAAUUCUUUGAAAACAAAAAUUCUUCAAAACUGUCCACCAAAAGAUGGAUAAAGUUUCAAAACUCUUUAAUUGGUUUCAAACCUAAAUUUGAACAUAUUAAAGGAAAAGAUAAUAUAUUAGCAGACUGGUUAAGUAGACAAAUAAUUAAUAAUGUCGAUAAUACUAAUGAUUGAUUUCAUGAUUACAGGAACAUGGCUCAAAGAAAACCUACGAAAGCUAGAACUUUUCAAUAUGGAACCAUAUGUCUAAACGAAGUGUUGAAUCCAAACCUAAGGUUUAACUCUUUAUUUUCUCAAAACCUUUUUGAAGAACAUAAGGUUAUUGUAGAUAAUUUUUGGUCUUUAAAACCACAAAGUUUUCCGAACCAAAAUUUAGAAUACGCUUAUGGAAAAACAGUGUCAGCUUUAGCCCAACAUUUACAAAACCUUCAAAACCAACUGAUUGCUUUAGAAACCCAAAAAUUCCAAAACCUCAAAAUCCAAGAAAAUCAAGAAAAACUGAUAGAAGAUUUGAAAACCAGUACAGUGUCAACCAAUCAAACCAGCUGUUCAAACAGUCAACCUGAAGUAAUUAGUUUAAUUAAGAAAUCAGCUCUUCUGACUGAACAAUAUGAAAGGCUUGUUGUUAAAAAUAUAAUUGGAGUUGAUAACUACUCUUUCGUCAAAACCUUUUUUCUACAAAACCAAUAUAACAAAGUGUUUAAAAAUCAAGAACUUUUGUAUAAACAUUUUAGAACUAAAAAUGUCGGGAUAAAAACAGGGUAUAUGGCAUAUCACGACCCUGAAUUUUUCUUUGUUAUAUAUUUAGCUUAUGUAAAUAUGUCUGCUGUAAAUGAAGAAAAUUUUGAUUUAGUACCGCAAUUUAUGGAUCAGGGAAUUUUAAAAAAUGUUUUUUAUGAACCAUAUAUCUCAAAUCCCUGAAAAUUUCCCAGAAAAAUUGAAAGAUAUUUUAACUUAUCUUUUUAAAACCGAAAAAUAUAUAGAUAUUUCUUUUGAAACCAUUCCACCUUUCUUUCAACCCGAUGGAUCAGUAGUACCAGCCUAUCAUCAUGUAUACAUAAAACAUAAUAAAGAACCACUCAUCCCUCAACAAGAACCAGAAUGGGAAAUGACCCGUUCAGAUGAAUUUCCAGAAUUUUUUACUCGCUACAGAGCUUUUCAAAUCUAUGAUCUUAGACCAACCCGGAAUAAAUUAUUUCAUCUCAUUGGCGAAACAAAAACCAUGUCUAUAUAGAGAAUAAAACCUUUAGAACACAUUAUUGUUCCAAACCCUUUUAUUACUUCUGAAGAACAGGAUUUUAUAACCGAACUCAGUGUAGAUAUACCGGAACCAUCUUCCUACCUUAGCGAUGACGCAUUAUUUUGGGACAACCUGGACGAUGAAAGUUAUCAUAAUCUACAAAAUGCAAUGGAAGGAUGAUGUCAGCAAUGACGACAUUGAAGCAGUAAAUGCGUCUUCAACUACAAAAAUUAAACAUGGCAGUACAAGUUCAGAAGCAGUAAAGACAUCCACAAGCCACGUGUUAUGCAUGAAAUAAAAAGAGAAGAAAAGGACAAGAGAAAGAGACAAGAAGGAAGAGAAGAACGGAUGAAUAAACAAAAGUCACAAGUCUCAAAAGUAAAAGUCUCCAAAAGUCUUUGUAUUUAUUUUAUACCAAACCUCUGAACACCGUAAAUAUUUUUCCUACCAUCCAACCACUUGAAAUUAAUUCUCACCUGUAUUCUCACCUGUCAUUUGUAAAUGCUUUGCAUAUAUAUAUGUGGUAGUAAAAGAAAAGAGAGGUGUGCCCGAGAGAGUGUGUCAAAAGGUGUGUGCAAUAGUGUCUGUAAAAGGAAGCUCCAUUUUCAGCCUGGUACAUUCAUCAGCAAUCAAUAAGAAAGUAAGAAUUUUCUGUUAAAUUUUUGCCUUCAUUUAAAUUUAUUAUGUAUUUUUCUUACCCUUAGGGGGUAAAAAGGGGUAAAAAGGUAAAGUUCGGUACUCUGAAAAUCAAUUUGAAUCUACAGUCUCCUUUCCUAAUUAAUAUACUGCAAUACACAGAGAGAAGCUCUGAUACCAACUUUUCUCAUCACAUCACCAGUUUCAACAACAGUUUGUUUUCAACAACAGUUUGUUUGAAAUCUCCGUUAGCAAUGGAAGUUUAAUAGAAUUUAAAGUGAGAACAAAGUGUGAACACAUUUAUUGCUAGCAUUAAAAUAAUACAAACACUUCUCCCAUACUUAAUAUUUUAAUAUAAACUUUACAAAGACUUAUUAAAAUAGUAUAAAAAUUUCAAACACUUAAUAAAAUAAUACAAAAGGUUUCAGUCAUUUUGAAAAACUUAAUAUUUUAAUAUAAAAUUUUUUCAAACACUUAUUAAAAUAAUAUAAAAAGGGUUCUGUGCUUAUAGUUAAAGCUUUUUUAACAUAUAAAAUUAAGUUUUUGAAAUCUUGAACGUAUAAAAAUUAAGUUUUUGAAAUCGGAUAUCUCAAAAAUUCAGGUAGUAAAAUUCAAAAAUUUUAAAACAUCACUUCGUUUCAAGGUAAUACCCCCCUUCUGACCAGACAUAGUCUCCCUAAAACGCCAAUUUUCCGGCAAAAACGGGUUUGAGGUCAAGGGUUAAGACUAAAGACUCUAGUUUUAAAACAUGAUUUUACACCCAAAAUUUUCUAAAUAAACUGAUUUUUUAUUUUUUAUUUAUGUUGAUGAGAACAUUAUAUAAAAAGGAUCCAUGUAUAUUACAUAUAUUAACUAGUAAAGAAAACUUAAAAAUAAUUCAAAUAAUUUUCAUUUCCCUACUUUACCUUUUAUAUAUAUAUAGCACAUAUAUACGCCUUGAUCUGAUACACUGAAUUUAUUUAUAGAUUAAUGAGAGUUGACAUGUUAGAAGAUAAUGGCCUCUCUUUAUGAUGUGGUCAAAGUAUAUCUUGUGUUUUUAUGACACCUCAUUAAUGUUUCUUUUUUGUUAUGUUGCUACAUAAAAUCAGACCUCCAUCUAUCAUGUUCUAAUAUUAUACAAAAUCAUAAUUCUAUCCCAUAAUGCCAUUAAUAUUCUAGCCCAUGGCUGAGGUACCUUCCAUCUUGUUAGCAAUUUGAAUUUCCACGAGUUCUUAAAUAAAAUAAUUAUUUUAGAGUCUCUAAAAUAUAAGUCACAUCAUCAAAUAAGAGAUUAUAAAUUAUAUAUUUCAAAGUCAUAAAAUGAAUAAUUAGUUACUAAUUUAACAUAGCUACUUAUUCAUAAAAUUAAUUUUUGACUAUAAAAAAUAAUUUAGCAAUUAUAGAAAAACAAUAAACUUAAUACUUGAAUAUAAUUAAAAAACUAAAAAUGUUAAAAUUUGUCUUAUCAUUUUCACUUUUUCAUAAUUAAAAAUAAAUAAAUAAAUAAUAUAUCAAUUCAUAUUUUGAUAGGUUAACCAAAACUUUAGAAACACCUUAACCCUAAAAUUUUCAUUCAAACAUUGUUAAUGUCAAUUCAAACACCAAAUUAAGUACAACUUACAUGGGCUGGAACCAUCCAAAUUGCAACCCUAUUUUUCACUUGUUAUUUUCUAAACUACCAACAUUGUUGUAGACUUUACACCUCAAACCAAACAUAGCAUAAAGGAAACCCAAUGGAUAUAUCAAAUUGGUAAUAUCCUUUCCUUAUUAAUGAUUCGACUCAUGGUAGCUUAGCUUUAAAGGCGUAUCAACAAAAUUUAUACCUUAAAUACUAUUACUAAAGUAGCCAAGCUACUAUAGCAUAGUGGUUCUAGGAUCGUUCACUAGGAAGGGUUUUCGCAAACACAAGUGAUAUUCAAAUUAGGAAAAUAGGUGAUUUUCUUAUGGAUGUUAGCUUUAAAAGAAAAUGUAAAUGUUUUAGAAAGAUUUAAACUAAUUUAAGCUAACAUUAAAGACUAAAAUGAAAGGGUGUAAAAACAAGUUUCUCAAAGAUAGGAUAGCUAUGCUCUGGCUCUUAUGCAAAUUGGAAAUCUCAGGAUAGGCUCCUCGCGUUGGGGUUGCAACUAUGGUGAUGCUUGCUUCCCGAACUGGUAUGGAUUUAGCAAAUCAAGUUUUAAUCCUUUAAAAUGGCAAAAUAGAUGGUAGUGAAUUUCAUCAAUGGUUAUUCACCUUAGACUUCCUUUGAAUGGCUCGUAAGAGAUAACUAAUGGUCUAAAGCCAAAAGCUUACCAAAUAUUGGCAACUCAAAGUCAUUCCAGGUGAUAAACUCACCUUUCAAUGGCCAUUGAAAUUGGUUCUAACGGAUUAAUGCAAAACUUGGAAUUGAAAACCUCACCUUCCAAUAGCUCGUAGGAGAUAACUAAUGGAUAGAAAUCCAAAAGCUUAUCAAGUAUUGGCCAUUGGAAGUUGUCAAAAGGAAAUAAAAACCAAACUUUACAUUAAUGAACCAUUAAUGAAAAACGACUACCUUACCUUCCGGGUGCGAGAAAUUUCCAUGGGAUUGCAUCCAAACCAUCACAUAACAUCCAUACUUUGAGAAACUAAAAGUUUUAGCCAAUCAUCCUUUGAGGAAAAACCCUCAGAGGCUGUUUGGCUACUAAGAAAAUAGAAACGGGAGAGCUCUGUAGAUAUUCUAAGUGUCAAACGUAAUAUGUAUUCUAUAUCUAUAUAUUAAUAUAUGUUACAACGGAUGCAAGGGGAUAUAAAUAGAGAAGUUUUUCCAACCUUCCUAGCUAAGAAAUCUUAUGAUUCGUGGAUUACAAGGAGAAGAAUGGAAAUUUAUACAAAAAUAUCCAAAAUAAAAGAUCUCAUGUGGAGUCGGCAAAAACAGAGGAAAAUUCGCACCACGCAUGGGCUGUGCGAAUUUGGAAGGUGUUGUGCGAAAUUUUCGCACAAGCCUGGAGCAGUUGUCUUCCGAAGGCCAUAUCUUCCUCAUUUCAGCUCCAAAUCGUACACGGUUUGAAGCUUUGGAUUCUUGACUUCCUGAGCUUUGAAAUGGUAUAUAGCAUGUAGAAAAUGGACUUCGGGAAGUGCUCCAAAAGUGCCAAAGAAGACUGCACCUGCUGUCCUCUGUUUUCCUCUUUGCUUCUUUUUGCUUCUCUUUGCUUUUCUCCUUUUGUUGGCUUGAUUUGGUGUAGCUAAAAGCUUGCUUUAACUUGUACAAGUAGCUCCUCCAUCAUUUGGCAUGCUUGAAUUGAUUCAUAAGCUGAUAAAAACAUGUAAACUUGCCACAAAAUGGUUAAAACCAAUUACUAAGGACCUUAAUGAAUUAAUUGGGUUAAAUGAAUAUGAUUACUACUCAAAUGUGCUUAAAACCAUUAUAAUUAGGUCUACAAAAUAGCACUUUUUGGUAGUAAUCAAUUAAUGUUAACUCCAAAUCAGAAUUGUUUUAAUAAUUUCUUUUUGAUAUACACUAAGUAUUUAGUUUAAUAAAAUAAGGUGAAAAACAAUACAUAAAGAAGCACUUUUUUAAGCAUGACAAUUUUAAAGUUUUUUCCUAAUAGUCAUUAAGUAAUAGAAGGGUCCACACCCAUGAUGACUAAAUGCAUUCCAGCACCACACAUAAGAGAUAAAUAAAUAUUGCUUCAGAUGCUUAUGCAAUAAGAAAAUGAAAAUUACUUAUUUUUUGGGAAAAAAGGGUUCUCCCCUAUACCCCACGAUUUUAUUUAAUAGGGGGUUGUUUGGAUGAGUCAGGGAAAAUAAAUCACGUAUUUGUCUCUCAUUUUUCCGUCUAGUUUCCUUUACUUUCUGGAAUAAGAGUAAUGUGCCAAACAACAUAUGGUAACUAGGGCUGCAACCCAAAUGGGUUGGGUUGAAUUAGUGAUUCAUACAACUUAUAAAUUAACAUAUUUGAUACUGCAAAUAAUUUUUCAUGGUGGAGACUUCACUUGGCAAAUUGACAUUGUUGGGUUACCUCAAAUGGUUCUUAGGAAAGGACCGGAGAAAAAGUUCCGUAGUGGGCCAUGGAAUGGAUUAAGUUUUAAUGGUCUUCCAUUGAUUACGAAGACAUUUUUUAAAUCUUCUUUGGUGGACAAUGUAGAUGAGUUCUACUAUUCGUACGAGCUUGAUGACAAAUCGAUUAUAACAAGACUUACUCUGGAUGAACUGCGAAUCUACGUGCCUGCUGUUGAGCAAAACAACCAAGAAGUUGGAUAUUGUGUAUCCACUGCUGGAUGAUUUGUGUGAUGACUAUGGUUGUUAUGGUGCUAACAACUUUUGCAAAAUUAACGAUAGGUCUAUUUGUGAGUACUUGGAAGGGUUUGUUCCAAAAUCACAAGAGGAAGGAAAAUUUCAAAAUUGGACCAGUGGCUGCAUUAGGAGAACACAAUUGGACUGCCAAAAGGGAGAAAAAUUUAUGGAACUUGAAGGGGUCAAACUGCCUGACUUGUUGGAAUUCUAGGUCAGCAAUAACCCUUAAGAAAUGUGAGGAGGAGUGCUUGAGGAACUGUUCUUGUACAACUUACACUAAUUCAAAUAUUAGUGAGGGAAACAAUGGAUGCUUGAUCUGGUUUAGGGAUCCGAUCGAUAUUCGAGAGUUCCAUGAAGAUAAUAAGCAGAAUAUCUAUAUCGGAAUGCCAACUUCAGAACUAGGUAAUUGUAGUUUAUGCAUUAUCAUACCAUAUUUUUUUCUAGAUAAAGCAUAAAAAUUUUUUUUAACAUGUUUUACUUUCUUCAUUCUUCAUGUCAUAGAGUUAAUGAAUAUUCCAGUGAAAGUAAGAAACGCUUGGUAUUUGUGGUGGUCUCAUCUACUGCCUCUAGAGUUUUUAUCUAAGGUUGGUACUUUGGUUUAUAUUUUGGAAGAGAAAGAAAAGAAGUAAGCAAUCUUUUCCAGUCUUAUGUAUUUUGUGCUCAAAGUAAUUAUGCCCAUGUGAGUGGACCUUCUAGCUAAUCCUUCUAGCUCAAAGUGUAUGAUAUUUUUAGUUCAUUUUCCAUUGAAGGAAAUGCUCCAAAGGUUAAAACCAUCUAAUUAAAUGGAUGAUGUAUCUUGCACUCUUCCAAAUUACAAGUUCAGAAAUAGAAAAGCAAGACCUGGAGUAGUAGUUGUUUGAUCUGGCUACUAUUUCAAGUGUUACUAAUAACUUCUCUGAUUCAAAUUUGAUAGGGAAUAGUGGUUUUGGACCAGUUUGCAAGGUAAUAUAGUCUAUAUUAUGUGAUAAUUAAGCAAAAAUGAAUGUUGUUACGCAACAUUCCAUUUCAAAAUUGUAGCGUACCCUGGCGACAGGACAAGAAAUUGCAGUAAAAAGGCUUUCAAACAAUUCAGGACAAGGCUUUCAAGAGUUCAAGAAUGAAGUUAUUUUGAUUUCCAAACUUCAACAUCGCAAUCUUGUGAGGCUUUUGGGUUGUUUCGUUGAAGAAGAAAUAAUGCUCGUCUAUUAGUAUAUGCCCAACAAAGCUUGGACUGUUUUAUUUUUGGUUUGAAACUCUUAGUCCUUUGUCUAUUUUGGCUACUUUUCAUUAAGUGAAGUUGUCUCCACUUCUACUUAAUGGAAUUUUUGAAUCUGGAAUAGUAUUUAUAUGGAUGAAACUGUUCUGUAGAUCAGGAAAGAAGUAUGUUACUGAAUUGGCCAAAACAAUUUGACAUUGUCAUGGGGGUUGCUCAUGGACUCCUUUAUCUCCACCAAGACUGUAGAUUGAGAAUCAUCCAUAGAGAUCUCAAAACCGAUAAUAUAUUACUUGGCAUAGCAAGAGUUUUUUGAGGACAACAAAUUGAAGCAAAAACAAAGCUAGUAAUUGGAACAUAGUAAGUUCUAUAUGUAUUCAUAUGCUAGAACAUAUCUUUAUCAUUUCCAACUACUCAAAUUUGAUAUUUCUAUGUAGUGGUUAUAUGUCUCCAAAGUACGUAAUUGAUGGCAAAUUCUCAUUAAAAUCUGACGUCUUCAGUUUUGGUGUGCUUUUGUUGGAGAUAGUGAGUAGGAAAAAAACAGGGGGUUUUGUCAUCCAAAUCACCUCCACUGGGACAUGUAGGUGAAAAAUAGUGAAAUAUUGCUAUCCCUUUCUAUACCCUUUAACAAGAAUGAUUAACAAUAUUCAUUGCAGUUAUGUGCAGGCAUGGCUACUUUGGAAUGAAGGCAAGACCAUGGAACUGAUGGAUACAUGCCUGAAGGAUUCAUGCAUUGAGUCUCAAGUAUUAAGGUGCAUUCAAGUGGGCUUAUUAUGCGUUCAGAAACUCCCAGUACACGGGCCAACAAUGUCAUCUAUAAUUUUCAUGUUGGGUAAUAAGGAAACAACGUUUCCUCAACUUAAACAACCCGAUUUGUUCAUUGAAAGAAGCUUUGAAGGAGAUGACAAAGGAUGCUACAUAGAAUAUAAAGUUACUCUGACAAUUCUUGAAGCUAGAUAGACAAUUUGUGCAGCAAUUCAUGGUUGAAAUACAUACUAAAAACAUAGAUGUUAGAUGAAGAGGAGCUGACAGUUACAGAAAUGAGGGAGGCUAGAUUCGAUCUCAACAAGCAACGAUAAGAACCCAAAUGAACUCAUAAAUCGAUUACAUUCGUACCUGGGAAAGCUCCUCUCAACUCGGGCCACCUCUCUCUAUUUUCACUGCUAGUUCCCCUUGCGAAUUGUGGCUGUAAAAAAAUGUGAAAGAAUAUGGGUUUUUGGAGUUAGGGUUUGGUUCAAGAGAGAAUAAGGGAUUUGGGGGUAAAUCUCACUAUUCAUUUUGUUAUAUUUUAGCAAAUAUUUUUAAAAAAAUCAAUCCACGUGGAGUGUUUACUUGGACGGUGACAUGUAAAUGAGUCAUGUCAUUGGCUUAAGUGGACAACUGAUUUGGACCUUGUUUAUGUGGCUUUUCCAAGGAACUAAUCCAACUAAGAGAGCUGUCAAAGUGUAGGAGGGUAUUUUUGGAAGGGUCUCAACAUUACUAUUACAGUGUAUGAAAGGUCACUUAUUUUCCCCAAAAUCCACUGAAUUUGAAAAGUAAAAAACAAAGUUUCUGGAAGGCAAAAUUUUGCCCCUUGCUAUAUGAUUACAUAAAUUUCCCUAAUAAUAAUAUCAGUAAAAUAAUAAUAAUCUUAAUAAUAAUAAUGAUAAUAGAAACAAUGGUAACAAAAACAAUUCUAAUGAUGAUAAUUAAAAAUAAAUAAAAAUAAAAUAACAACAACAAUAAUAAAAAUAUACAAUGACUAUAUAUACAUAUAUAUAUAUAUAUAUAAGUAGAUAUGAAAAUGAGCAAAUAAAUAAAUAAAUAACAAGAUAUGAGUACACAACACGUAUUUAUAAAGAAAACAUGCAAGCUACGUAGGCUAUGUAGGCCAUGUAGGCCAUGCAAGCCACGUUAACCAUGCAAAUGACUUACGGGUGUUGGGAUAAGCCUAAGCGGGCUGGGUGCCUAAUGGGCCUAAAUAUAUCUCAGCAAGCUGUCGUAAAAGUGUACCUAAUAUCGAGAAUGACUCAAAUAAGUAAGUUAUAUGAGUAGUAAUGGGCCACCAAAAAACUAUUGUGGAGUAAUAAAAGGACACUUAAUCAGGGCAUGACAAGAGGACAAAAUGGAGGGUCUACACGCUCAAAAGACAAGAUAAAAAGUCACAUACAUUCAAUCAAUAAAAAAUUAAUCAUGUACUAAAAUAUUAAAAAUCAAUCAUGCAAUCACAAAUAAAAAAUAAAUUAUGAACUCAAAAUUAAAGUCACAUAUAAUCACAAUCAUAAACCCUAAACCCUAAACCUAAAAUAUCCCUAUAAAUAUUCUAGGUCAUGAGGGGAAAAAGUUAUGAGAUGGAGAUGGGCCUGUAAAGACUAUUCAAAGUGGAUAGAGAUGUGAGGAAGAAUAGGAGGUACCUAGUGGAGUGAGAAGGUUUGUGGUAAGGUAGGGAUACAAAGAGUGGGGAAACAUGGGAUGUUUUGGGAACCCAAUAAUUGUAUCUGGUUAGGUCCUCUAUAAUGUUUUGGUUAUGUCCUCUAUAAUAUUGCAGUUCUUUCCUCUGUAAUGUUUUCUAUUGUAUAGUGAAAUAAUUCUCUCUCAUCCGUGGACGUAAGCAUGGUUGGCCGAACCACGUUAAAACCUUGUGUACCAUUUGUAUUGAUUAUUUUAUCUUUGUGUUCUUGAUUAGCGAUGAUUGCAUCAAAGCUUCCAUUGUCACAACAAACUGGUAUCAGAGCUUUGAGUUGAAGAUUUCUAGAAGAUUAAAAGAUCAUAGAGCACACAAGAUGAAAACAAAAGGAAUUUUCAGUUAAAGGUGGAGUCCAUUGCUCUCUCAUGGUAAUAUGAUACAAAAGCUUGUGUCAUGGAGAGUUUGAAGAUUGACUUCAUGGAAUUUGAUCAAAGGUGGAAAUUAUUAGGAAGUGUCCCAAAUUCCUAAUUAGUAUAGAUUUUAUUUUAUUUUUGUAAAGAAUAUUAUAUAGAAUAUUUCUAGGUUGAUAUAUUAUUGUAAUAUUAGAAUUUCUUAUAGAAUAAGGAAGGUUGUUUGAAAUAUCUCUAUAAAUAUUCUAGGUCAUGAGGAGAAAAAGUUAUGAGAUGAAGAUGGGCUUGUAAAGACUAUACAAGGUGGACAAAGAUGUAAAGAAGAACGGAAGGUACCCGAUGGAGUUAAAAGGCUUAUGGUAGGGUAGGGAUAUGAAGAAUGGGGAAACAUGGGAUGUUUUGGGAACCCAAUAAUUGUAUUUGGUUAUGUCCUCUAUAAAGUUUUGGUUCUGUCCUCUAUAAUGUUCUCUAUUGUAGAGUGAAAUAAUUCUUUCUCAUCCGUGGACAUUGGCAUGGUUGGCCGAACCACAUUAAAAUCUCGUGUACCGUUUGUGUUGAUUAUUUUAUCUUUAUGUUCUUGAUUAAUGAUGGUUGUAUCAAAACUUCCACUGUCGCAACAUGAAGUGAACUAUACCAAAGAAUAAAAAAGAGCCUGAAAUUUUGUCCUGACACAUGACAUGAUAAACUCAAGGAUUGACCACACAAGGAGAAAAAGGUACUUUAGAUAAGGGAAAUAAAAGAAAGCUUAUGCGAUGAAAUGAUGGAAAUAAUGAAUAUGAUAAACUAAUGAGAACAAAGAGUGUAAAACUGCCAUCUUUGAACACUAAGAACCUACAACCUUGAUUGCCAAAGAGAGAAAAAAAAAGGCUUUAAAUGUCAAAUAAAAAAUAAUGGCUUUGAACACUAAAACUAAGAAGAAUGAAUCUAAAUGCCAACACUAGGAAAAUAAAUGGCUUUGAAUGCCAAUACUAAAAACAAUGGCUCUGAAUGCCAAACCGAAAAUACUAACUCUAAAUGCUAAAUCAAAAAAAUAAUAGCUCUAAAAGCUAAACCAAAGAAGUGGUUUGUACCUUUCCUAAGAAAAGUAUACUAGAGACCUUUUUUACAAAGCACAUAGGCUAGAUUGUUCUACCAUAGCCAUGCUUACAUCUAUUAAAGAUUCACUAAUUAUAGAUUAUUUACAACCUUUCAAUCUGAGUAUGACACCUUGAUUGGUACCCUCGAAACCAAAUAUCACUCACACAGUUAACAAAGUGUGCCAAGAUCUCCAACAACCAAGGCAAAUCUUAAGGAUGUGAAAUGAAUCCUAUGUUGUUUAAAAGGUACCCUAGAUUACAACAUUUGCUUAUUGGCUUAAAGCUCACUAUCAUUAUAUGUUUUUGUUGAUUCUAAUUGUGUAGGUUAUCCAAUAACAAUGAUUAGCACCAUUGAUUUUGUGUUUAUCUUGGCAGCAAUUGUAUUUCCUGGUCUUCUAAGAAAAAAAAGUCAAUAGCAUGCCCUACAAUAGGGGUAAAGCACCACUCCAGGAUUGCAACUAUUGCAAAAUUAACUUGGCUUAUAUUUCUCUUAUGUGACAUUAGCUUACCACUUCCCCAAUUUCCAUUUCUCUUUUAUGAUAACAUUAGUGCAUUACACAUGGCCAAAAAUCUGGUGUUUCAUGCACAAAAAAAGCACAUUGAAUUAGAUUACCAUUUUGUCUUUGAAAAGUUGUUAUGGGACACCUUUAUGCUAAAUAUGUUCAUAGUUAUCUUCAAAUAGCUAACAUUCUUGCCAAGACUCUAGCUAGAAAGGCUUUUAGUAUGUUUAGCUUCAAUUUAGGAGCUCAAUGCAUGACAGCACUAGUUUGAGGGGGUUAAACCUCCUCUACAUUUAUCUCCACAACAAAACAAAUCAACAUGUCACCUUUUGAGACAAAUAUGACAAUAUGCAAGUGUAGACCCUCCAUCUAGUCCUAGUAGCAUAUGUUAUUCAAUGUAUUUUCCUUCACUUCUCGUUGCCUUAUAGUCAUCCCAUGGUGGUUUAUUUUUCGCUCAUUUGGUACUAUUUUUGAAGCCACCUUCAAAGAUUCAUUGUCGAUGGAUUUUUUUUAUUUUUAUGGAUCCCAAUUGUGACCUUAGUUGCAUGCUUAGUCUAACUCACUUAGUUUACUUAGUUUCAUUUUAGGUUUAGUUCACUUAGUCGCAUGCUUAGUCUAGCUCACUUAGUUCACUUAGUUGCAUUUUAGGUUUAGUUCACUUAGUCGCUUGCUUAGUCUAGCUCAGUUAGUUCACUUAGUUGCAUUCUAGGUUUUGCUUAGAUGCAUUCUAGGUUUAGCUCACUUAGAUGCACUUUGGUUUAGUUCCCUUAGAUGCACUUUAGUCUAGCUCCCUUGGGUUCACGCAUGAUAGGAUUUUUAGGAAGGAAGAGAUUUUUUUUAGGAAGACACGAUUGCAUAUUGCAUGAGAAGAAGAGAUUCACGCGUAGGAAAACUUUUAUUUGGAAUAUAUGGGCUAUCAUUGAGAGGUACACUACUAUUAGAGACUAAUUUUGAAAAAAGGAGUUAGGGCUGACACUAAUUGAUCUUGAAGAAAAAAUGAAGCAUCUUGAGAAGAAAAGUUGAAGUUUUGAAGAUCAAGAAGGCAAGACUCAAUGUAGGAAAACAAGAAAGAAGUAAACUUGCAAUCUUUUGGAGGAAAGGUAUGGUUUUUUUUAAAAAAAAAAAAAAAAUUUCUUACAUAUCUCAAUUAUGAUUAUCUCUUUAUUUAUUUGUUCUUUUUCUUUUUUUUCCAUCAUUUUUAAGUAUAGGAAUUCUCUUUGUUUGGGGUAGAUAAUGAAGGCCACUUUGAUUGUUGUUAAUCAGAUUGUUGAUGACAUAUUAAUGAGAAGUUGAUGAAUGGUUAAUUGAUCUCAUGUUGAUUAAUGCCUAUUAGAAUUGAGAUUAGAGUUAUUUUCUUUGGAAUUAUUUUCACUUGAUUGAGGCCUUUUGAUAACAUAUGAUAGGUGGCUAAGAGAUCCUUUAUUUGAUUUUUUAUGCCUUUGGUUUUAUUUUUGGUUAUUCGUUUUUUAUUGUGAUGUUUGGAGUGUUCACCUUGCUGUUGUUUUGUUAGAAUUAUUGAACCUCUAUAAUUAAAAAAUUGAAUCAGGUUAUUUAACAUCUCUCUAAAAUUUUUCUUAUGAUUGCUUGAUGUUGUAGACUUCCCAAAUAUGUUGAUAAAUGUUUGUUUGAGUCUUAAAUCAUUUUCCAAUUAAGAGAUAUAAACCAUUUUUUCACUCUAUUUUGAACACCCAAUUUUUUUUUAAAUUAAAUUAUUUCUUGAUCUCUUUAAUUUGUUUUGAUAUUUUUCCAUUAAUAUAAAUUCUUAAGUUUAAUUUUAGGACCCUGAUUUGUUGAAAAUUGAUUCUCUAAGUAGAAUAAAAAACCUCUUUUGCCUACACCUGUUGCACUAACCCCUUUUUGUAGUCAAGGGAAGUUUGGCUUAAUUUAAAAAUUCACAUUCUAUGAUUAAGUCAUGUUGUUAUUUUUUCUGUAAGUUAGAUAUAUUGAAGGUAUUGUACAAGCUUUUUUCAUGCUUAAAAAUAGAUUAAUUAAAUUAGUAUUUUCAUGCUAUAGGAUUUUGCUCUAUUUCUAAUCAAUAUAUUUGUGAAUUAAAUCAAGUAUUAAACGAGAUAUGAUUUGAUGAUUUAGCCUUUUGGGUUGUAAUCUAGACAUAGGAGAUGUUGUCCAAGCAUUUUCAUGGUGAAAUUUCAUCUCUAGAUAUUUGUUUAGGAUAUAUGUUGCAAGUGUCUUUGUUUUAGAUGCAUGUUGAUUGUUUAGUAAAGUGUUCUUAAAGUGAAUUAAUUUGGUAUUGAUUGACAUGUAAUUAAAUAUUUUGGGAUUUUGCAUUGUAAUAUAGACACAUUGAAGAUGUUAUCAAUUUUUUUUUUCAAUAUGCAAUAACACCUCUAGGUAUUUAUUUAUGAUUUAUUUUAAGAACGUCUAUGUUAUGACCCAAUGCUGAGUAUUUUGGAUGAUUUGUUAUUUUCACCACUUUUUGCAUAUUUUUAAAUCUUUUAGACCAUUGUUAUAUAUUGUAGGCAUAUUGAAUAUGAUAAGUGAAUUUUGUUUUGCACCAUAAUCCCUUAUUGAAUAUUUUAAUUAAACUCAUUUUAAAAUUGUAUGCAUAUUAAAAGUGUAUUGAAUUUACAUGACAAUUGUUACUUGGUUUUUUUUUUUAUUCCUUUAUUGGAGUAGUGGAUGCAUUAUGUAUGAUGAUAGAUUUUUAUUAUGAUUUUUCAUGUCUAUUUUUUAUUGCUUGUGAACUAACCCUCAUUGAUUUUAUGAAAGCACUAUACAUGUUAUUAAGGUAUGUUCCUCUCCUUCCUUUGUUUGAUUUUUUAAUGCAUGGUUCAUUUGAGUGAUGCAAGUUAUGAUUUCACCGUUGUCUUGAUUGUGUAUUACUUAUUUCUUUGGUAUCCACUAAUUUACAAAUCAAUUAUCAUAGUUGUCUCAACCCAUUAGUCUUCAAAUUGAUGAAUGAGGUUUUUUUAUUUUUUCUCAUUCUUCCUUUUAUUAAUUCAUGUACAAAGUAUAUAUAGAGAGUAAUCACCAUUCUAAGAAUGGGAAAGAAUGAUACAAGGAAGGAAUGAUAUAAGGAUAUAAUGAUAUAAGGAAAACAUUCUUAAUAUCUCAACACUCCCCCUCAAGGAAAGAAUGAUACAAGGAAAGUAUUCCUAAUAUCUCAACACUCCCCCUCAAGUUGGUGCAUAGAUGUCACACAUGCCCAACUUGUCUAAAAAUUUUGAGAACACUUGUCUUGAGACAGCUUUGGUGAGGAUAUCAACCAAUUGAUCUUCUAAUCAAAUUUUAAGCAAUUCCACAAUCUUAUCAUCCAACUUCUCCUUAAUGAAGAAUCUGUCCACCUCGACAUGCUUUGUACGAUCAUGUUGUAUUGGAUUAUGUGUAAUGUCACAUGCGGCUUUAUUGUCACAAAACAAUUGGAUUGGUUGCCUAGAUAAGUAACUUAAAUCUUGUAAGAGGAGUCUUAGCCAUAAUGCCUCACAAAGUCCUAAAGCCAUACCCUUAAAUUCCUCUUCUGCACUUGAACAAGUGACGACAUUCUGCUUCUUACUUUUCCAUGUCACAAGAUUACCACCUACAAAGGUAAAGUAACCAGAUGUAGACCGCCUAUCAUCCACUGCACCAGCCUAAUCAGCAUCAGUAUAUACUUCUAUACUCUGAUGAUCAACAUUUUUAGCGAACAAAAUUCCCUUCCCAGGAGCAUUCUUCAAAUACCUCAAAAUACGCAUGACUGCAUUCAUAUGUUGUUCUCCAGGAUUAUGCAUGUAUUGACUCACUACACUUAGUGCAUAAGCAAGAUCUGGUCUUGUAUGAGCUAAGUACAUUAAUCUCCCUACAAGUCUUUGGUAUCUUCCUUUAUCGGUUGAUACUUGAUUAGGCAAAACACACAAUUUCAAACCUUCUUCUAUUGGUGUAUGAACAGGUUGACAUCCCAACAUUCCAGUAUCCUGUAAAAGAUCUAAGGCAUACUUUCUUUGAGACAGAAAAAUUCCUUCACUCGAUCGAGAAACUUCAAUCCCAAGAAAGUAUUUCAAAGGACCUAGAUCUUUCAUUUCGAAUUCUCUAGAUAGAUAAUUCUGUAGAGCUUUUCUUUCUUCAGGAUCAUUUCCUGUAACUAUCAUGUCAUCCACAUAUACGAUGAGUGUCGUAAUCUUACCAUGUUGCUUUUUCAGGAACAAAGUGUGAUCUGAAUUACUCUGACGAUAGCCAAAAGCUCUCAUUGACUUGUGAACCUUCCAAACCAUGCUCUUGGGGAUUGCUUCAACCCAUACAAUGACUUCUUCAAUUUCCAUACCUUCUGACAUUGCUUUUUUGACCCCAUGCAUCUUGGUGGAAGAUCCAUAUAUACUUCUUCAGAUAACUCACCAUGUAGAAAGGCAUUUUUUACAUCAAACUGUUGUAAUGGCCAAUCCAGGUUUGCAGCUAAAGACAGUAAUACUCGAACUGUGUUGAUCUUAGCUACAGGUGUAAAUGUCUUUGUGUAGUCAAUUCCAUAAGUUUAAGUGUACCCUUUUGCUACCAAUCUUGCUUUAAAACGUUCAAUACUACCAUCUGCCUUGUACUUCACAGUAUAGAUCCAACGACACCCAACUGGCUUCUUUCCUAGUGGACAAUCUAUGAGUUCCCAUGUUUCAUUCUUCUGUAAUGAUUUCAUCUCUUCAUUCAUGGCUGCUUUCCACCUUGGAUUAGCUAAGGCUUCCUGCACACUGUUAGGAAUAGCUACAGUAGAUAAUUGAUUUACAAAUGACUUAUUUGAUUCAGACAAACGAUGGUUAGACACAUAGUUGCUCAUGGGAUAUUUGACAUUAGUAGACAAUUCAGGUUCAUAUGUGGGUUUAGGAAUACCUCUAUUAUGACGGUGUGGAAACCGUUUCAUGAAUGGAUCAGGUUCCAAAUUAAGAACACCUUCAACAGACGACGAUUGGUUUGGUAUUUUAAUGAAGGCAUCUUCGGACCCAAAUUGUUCAGAUGGUUCAAUUGUACCGUCUCUCCUCUCUUUUAUCACUUCUUCAACUUCUGGGUGGUCAUUACUACUUGGUUCACNNNNNNNNNNNNNNNNNNNNNNNNNNNNNNNNNNNNNNNNNNNNNNNNNNNNNNNNNNNNNNNNNNNNNNNNNNNNNNNNNNNNNNNNNNNNNNNNNNNNAUGAAACACCACAUCCAUUGUAAUAAACAUUUGUCGAGUUGGAGGAUGGUAACAUCGAUAUCCUUUUUUGUGCAAUGCAUAUCCAACAAACACACAUUGCAAUGCACGAAAAGUUAACUUGGUGCAUUGGUGUUUGUGUAGAUGCACAAAUGCCAUGCAACAAAAAACACGAGGAGGUAGAUUUGGGACGGUUGGGGCAACUACAACAUUAGUAAGAGAUUGGAGAGGUGUUUGGAAGUCAAUUGAACUAGAAGGUACCCGAUUGAUCAAGUAUGCAGCAGAUGUGAUUGCUUCUCCCCAAUAAGAUAUCGGCAUUUUUGCUGCUAUCAAGGAAGCACGAACAACCUCUAACAAGUGCCGAUUUUUCCGUUCAGCAACUCCAUUUUGCUGGGGUGUAUUGGAACAAGUAGUUUGAUGAAUAAUGCCAUGUCCUUCCAAAUACUUUUGAAGAUCAGAAUUAUGAUAUUCUUCACCAUUAUCACUACACAGAACCCGAACCUUUGCAUUGUACUGAGUUUCAAUCAUUUUAUGAAAUUUUUGAAACAACAAGUUCACUUCAUCUUUGGUCUUCAUCAAGCAUAACCAGGUCAUUCUGGUACAAUCAUCAAUAAAAGUAACAAACCAACGCGAGCCACUCAAAGUUGGUACUUUGGAUGGGCCCCAAACAUCAGAAUGUAUAACCAUAAAAGGAAGCGGACUUUUAUUCAAAAUUAACGGAAACGAAGUACGAUGACUUUUAGCCAAUUCACAAAUAUCAUAACAGAAACCAGAAAUAUCACUCCUUACAAACAAACUAGGAAACAAUUUUUUUAAAUAACCAAAGGAAGCAUGUCCCAAACGUCGAUGCCACAACCAAAUUUUAGACUUUUUCUCCUCCCCCUCAGAUCCAUCUACCAUCAAGGCUUGUCGCAACUUAUUGGAAUCCUUUGACUGCAAGUCAAAGUAAUAGAGUUUUCCCCGCUUAAUACCACAACCAAUCGUCUGUCUUGUUUGGAUGUCCUUAAAAACACAAAAUUCAGGCCAAAAAAUGACAAUACAAAAUAAGGCUGCAGUCAUUUGAGAAACUGACAAAAGAUUGUAAUCUAAAGAUGGAACAACUAAAACAGAAUCCAAAUUCAAAGUAUCAGUAAGAGUUAAGGAUCCUUCCCCAAUGACUGGGGUUGUGUUACCAUUGGCUGUGGAAACAAUUUUUUGUGAGGAAGGUCUAAGGGGUGAGACUUGUCUAGAAUCAAAAGUCAUAUGAUCUGUAGCACCAGAAUCAAUUAUCCAUGCACUAUUAAUAACAGGUGUAGAAGUAUUCAAAAACUUACCAUCAUAAUUUGUAGUGGCUACCAAUGCAGAGGCAUUCUCAGUAACAUUAGCCUCUGUUUUUAUUUCGACAAUAGCUGCAGUCGAGGUUUUCUUGGAAUCCUUCUUCCGUUGAUCACGAUUAUGAUCAUUAAUAACAAAGUGGUGAUAACCUAAACAUGAUCUAAAGGUCCAUGGUUCAAACCCUCGAUUCCUCAUUGUUUUCCUGGUCAUACCAAGAGUCAUUGCUUUGAAAUUGUGGGAUAUCCAGAUUGGUGGGAUUAGUCUUAUUGCAGUGAGUGCAUUUGAAGGUUGACUUAUCAAUAUUAGGGCUUCUCUUAAGAUGGUUGAUUGCUGUCGAACUACCAUAGCGACAAAAUAUCCAGGAUUUCAAUUCCAUGGCUCUGAUACCAUCUUCAAAUUGAUGAAUGAGGUUUUUUUUUUAUUUUUUUCUCAUUCUUCCUUUUAUUCAUUCAUGUACAAAGUACAUAUAGAGGGUAAUCACCAUUCUAAGAAUGGGAAAGAAUGAUACAUGGAAUGAAUGAUAUAAGGAAAUAAUGAUACAAGGAAAACAUUCCUAAUAUCUUAACAAUUAGUAGAGACCUUUAUUUAGGCCUUAGAGGGGUGCUAUCUUAUGAUACAUUCCCAAUAGGUAACCUGACUCUUGGACUUAAACUGGGGUUUUCAAAUGCACGAUUUUUCAAAUUAAGAGUCACUCUUAAGGUUUCAUUUCUUAUUUUGUUUUCCAUUUUUUUAAAAAUAAAAUAAAUGGCGACUCCAACUUUUUAAAAAAUUAGUUAAUUUUCACUAAAAAACAAAUCAUCAUCAAGUAAGGACGCAUGUGAAAAAAAUAGGUCCACAACAAGGCUAUUCCAAUGGGUUUUCCCUCUACCAGAAUAUUCAUUCAAGGAUCCAAUCACUAGAUUAUUUUCGCAUAAUCAUUUAGCUGUUGUUUAACUUAUAAAAUAGGAGAAGAUUUAUUCUUUCCAUUUGUAUCAGCACGACUCAAUUGAUUAGCUAAACUUAAGCAGAAGUAGUUGACUUGUCUUUCAUUUUCUACCCAUUUUUGUAUAUAUAUUCUGCAUAACGAUGUUAAUUUAAUAAGGGUCUGCUAUUGUUUUAUUCUCUUGCACAAACUAUUCUUCAAAGUACUCAACUGUGGCAUAGAUAAACCUUUCAUCUACUUGACAUUACUCAAAAGGCCUCGACGGUACUCAACAUUAUCUGAGGUUUUCUCCUACAGAUGCUUUGACAGCAUGGCAAUGCAACAGGCCUUAAGGCAAUGGCACCCACUUACAUACUGUGCAAGGGCCCACAAUGGAAAAGUAUUCCUAUAAGUUGCAUAGUGUAACAUGCAGUUCUUCAUGAAGGCUCCAGUGAUUUCCUGCCAUAGAUAAUUGUUGAUUAAAUGGUUAGACUACCACCCAGUAUACAUAGUUAGCUACAAAAGAACAUCAUUUUCCAUUUCCGAAAACCAUGUUAAAAUAUUGCUCCUUUCAUUUUUUAUUCAUGUUCAAGUGAGAUACCUGUUGGGGAAAAUCACCAUAUUCCAUUUAGGAAUUAAUCAACAGCUUUGCAGCCCUGUGAAGAGGUGUUGGGUCUCUCUCCACUUGUUAGAAAGGAAAGGUUAGACUCAGAUGUUUGGGGAGAAGCCAGAUUGUAAAAGUAAUGUAGAAGACCAAGGUAAGCUUAUUGAUGAUGGAACUAUAAAAACUAACCUGCCCAGAAGAAAGCAGCCCCAUCAGAGCCCACCCGGUUUGUACCAAAUUUGAAUUAUUUCCUUCAAGAGGUGUGUAUUUCUAUAUCACCAAGCACAAGGAUUACUUUUUUUUGUCCAUGUUUCUACCAGAAAACAGAGCAGUGGGAGGCAUGUAAAAAUUAGCUUGUCCGGGCAAGAAGUACAGUUCUCUCCCCAAGCACCAUCAUCUCUUUGUGAUUUGAGUAGAAACUUAACAGCUUUACGAAUAACAAGACAGUUGUGGUAAGUCUUGCCAGCAGCUGCUAGGCCCCCAAGUGCAAACCAUGAGCCAUAGGUGAAACAUACUCCCCAAUUGCCAUACAUGGUGAAAUGUUUCUUUGUUUAAAUGGAUCUGCACUGCAUAUAUAAAAAAAGAUUUCCCUAGUGAAAUAAUAAUAGUGGAGUUGAGAAACAUGCCAUCAGCCAUUAGGCAUUUGCAUGUCUUCAAUGUACUCAGCCGCAUUUGUGAUGAAAUUGUCUAUCUCCUUCUUCUUGUGUCCCAGGUAUAACUUCUUAAACAAAACUAGAGCCUGAAUUGCUGAUGCAGUGCACUCAACAUACCUGCAUCAUUGUUUUGUUAGUCUCCAAGGAUGUUAAAGCUAGCAAAGUUAGAAAAGAAAGUUGGUUUAUUAUCAAGAAUCUUACUCAUGCUCGAUAACAAUGUCUGUAAAAAAUUCAGUGGGGUUAAGUAGCUGAAAAGAGAAGAGAUUGGCAUUGAUUUAGAUUCAAAGAAUACAAAGAGUUAGAAAGAGAGUGAGAUAAUGCAGAAAUAUUGAAGUUACUUAAACAUGUUGAAGUAAUUUACCUCCAACCAUUCUGAAGCUCCUACAGGCUCCCAGGCAGCUAAACCACCAUUUUUACUCUAUAGUGGUUUCAAAAAUGGGGAUUAUUGCUCAUAAGAAGUUAUGACCUAUUUUACAAUGGGGACACAACCAUGGAAAUGGCGUAAGGAAGAUGAUUCUCACCUGUAGGGAAAGCAGGAUGUUGACAACAUCAAAUAGUCGUUCAGGUUCCAUCUUCAUACCAACAAUUUUUGGUGCCAUCCUUGAAAAUAGGAGACAACACUGUGACAGAGAGGGGACUUUAGUAAGAAACCAAGUAACGUUAGUUAAUCUGCAAGCCUUGACUCAAUUGAAGUGUUUGAGCAAAAAGAGUUACCUUCAAACCUUCUGUAGUGCAAUCAGAAACUUGGCAACCAUGAUCCUGAUCUGAGAAUGUCCACGAUCCCUUGGAAAUGUGGCGGUACAUGCUUUUAAAGUCACCAGAAGGAUUGUUCUUGACCUUCAAGAUUUCAAGCAGUAUGAAGUAAAUAGACCAUGAGAAACCCAAGUAGAUUCUGGUUGAAGUAAAGAAAUAAAAGAUGGAAUUCAAGAUCAAACCUGAGAUUCCUUUAUGAAUUCAUGUCCUUUCUAGAGUGUAGGUCCAAGUUCAUCAGUCAUAUUGCAAGCUAGAAGUGCUUGAAGGGCAAAACCAGUGUCCCACUCUUGACUACCAAAGCUCUGCAAUAAUCGACAAUUUCAAAACCAAUUAGGCAGGAAAGGGAUAAAAGCAACUUCAAACCAGUUGCAUACUUGAAAAAUUUUAAGAAAAAGAUUAACAGAUAUUGUCUAAUUUUCCUAAAAUUAUUUGGGAGAUUAGUGAUUGAACUUGUCUUCUGACCUGCAUCUUUAUUCCAUCUUCUGUAACCCAUAUAUAAUAUGGGAUCCUAGCAAGAUGCUUCUUGAAAUAAUCCCCAUUUGGAUCUUUAACCCAACAUGCAAGCAUACACAAUACCUGUUCAAUUUAAGCGAUCUCAGUACCCCACAGAAGUGACAUAUUGUCUGAAUAGUCAUUAUCCAUUACUGAAAAUUUACCUUCUUCAUAUAUCCAAUGGUAAUGUAUCGACUGUUUUCAUCUUCAUAAUGGAUGUGUUUCAUUGUUACUUCAAGAGCCUUCUUUCUCAACUUGUUGAAGGGCCAACGAGUAAGAAAAGGCUCGGUACAUAUGUUCAAACUAUCCCACAUUAGAUCUUGUAUUAGGGGAUGGGGGUAGUAGAGAUCCUCCUGAAAUAAACAAUUUUGAAUGUGUUUCAUGCACGCGUAGCAUAUUCAUACGAAAAAGAAAUUGUUUCCAUAAAAAAUCAAAACUUACCUUGGCACAAAGAUGUCGUACUUUCUUCCAGUUGAUUUCAUUAUAAGUGAUUACUACUCAAAAAGUGCUAUUUGAUAGCCUAUAAUAAAUCCUUUUAAACACUUUUGAGUAGUAGUUUAGGCCUUUUAACUCAAUUGGCAUGUUAAGGACCCUUGAAAGGGAUUUUAAUCACUUUAUGCAAGUUUUGGUGUUUUUGUUAGUAAUUUGAUCACCAAAGCAAGUCAAGACUGAGGAGAGUUUUGAGGAAUCUUGGGCAAAGCUUAGAAGUCAUUUGCCAAGAGUAAAUCCGGAUUGCAAGGAGAAAAAGUAAAGAGAAUCUGCCAUGAAGCAUAUUCUUGAUGACAGUCGUAGCAGCCCCUUUUGGAGGAUAUUAUGAAGUCCAAAUUAUGCAUUCUAUAUACCAUUUCAAAUCUCAGGAAGUCAACAAUCCAAUGCUUCAAACGGUGUGCAAUUCGGAGUUGAAACGAAGAAGUUGCAGCCAUUACAACCCAAUCACUCCGAGUUGAAGGAAGCAUUUUGCAAAGUGCUGCGAAAUCACCCUUUUGUUGCGAAGUGAUUCCGCAGCCUUUUUGUACAGUGUGAUGUAUCUCCUUCUGAAGUUGCCCAACAUAUACCACGAGAAGGAAGCUUGGAACCUCAAGGUGGAAGCCAACUUUGCAGCCCUCUUGAGUGUCUGCGAAAUCUCGCAGACACCAUUUUUCUCAUGCGAAAUGGUUCCUGAAGCCUCCCGAUAUUUGCUACUGACAUUGGGAGAUAUUUUACAUCAGAUUUUUGUUGUCUAAAUCCCAAAAUACUCCUUGUAAGCCACCAAUUACAUGAUUCCUUAGUUUUUAAGUUAGUAAAAAGAGUAAAUAUCUAUGUAAUAAUUAGUUUUAAAUUAUGUUAAUAUAUAUACCUCUCGGGAGCCUGUUCUCAGAGAGGAGUUCCUUCUGUAAAAGUUUGGGUAAGCAAGUAAAGUUCAGUUCUUUCUACUGCCUUACCUUCUCGCUUUGUAUUUUUAUUUUAUUUCUAAGUUAUGAAUUCUCUGAGGAGUUUUCCCCAGAGAAUGAGUAACUAAACCUCUAAUUCCUUGGAGCUAAGGUUGCCGGGGAAGGUUCCAAGUGCAAGAAUGCAAAGCUUUGUGGUUUUAGCUAUUAAUGAAGAGGAAGUGAAAUCCUUUAGUGAUUUCUAUGUUUUUAGUUAACUUAAAACACCUUAGAGUCACCUGGGCCAACACUUGGUAAGGCAAGUGAUUUCCAACCAUGGAAAUGCACUAGUUUACCCCUUGCGAGCCUUUGGGAGGUGACUUCAAGGUAGGAUUUUCUAGAAUAGCCAACACUUGGUAAGCUUUUGGACUCCAAGGAGACAUCCAUUAGUUAUCUCUUGCGAGCUUUUGACGGGUAAUCCAAGGUUAAAGAUCACCUUGAAUGGUUAAGGCUUAGUGAGAGGCUUAAACCAUUGCAAGUUGCAUCAGUGAGAGAAUUAAAGUGAAAUCUAAUUGAAGGAGUCUCUGUAUAACACCGGUUAGAGAAUUGAUAUGUUGAAUCUCUAACGCUAGGAAAUGAACCAUCUGACCAGAGCCGUGUCUUUUGCAUGAGGAACCACCCCAGUGAACCUAACUCUCCAGGGAAUGCUUUUCUUCCUAAAUUAUUCCAAACUUCUGUUGUGUUAGUUAGUUUAAGUCUAAACCUUUACCAAUCAAAGUUUGUGUUUUACUUCUUAAGCUAACCAUGAAAUGAAACAAAACCAAUUCACUUGGAAUUGGUAUCAUUGAGAGCUUGUUAAUCUUUCCCAGUGGACGAUCCUAGAGCCACUAUACUAUAGUAGCUUUUUCUUUGCUACCCUAGUAUAUUGUGUUAUAGGUUAUAAAUUUUGUUGAUUACUCCCUCAAUCAAGGAGCACCAGCUGGACACAAAUCAGCUGAGACACCAAUUGGGCACGAAUCAAUAAGGUUGAAGGAAGAGCUCUUUUCUGAGUUCUAGAACAAGAGGUGUGAUUGGGCCAAUGAAUUGUUUACCAUAUAAGUAUGACUUGGGCAUGUAAACCAUCCGACCGUAGCAAAACAUUCUUGUUGCAUUUAAGGACUCAAAUGAAAAGAAGGUAGACCAAGACAAAGCAAUACCAAAGAGAGAAAAAUAAAAUUUUUUUAGUAUAAGAUGUUUUAGUAGACAUCCCAAUGGAAACCCUUAAGACCAACAAACCAGUCCUAGGUUGGAUUUGUACGUAUUCAAAUGCCAUCUUAUCACUGUAUAAAGCUCAAGUUGCUCAGCUUUUCCCUUAUCAUUUUUAUCCCAACUCUGUUUUGAGUCAAUGUGACAAAUUCCAAAUUCCAUGCAAGAAGAUCUUAAUAUGUAAAAUACAUUAAGUGUAAAGUAGAUGUUAAAUUCAAGAACUUAACCUGGAUGCAUAGGAAGAAAAGAAGGGAAGAGCCAAAACUCUGGGGGCAUUGGGUUGCUUCCUGACUAGUCAAAUAAGCCAAAUAGCUGCAUGGAAGAAGCAAUUUCAUAUAAGAUUCAGUCCAACACACAAGAAUAAAUUGCAUAGGAUGAAUAUGAACUUGUGUUUAAAAUGUCCAUACUGAAAGCCAAGUCUUUCCCCAAGAGGGAAUGAAUGUCACUCCACCUCAGUCAUGGAUCCAUUUUCGCCCUCUUGCAUAAGCAUUGUCUCUUCCACCAUCUCGCCCUUCUCCAAGGAUGCACAUACAAAUGUAGUUGAGGGUUGUACAAAACAUGGUGCUGUGUCCCUCAAUAUGAAAUCCCCACCCACCAUCUUCAUUCUGCAAUGUACAUAAGCCAUUUUCAUACUUUAAAGCUCCAAGCCCAUUUAUGAGGUUAGGAUGAUGACUAGGUUCAAAAUAUAUGUACCUGAUGGCAGUAUUGGUAGCGAAGAAUUUCUUUAAGAAAUUCCUCGGGGAAUACAAUGUCAAGAUGCCCUGUAAUGUAUAGACGCAUGUCCUGCAUUUUCCAUAAAAUUAUGCCAUUGAGAAUGGUUGUUAAAAUGGUCUAUAUUCAUGAUUUUUAAGGAGGGUGAGAAAAUGUUGAGUAGACUCACCAGGGGAGGAAAGAAAUACAAUGGGCCAGAAUUUUCUACAGGCCAAUAGCUAUCACUAACCUGUAAGGCUGAAAAGAAAUGUGCACCUCUUCUCAGUGCUAUUGUGGUUGUCUCAUAUGUAAUUGCUUCACCAUCCCUAACUUUCAUUUGUGGUAUUGUUUGUUUGAAAUUCUUCUCUCUAAAAAAUUGUAGGUUUUUUUUUUUUUUUUUUUGGCCAAAUGAAAUGGGAGUUAGUGAAGAACAAAUUUAAAAGAAAAGAAAAGGUAAAUUAACCUCAAUAGUAAACAUCUAUUCAUACAAUUGUUCCAAGCUAAGUGGGACUAUUAGAGUCAAGAUAGGUGUAACAAUUGUUAAAGUGCAUAAUAUCUAUUAUGAGUCCAAAUCCUAUAAACUUAAUUUUUUAGGAAAUUGGUCCUUCAACAUGAUAUCAAAACUUAAUUUACCUAGGGCAAGGCCCAAAAUCACCUACUUGUAGUCAUGGUUUGAAAUGUUGCGAGCUUAUGGGAAUUGAACCCAAGCCGAAAUGUUUGGAUUGAAACUUGGCUACCAUUGGGCCAAGCUCACUUUUGUCAAUAUAUAUUCAAUUUAAAUAUGUUAAAUUUUAUUAUUAAAAAAAAUCUAAUUAUUUUAUUUUAAAUUUUAUUUAAUUGAUUAUAAAAGUAUAAAAACCAACAUUAUAAUUUUCUUAACAAGACUUUUUAUAUCAUUUAUAUGAUAAUUAAAUAUAUAAAAAAAUCAUAUAUGUGUCAUCAUUUAUUUUACAUUAUUAAAUGCAUUUGAAUUAAAUAAAUUAUAAUUUUAAUAUUAAAUGUAUUAUCAUUUAUAUCAUUAGUCCUAUUUUAAAAAAUUACUAUCACUUCACUUUUAAAUUUUUUAUAUUUAUCCUUUUAAUUUUGAAUCUUUUUAUUUUAAAAUAUUAAAGAUAUAAAUUUAUUAAAAAAAUACUAAAAUAUAAAAAAAUUGAUGAAGUCCUAAUAUUUUAUAAAUUAAAAUUAAUUUGAUAAGAUAAAUAAUAAAUUAUAUAUUAAGACUCGUAUAUCGUUGUUUACCAAUCUUUUUCUUCUUAACCAUACCUAUAUCAAUUACACUUACAUAAUAACUUUAACAUGUAUAUUUUUAGUUAUUUUAUCAUUGUUUGGAAUUUUUCCAAAUAUUUUCAUGAAUUUUGAAUAAUUUUCAUCUCAUCGAUAUUUUUGUCAAACUAUCCACCACUAUUUCUCCUAUAUUUCUGAUAUAUCCAUAAAAUUCAAGUACUGAUAUAUUCGUAUUUACCAAUAUUUUAAAUCAUGCUUAUAGUAUCCCUAAUAUAUGCUAGGUGGUGAACCUCAUAUGGUCUUCUUGUGUGGUCACCUCAUUUGAUGGGAGGCCAAGUGUUCACCAACAUGUUCUUUUCCCGAUUUAUUAAAAAGUCUACGUGUAAGCCAAAAAUAGGAGGCUACACAUGCAUGAGGAGCAGUAGAGCUAGGAAAUGAAGUGAAUGGGGCAUAUAUAUAUAUAUAUUAGGGAGCAAAAAUGAAUAAAGUUAACAUAUAGCAAAGUGGUAGAGUCUUCUAUUUUUCCCCUUAGAGUCAUUUUUUUUGGCUUUGCCCCUAUGCAUGAGGGUGUUAGAAAGCAUGAGAGAAAGUGCUACAUAUAUAUGAGCUCGCAUAUAUUGUGACUCCAAAUCCUAUAAAUUUAAACUUUUAGGAAAAUUCAUUGUGCAAGAACAAUGACCAAUUGAUUUGUUUGGAGGUGAAAACAAGAUUAUAAAGAGGAACCCAUAUCUUGCUCUUUCUUGGGUUCAUUUUUUCAUGCAAAUCAUCACCUAUAAUCAAACAAAAAGAAACAAAAUAUGAAAAGCUAUGUAGCUAGACUACAUAAAACAAGAAGUAUGUAUGCAUGGAAGACAUGUAUAUUCAGUGAAAAACUGCAAUCUAGGACGCAGAUGACAGAUCAAUAUCUGUUGUGAUAUUAGGACUUGAGAUAGAUGGGAUCAAAUCACCUGCAUCCGCCAAAGGAGGUUGCUGCUGGGCUUAACUUGAUAUCGGUUUUUCCAGAAGUUCUCACGAGCUGCUUCGACCUCAUCUCGCUCUUCUAAGGUUCCAUAAUUAGGAUCAAACUCCCAUAUCUAUCUUCCCACGAAGUUGUUGGUGUUGUAGAUGUAAGGAUCAUUGCCCCCAUCUGCAACCUUGAGCCUCCACAUUUUCUAACUCACCAAACUGAAGAGAUAUAUCUCUAUAUAUAUCUAAGUUAACAAAUAUGUGUGUCUUGCUUUCGAAAACACCUGCUGAUCAUCCAAUCACCAUAAAGGUAAGACAAGCUUUUCUUUGCAAUAAAAUUAAGUUAAAAUGAUACAGACCAAGAACAGAGAGAUAGGUGUCGGGUGGGCAGAGAAGAGAGAAACUUAAAAAACUUGGAAGGGAAAGUUAGGUUUUGGGCUAUUGAUUUGGAAAAUAUAUGGUUUUAAAAAUCCAAAUACAUAAAAUAUGACAUCUAACUAUUAAUAAGUAAAAUAAUAUCCAAAACAUGCACUAUGUCCUGUUUACUUUUCCUCUUCCCAGAUUGCCCCUAAAUUUCUCCAUGUCAUCAACAAAUCCUCCCCAUGUCAGCAGAAAAUUUGAAACUUGGAACUCUUUCUCAAAGCUGAAACAUAAAGAAACUCGACCCGAGAACCAAAAGUAAGAAAUCUCUCUCUCACUUCUAGUCAUUUUGACCUAAACCCAUCUCAUGAAAUUCCCUUUUUUAAUAUGGGGAUUGAUACAACAACUGCCUACAAUGGCAACGAUGUGUCUAAGUUGCCAUCAAGUGACUUAUUUGCGUGGGCCGGAAAUGGGAUAUGGGACAAUGGGGCAGCGUGUGGGAGGCAGUACUUUGUCAGGUGUUUGAGCGCACAAACUCCAGGGACGUGCAAAACUAGUCAGAUCAUUAAAGUGAAGAUAGUUGCUAGAGCCUCUAAGAAUGGAGCGAUCCUUGUUCUUUCUAAUAUUGCAUUUGGGGUUAUUGCUAAUCCUUCUGCCGCUUUGGUUAACAUAGAGUUUGCCGGGUAAGUGUCAUCCCUUUUAAUAUUAAUUACAUUGAAUUAUCUUUCAGGUAAUUAAUUUUUUAAAAAAUUAUUUCUGCUGGAAUUUUUAAUGUUCUUUUAUGGUGCUUGAUGUGUGCGCAGGGCUUGAGGGUAUCAAUGCAAAUAUAUGUCUGAGGGAGCUGCCUUUUUGCUAAUGAGGUUUCCAUUUGUCCAUUGUUUGAGCAUUUAUUAUUAUUAUUAUUAUUAUUAUCAUCUAUUUUUGCGAUUUUUAAUGAAAUUCAAUUUCGAUUUUUGUGAUUACAUGGCUGUGUUUUUUGUAAAUCAAUGUAUUUGACACGAUUACAAGUCACUAUUUUUCUACAUAAACAAAGGAAUUGUUUAUUCCUUAGUUCCUAAAAAGUGUAUUCAAUCUAGAAAAUGUUUUUUGGUACUUAGUUGUUUCAUCUCUUUGAAAGAGAACUUCUGAAUUUUAGGAGUUCAUUUAUUUCAAUGAUGAUUGAUAUGCAAUGAUGUAAGUAGUUCCCAUGACAGAAACUGGUCCAAGAAGCUAGCAAAUAUGUUAAUAAGAUUGAUUCCACUGGGGGAAAAAAUAUUUUUCUUGCCUGAUUCGUGCCCAAUUGGUGUCUCAACUGAUUUGUGUUCAGCUGGUGCUCCUUAAUUGAGGAAGUGAUCAACAAAAUUUAUACCUAUAACACCAUACACUAGGGUAGCAAAUAAAAAGCUACUAUAGUAUAGUGGCUCUAGGAUCGUUCACUGGGAAUGAUUAACAAGCAAUCAAGGAUACUAAUUCCAAGUGAAUUGGUCUUGAUUCAUUUCACGGUUAGCUUAAGAAAUAAAACACAAACUUUGAUUGGUAAAGGUUGAGACUUAAACUAACUAACUUAACAGAAGUUUGGAAUAAUUUAGGAAGAAAAACAUUCCUUGGAGAUUUAGGUUCACUGGGGUGGUUCCUCAUGCAAAAGACACAGCUCUGGUCAGUUGGUUCAUUUCCUCGCAUUAGAGAUUCAACUUAUAGUCAAUUCUCUAACCGGUGAUGUACAGAGACUCCUUCAAUUAGAUUUCACUUUAAUUCUCUCACUGAUGCAACUUGCAAUGGUUCAUGCCUCUCACAAGCACUUACCAUUCAAGGUGAUCUUUAACCUUGGACUUCCCUUCACAAACUCGCAAGAGAUAACUAAUGGAUGUCUCCUAGGAGUCCAAAAGCUUACCAAGUGUUGGUAAUUCCAGAAAAUCCUACCUUGAAGUCACCUCCCAGAGGCUCGCAAGAGGUAAACUAGUGCAUUUCCAUGGUUGGAAAUCACUUGCCUUACCAAGUGUUGGCCCAGGUAACUCCAAAGUGUUUUAAGUUAACUAAAAACAUAGAAAUCACUAAAGGAUUUCACUUCCUCUUCAUUACUAGCUAAAACCACAGAGCUUUGCAUUCUUGCAUUUGGAACCUUCCCCGGCAACCUUAGCUCCAAGGAAUUGGAGGUUUAGUUACUCAUUCUCUGGGGAAAACUCCUCAGAGAAUUCAUAACUUAGAAAUAAAAUGAAAAUACAAAGUGAGAAGGUAAGGCAGUAGAAAGGAAAUAGACUUUACUUGCUUACCAAACUUUUACAGAAAAGAACUCCUCUCUGAGAACAGGCUCCCGAGAGGUAUAUAUAUCAAACCAAUAUAAAACUAAUUGUUACCAAGAUAUUUAGUCUUUUUACUAACUUAAAAACUAAGGAAUCAUGUAAUUGGUGGCUUACAAGGAGUAUUUUGGGAUUUAGACAACAAAAAUCUAAUGGAAAAUAUCUCCCAAUGUCGGUAGCAAACUUCGGGAGGCUUCAGGAAUCAUUUUGCAGGAGAAAAAUGGUGUCUGCGAGAUUUCGCAGACACCCAAGAGGGCUGCGAAAUAUUUUCGCAACACCAAGCUAUCUUCACCAGGCUGCAAAGUUGGCUUCCAUCUUGAGGUUCCUAGCUUCCCUCUCGCGGCAUAAAUCAGGCAUCGUCAGAAGGAGAAACACUCUACUGUACAAAAAUGCUGCGAAAUCACUUCGCAACAAAAGGGUGAUUUCGCAACACUUUGCAAAAUGCUUCCUUCAGCUCGGAGCGAUUGGCUUGUAAUGGCUGCAACUUCUUCGUUUCAACUCUGAAUUGCACACUGUUUGAAGCAUUGGAUUGUUGACUUCCUGAGCUUUGAAAUGGUAUAUAGAAUGCAUCAUUUGAACUUCAGAAAGUGCCCCAAAAGUGGCUGCUACGACUGUCAUCAAGAAUAUGCUCCAUGACUGAUCCUCUUUGCUUUUUCUCCUUGCAAUCCGGAUUCACUCUUGGCAAAUGACUUCUAAGCUUUGCCCAAGAUUCCUCAUAGCUGUCCUCAGAUUUGACUUGCUUUGGUGAUCAAAAUACUAACAAAAACACCAAAACUUGCACAAAGUGAUUAAAAUUGCUUUAAAGGAUCCUUAACAUGCCAAUUGGGUUAAAAGGCCUAAACUACUACUCAAAAGUGUUUAAAAGGAUUAAUUAUAGGCUAUCAAAUAGCACUUUUUGAGUAGUAAUCAUUGCCUACGUGUAGAAUGUAGUAUUAAAACAUUGGUGUUGGACCUGUUAAUAGUGUUGGAAUGAUAUACGGUGCUGGUACUUACAAGAUGUUGUUGUAAAAAAUGGUUUCUAGAUUUAUGGACCAGUGGUAAAGUAAAAUAUUAUAAGUUGUGAUUGAUUCAUCCUCAUUGCAGUCAUGCCAUUUGAUUCUGGCCCAGAUAGGUGUUAUCAACAAAAUUUAUAAAACCUAAAUCACCUUAAACCAGGGUAGCAUAGCUAACAUAGUAUAGUGGUUCUAGGAUUGUCCACAGGGAUGGGUUUUUAUCAUACAAUUGACUUUAGUGAAGGAAAUAAAAUGGUGUUUUUCCUUAUGGAAAUUAGCUUUUAAAGAAAAUGAAAUUGUGGUUGCAAAGAUUGAUUUUAAGUUAAGCAAAAAUAAUAAGUGAAGUUAACUACAAAGAAAAGGUCUCUUGGAGCUUUAGGUCACUAGGAUCAGGUUCCUUAGGCAAAGAAGGAGAUUCUAGAUCUUUUCCUCGCGUUGGGGACAAUAACAUAAAUGAUGGUUAUCUCCCGAACCGGUUUUGUAUUUAGCAAUUAAGAUUUGAUCCAAUGGGUUCAUGAAAAAUGGUAGUUGCUUCCCAUUAAUGACUUCAAACACUAAAGACCCUCACCUUGAACCACCUUCCAAUGGCUCAUACUUGAUAACUAAUGAACAUCCAUGGAUCUAGCAAUAAACAUCCAUAUAAUCUGGAAAGCUUAUCAAGUAUUGGUCAUUCAAGGUGAUUCUCACCUUGAACCACCUUCAAUGGCUCGUACUUGAUAACUAAUGGAUAUUCAUGGAUCUAGCAAUAAGCAUCCAUAGAAUCCGGAAAGCUUACCAAGUAUUGGCCAUUGAAGGUGAUUCUAAGGGAUUUAAAGCUAAAUUUUGAAAUAAAAACCAUUAAUGGUUAACAACUACCUUCAUUUAAAGCAAGGAAAACUCCCACCUUUGCAUUCGGGUCUUCACCUAGUUUCCAUCACUCUAAGAAACGUAAAACUUAGCCACUCAUCCCCUGAGAAAUCAUUCUCAGAGGUUGUUUGGCUAGAAAGAAAAGUGAAAACAAAAUGAGAAGGAAAGAUAGAGCAAAAGCUCUGUAUAUUUCUUACUAUGGAUCUCCCAAGCCUCGGGCCUUCCUCUGUAACCCUUAGACCAUGCCAUUAUGUGGUUCUCUUGAGUGUUUAAGUGGUCCACCAAAGGUUUUUUGGGACUGUACCUUAGGUACUACCUUAAUGGCCUUUAGGUACUACCUUAAGGGACCCUAGGUACUACCUUAGCUAAAUAUGAACUCUAUCUUUCCCUAGCCUCAGGAUUUCCUUUGUGACCCUUAGACCAUGCCAUUAUGUGGUUCUCUUAUGUGCUCAACUCCAAGAUUCAGCGCAAAGGUUUGUAACAAAACAUACAAAAUGGAACCAUUUGGAAGUUUUCUAUGUCUAAUUGGUAAUACUGCAUUAAAUGUCUGGAGAACUUGAGACAACUACACUACCUAUUUGUGUUGAUUCCACCUAUGCCCUUAACCAUUAACUUUUUACUCAUAUGUGGAUUGAUGAGUCCACCACCAAAAUUUUGCUCACAUAUUAUCUGUAAUAUUUUCUUCAUUUUCUAAUUUAAGUUUUAUUGUCCACAAUUGUCCUUCUUUAGCAUGUUUCUUGAUUAAUCAGGUAUUGAAUCAAGAUUCAAUAUCUCUUAAUACUUAAAAGUUCCUAGAUUCAACUGUUUUUUUAUUUACAUUUUCUACCACUUGGCACUUUGGUAGAGUUCCACAUGGAAGAAACUGGAUAUGUGAUGCGGACAAAAUUCCAGCAUGCCCCCAUUGAUUAUAUUAUGUUCUUUUAUUCCAUUUUUUUAACUCUUCUGUCACUAAUGGUAGGCUUAAAGAGAAGCUUUCUAAUUUAGAAUCAGAUAAUCAAGUACUUUGUCAACAGGCACUGACCAUAUCAGCAACUGCUAAAGCUUUAUAUGCACGACCAAAAACACCAAUUCUUCAGGUAUCAACAACAUGCAAUUUAUCUGUUGUUGCACCUCAAAUGUCCUCAUGGAAAUAAAUGUUGAGCUUUUUUUUUUUAUUUUUUAUUGUAUUGCAGAGAACUCCUGAGAAUGGAAAUGUUCUAAAUGGAGAAGCAAAGAAACAAUUGGUAAGAAAUCUCGAGUAAUUUUAUCACUUAUGUUACACCCAACACUCCUGAUUGAGAGAUGAAAAAUAAACCAUGUAUUUUGUGUCCCACCAUCUUUAAAAUGUCUUAUGAUUCAAGUCUUGCCCUUUCUUCUCCACGGGAACCUGAAUCUAAGGAAAAGCCCUAGAAAUCUCUCAAUGAAAAGCACCAGGUGGAUAUCCUCUUUCGGUCUUUCAUUUUUUGUUUUUCUUCCUUUUCCAAGGCAGUAGUUUGGUGGUCAUUUAAAAAUUAUGAAUUUUUACCUGAGGCAUGCUCCACAUGUACUCAAUAUUCAUAUUACUGCUUGUACUCCCCGGAUAUUUUCUUCAUGGUAAUAAUUUUUUCUGGUGCAGGAAAACCAAGACCUGCUAAUCAAGUGUAUUUCACAAGAUUUAAGAUUCUGUGGGGGCAGGUCUAUUGCUGCUUGCCUGAUUUACAAAUCCCUUUUCCAAUGGAGGUCGUUUGAGGUUGAACGAACUAGUGUAUUUGAUCGUAUCAUUCAGACAAUAGGUGCAGCAAUAGAGGUAUAAUCGACCUCUAUUUUACUUGGUUUCUAUAUCCUGAUGUUUGAAAAUAGUAACUACUGUCAAUCCCCUUGUUGGACCUAGUAAACUGAAUUCAUUUUGCUUAAUGGCACCAAGACAUUUCACUGGAAGAAUGAGUGAAAAUUAACUGGAGAUCAAUUCAUGCUUGAAUUCUGAUGUUAUAAGCUAGAUGAUAACAUUUUGUAAAAUUCAGUAUCUGAAGGUCCAGGAUAACAAUGAUGUCUUGUCCUUUUGGUUAUGUAAUUCGUCUACACUGUUGUUGCUUCUUCAAUGCACACUUAAAGCAAGUGGAACAGCUAGCUUAACUCCACAAAGGCGGAGAUCAACAUCAACUUCUUUCUUUGGGAGGAUGUCUCAAGUAGGAAAUGGGAUUUGUUUUAUCUUUGCAACCAACCAGGACAUUUGAUAUAGCUUCAUUUUUUGUUUAUGUUUCUAUUUUCUUAAUUGAUGCCUUACAUUUUUAGGUGCUUCGUGCAUCUCCACAAAGUAUUGGGUUCACAUUUCUUAAUGGUCAGGUUCUUGGUGGAUUGGAUGACUUGAGACAAGUUGAAGCCAAAUAUCUAGCUUUGGUUUUUAAACAACAACUCACAGCCUUCCUUGAGAAGAUAUAUGGAAUGAUAAGAGACAAUUUAAAGAAAGAUUUCCCCAUUGCUUGGAUUGUGUAUUCAGGUAAUUCUUCUUAGCAAUUGUUAAUUCGAAACAAAAUAUGAAUGGUAUGAAUAGUUCCAUUUAAUAUCAAAAGCAACUCAUUUUUUGAAGAACCCUUUUUUAUGUAAGUCCUUCCUUAACUACCCAACACAUCAGUAUUCAAUCUAUUGAUAUUCUUAUGAGUCAGCCUACAAUUCACUUAUUAAGGUCAAGAAAUGAAAAACUUUUAUUUGUAAUUAUUUAAAACCAAACACUCAAUUUGUUGCUUUACUUUCAUGAAAGAUUAAAGAGCAUGUUUGUUUAUUUUGUUUGGUUGCAAUUCAAUUCUUUUAAAUACAAACAAAUCCAUUGACUAUCUUUUCACAAUGGGUUUAUAAGACUUUUUUUUUGUACUUUUUAUUCAACAAUAUGGUCUGAUUUUUUACUUAUAAGGGGAGAAAAGGGAAAUGUAUAACAGAUUAUGUCAAGGCAUAUAGAUGGUAAGUAAAUAUUUCCUAUAUUUUUUACAUCGUGCUGUUGCCUAUAGCUUAACCUAUUAAUUCACAUUUUCUAUUGUUCACCCAAAACCUAGUAUGCCUCCCCUUGAAUUUAUUUAUUUAUUUACAUGUAAAUAAACUUCCUUGAAUAAGUACCUAUUGUUAGAAUUUGGGGAUCAAUCAAUUCCUUUGCACCUAAAGAGAUUGUUUCUAUUGGGAAAAUUGACCAAUUGGCACACACCAUCUCAGUAACUCAUUUACUACUUCUAUCUAAAGUGGCUCAUUCUCUUUUUCAAUGUAACUUUUAAGUUGGCCAAUAUAUUCUUGAUCUUCAUUCAAGUAUCUUUUCAUUAUACAGGCACCUAGAACAUCUCGUGCAAGUUUAGUGAAGGGGCGUUCUCAAGCUAAUGCUAUUGCACAACAAGCGUUGAUUGCUCAUUGGCAAAGCAUUGUGAAAAGCCUGAAUUAUUACUUGAAGAUAAUGAAAGCAAACCAUGUAAGUGUCACAGUCUGAAAUAUAAUGUCAAAAACUUAUUGUUUUUCUUCUUACAGCAGUACCUCAUUCUGUUGGUUAUUGUGACUGUACAGGUUUCGCCAUUCCUACUCCGCAAGGUCUUAACUCAGAUUCAUUCAUCAAUGUUCAGUUAUUCAAUAGGAAAGUGCACUCAAACAUGGCUUUUUUCUUAUGAUCCCAGUUGCUUUGAUUAUGUAAUGUGAGUAAGUGGCAUUUUUAAAUUCAUUUUUGUAGUCUCCUUUUGAGGCGUAAAUGUUGCUCAUUCAGCAAUGAGGAGUUUGUUAAGACAGGAUUAGCUGAGUUAGAAAACUGGUGCCAUGAAGCAACCGAAGAGGUGACAUUAAUUACUCCUCUGUAACCUUUACACGUUGAUGUCUUUAGCAUGUGGCCUAAUAUCUGCUUCAUAUUCAGUAUGCUGGCUCAACUUGGGAUGAACUAAGGCAUAUCAGAUGAGUAGUUCGAUUCCUGUUUUUAUAUAGGACUCAAACAGGAUUCAACAAGUUAGAGAAAAGAACUGAAAGAACUUCUCUCAAUGGUUCAAAAUCAUCAUCAUGAAUGAAGACAACUAGCACCUCUGAUUUAUUGCUAAAACAAUUGCAAAGAAUAGGAAAGGAUUGAACUUGAUUAUGAAUCUCUCAAGAUGGUUCCACAAGGGUUGAAUCCAAUGCAACAUUUUUUUCCAUAUAUCUAUAAAAGAUCUUUGCCUUUGUCACAUUUAUAUGGCUCUUCAAGCUCUUUCAUAUGGGAUAGUACCAACAAUGCCUUUCUUGAAUACACAUUUUUUAGACAUAUAGGGGUGCCUCUGAGUAUCAAACAAUUAUAAUUUAUCUGUUCUAUAAUUAUAAAAAAUUCUUCAAGCUAUAUGCUAUGAUCAUCUCUCAUCAUAAGCAUCUGGAAUCAGUACUUUUAGGUCCAUUGUUUUCAUAGGAUACUUGAAUGCUCAUUCUGAUGUUUGACAUAUUAAAUAUCAUUUCUCAAUGGAAAGAGGGUCUUAGGUCUUGAAAAUCAGUGUAUAAAACAUAAAUUAAUACAAUGCCAUAAACUGAUACAUGCUGAGCUUUACAUGAAUGUCCAUGUCUUUCCUUAAUCAUCCAUGAGAAACUAGAAGUACACUGUUACCAAUAUCUCCAUCCAAGCUCAUUUGUUGGACUUCUUCAGGAUAAAGGAUCUUGAUGUAGCUUACCCAGUUCACAAACUCCCUGAAAUACCCCAAACGAGACAGCAUAAUGUCACAAACUUAGUCUUUUCCUAAGCUCGUGCGGCACUUAGAUGAGUCAAGACACUUGAUCUUGCUAAGUCAGCCUUACUUCCAAUGCUUAGCUUGUUCUGCUAAGACGCUCGUGACUUGGGAGGUUUAGAAGGCGUAGUAGGUGACUCUUAAAGAAUGGAAGCUUUAUUGCUUUCAAAGGAAGCUAUACAAUGCUUGGAAGCUAUACAAUGCUUGGAAGCUCACUUGCUUGGUUAGGAAGUGAUUUGGGUGGUGCCUUGGCCAAAUGAGGCUCUCACCUAUUUAUAGGUACCAAUGGAACUCUUUGGAACCUUGGAGGGUUCCUUACAAAUCAAGAAGAUUUUAGAAUACUCUACACAAUUCUAUGUACAACCCUAUGUACAAAAGAUCUCUAGAAUUCUUUAGAAAGCCUUGGACUCCUCUCAUGCCUUCCACCAUAGUGUAGAGAUGUGUGGACAUCUCUAGGCAUCUCUAAAACCUUCCACACUCUUCCCUCCAAUGGCUUAGUGUAGAUGGCUCCAGGAGUCUCUAGAAGCUUCUCGGGCUCUAUAUAAACCCAUGAGGAGGCUCAUUUGAAGCAUCCUAUGACACUCUCCCCCACCUAUGUCGUCGACGUCCUCGUCGUUGCCUCUUUCUGAAACCUCUCGAUGUGUUUCCAGAACCUUCUCAAGGCAUCCGCAUGUUCCCAGCUUACCUAGCUCCUUGGUAGUCCUUUUCAUCAGACUAGAUACUCCAUCACAGGAGGGACCCCUUGUCUCUUGGUGACCCGUUCAACUAGGAUAUUUUUCACCUCCUUUUCUCGUGAGGCCUCGGAUGGAUGCAAAUCCCUACACUUUCGAUGCUUGGAGUGUUGCUUCCUCUUACCCAUCAAGUUCACCUUUCCCUUGGUGACGUUGUCGAUGUAUGUGCGGGCUACCUCAGCUCGCUCCCCUUUUGCCUCAUUUACUUGCACCCCUGAUAGUAAGGAGGUCUUAGGCGUACUAGGCUUUAGGUUGAAUUGGAGGGCACCUAGUAGCUACAUUGAGUCCAUAUGUGCUCCGUCCUCCUAUUCCCUCUCCUCGAUCAUGGCACUGAGUGCCUUUCUCUUUGGACAAUCCCAUGCCCAAUGUGGACCAUCACAUAAGAAGCAUUUGAUUUUAGACGUAAACUCCUUCCUUUCCGCCUCACCUCUUCCUUCUCAGACGUUAGGCGUCUUGCCUGAUCCCAUUCUAGGAGUAUUGUGGUCCCUUGAAACCUCGUCUCCCCCACCCAUGGCGUGGCUAUCCUCUAAAGACUCAACCUUGGAGGAGUCUCCCCUCUUGUAAUCUGUUAAAGACUCUGCUAGUGCCAUAGCAGUGGCUAAGUCUUAAACACCUCGGCGUCUUAAUUCCUACUCAACCCACCCUUGCAGAUUAUCCAUGAAGUUGGAUAGCAACUCCUCCUCAGUCAUGUUAGGAAUCUCAAGCAUGAGCGAAGAGAAUUCCUUGACAUAGUCGCGUAUUGAGCCUAUAUGCUUGAGAUGCCUCAUGUUUUUCCUAGUCAGGUAAGCCACGUCCUCGUGGUAGAAUUGCCUCUUGAUUUCCCUCUUGAAGUCUUCCCACGUCUCUAUGGUGCAAAUGCCUUUCUCCAUAUCGGCAAACCUCCGACGCCACCAUAGAGUAGCUGUGUCAAUAAGGUAGAGGGUUGCAGUCCUUACCUUAGCCACCUCAUCAAUUAGUGCGAUAGCCUCGAAGUAUCGCUCCAUAUGCCAUAAGAAGUUGUGCAACUCCUUGGCAUUCCCCUUCCCACUAAACCCUUGUGGCUUUGGCACCUCCACCCUAGAUGCCUCUUGGGUGGCCAUGACCCGUGCCGACACAGUAGCCUUUAGAUGGCCAGCUCCUGCCUAACCUCAUGGUCUCGGGACUCUAUUCGAGUGGCUAAGGCCUCUAUCCUUGACUCCAUGCUAGCAAGCAUGCUCAUUGCCUUGUCUUGGAAGGACAUGAACUCCUCGUGUGACACCGGCUAAACUUGUGAGCCUAGCACUCUCUCACGAAGGUCUUGGAUCUGCUCCCUUAGAUCCUCUAAGCCCUUCUCCAUGCCUUGCUAGAUCAAGUCCACCCCUUCGCGGGUGUCCACCAUGGCUAGCUCCACUUUAGCUAACCUUGCCUCCAUGUUGGCAACGACAUCACGAGACUUAUCCUUCCUGCCCCUGCCCCGCAUAGUAGGCUCAAUCUCUCUUCCACGGGUUUGCUCACUAGUCUCCUCCACAUUAGAGCCCGACAUGCUUCCUUUACCAUGCCCGCUUCAUAGCCGCGCUCUGAUACCACUUGUCACGAACUUAGUCUUUUCCUAAGCUCGUACGACACUUAGACGAGUCAAAACACUUGAUCUUGCUAAGUCAGCCUUACUUCCAAUGCUUAGCUUGUUCUGCUAAGACGCUCAUGACUUGGGAGUUUUAGAAGGCGUAGUAGGCAACUCUUAAAGAAUGGAAGUUUUAUUGCUUUCAAAGGAAGCUAUACAAUGCUUGGAAGCUCACUUGCUUGGUUAGGAAGUGAUUUGGGUGGUGCCUUGGCCAAAUGAGGCCCUCACCUAUUUAUAGGCACCAAUGGAACUCUUUGGAACCUUGGAGGGUUCCUUACAAAUCAAGAAGAUUCUAGAAUACCCUACACAAUUCUAUGUACAAGAGAUCUCUAGAAUUCUCUAGAAAACCUUGGACUCCUCUAAUGCCUUCCACCAUAGUGUAGAGAUGUGUGGACAUCUCUAGGGAUCUCUAAAACCUUCCACACUCUUCUCUCCAAUAGCUUAGUGUAGAUGGCUCUAGGAGUCUUCAGAAGCUUCUCGGGCUCUAUAUAAACCCAUGAGACAAGGGUAAUAUAUAUAUAUAUAUAUAUAUAUAUAUAUAUAUAUAUAUAUAUAUAUCAAAGUUUUACACCACAAUGUACAAUAUCACCCAACCUUAAAAAGAUGGAAAACUUUUCGUGCCAAGCUGGUUGAUUUGUCAACAUUUUGGGCAGUACCAGCCUGUCCCUCGCUCCAACAUUUCAAACCAUAUUGUAUUGCCCGUGUUGCAUUAGGUUUAGGUUUUUUGAAAUACAAAAUUACAAGAGCAAGUUCUGCCCGUGUUGCAUCCAGAGUACUCAUCUUUUAACCAAAAUUCACCUGCUAAGUCAAAACAUCAACGUUCAUUUCACGAGAAAAAAAAAAAAAAACAUAAUAUACAUGUAGAGAAAAUUACAUUGACCAAAGCAACAACAGUAAAAAAAUUGAAUAAAAACCACAUGAAAAAUCAUGCUUUCACGCCAAUAAAUAAAAUGAUAUUUAUUGUCCAAAUCAAAUGAAGCUAGCACGAAGUCAACUUGUUGCCAGAAUCAGAUAUACAAUCAAAGCUAUUCUUAAUAAGAGUAAGCAAUAGUUCCAUGCUAUUAAAACUGCAGCAUUAGACAAAGCAGGGUACAGAAAAAAUGCUAAUAGCCUAGUUAUUUAUGGUCCAAAUAACAUAUUCCAAAUCAUGGUUUACUCUCAUACCCACAACAUAACUAACGCUCAAAAGAAUCACUCUCCUUCAGAAUCAUUUUCAGGAGGAAAAUAUAUUAAAAGUAACAUAUCGAAAUAUAAUAGAACAUAUAGUUGCAUUUUAAAUAAAAUGUUUUAUUAAUCCACUUUUUACUAAUGGAAAAAGCAAAAUGAUAUUUUAAUUGAGAUUGUUUAUUCCAUUCUAAAUAAAUACUCUAAAUGAACCCACACCAUCAUGCCACAAUUCAAUGUACUGGUGCAACACACACCACAUUGAUCCAUUUUCUAGAUCAAACUCGGCUAGUUAGGAAAACUUGAAGUAAAUAGAAGUUUGCCAAAGUACAAAUAUACCAUCAUACAUGAUCACAAUGUUAAAGCUAUAUCCAAUUUUACUCUCUCCAACAGUGCCCCCAAAGAUUGACAACAGAUCAACAAAAUCAACUGAAAUCAUGUGUUUUCUCCCCAUGUUAACCUAUGUUGUUAUUGGGUUUCCUCUACUCUCAUCCCUCCUUCAGUCUAAAAGCACCUAACAUAAGCGGGGGCAGAACCCAAAUAUAUAGGAAGUAUGGCAUGGGUGCCCAAAUUCAAAAUGGAAAAUAAAAAACUAGCACCCUCCCAUUAAUAAGAAGCCAACCAAUCAAUGCAAGCUAACAUAGACACAGAUCAAGCAUCAAGGCACUCUCCAUGACUUCCUGGAGGAGAUUUGGAACAGAGCUGAGGAUCCUGUGAGGACCUUGGUCCACGGAAUUCUACAGUGUGCUGUGAGACACCAAGAAGGGUAAAACUUCCAAUCCUUAAUGCAACUGCAGAAUAUCUCAUGGCCUUUGGUUAUAACUGACUGUCUAAAGCAACCAUUUUGUAUUUUUUUUUGGGGUGGGGUUUCGUUUUACUCCACAUACUUCUGUCUUAUACCAUUCUCUACUUGGGUUUUUAAGUUUUCAUGUGUAGACACAAGUACAACAAAAAUUAUGGCUAUCAAGUAGAUAUAGCCCUUUAACCAAAAUAAUGAGAAAAUCUUACAAGAAACAUAGACCAUUGUAGAUACAAAUAAGAAUACACUCCUGGCCAUUACAACAUAUGAACCUAAAUAGAAAGAAGACUGAUCUGAUCCCUAGAUUUGACAAAUAGUCAUGACAUUUGUUAGAUCAUCCUUGAUCCCAGAUAUGAUCUUGAGCAUUCAUCCAGAGUCGCUCACAUAAAUGAUUUCUCGCACUAAAAUAUUCCAUAUCUCAACAUAGUAUAUUCAUUUAUCCAUUCACAGUUUUCAUGGUUUCCUCCAUAAAUAUGCAUAUAUGUUCAUUUUUCAUUGUACCAGCACAUGUAUACAUAAUCUUAGCUUAUAUUACACACCUUGAAUAGUAAUAUGCAAUUUUUAUAAAAUUUUCCAGAACAAAUAAAAAUUAGUAUAGUAAUAUACAAUUGGUCAGGACAUUUACAGAACAAAGAGAAAUAAGUAUCAUGUCUGUGGAGAACUCAUUUGGGGAAUGAGACUCUUUUAACCCUCAUCCAAGAGGGUUUGAAAAGACAGUCACAAAUGAGGAUGAAUGGUUGAUUCUUCUCACUCCUUAACUAGACGACGCAAGACACUGCUACUCAAUGGCGAGAGGUUUCAGUUAUCCUAGAGAAAUGAAACCACCCAAUGCUGAAAAAUCAAACAUAAUAAGUUCAAAUAUUGAAAAAAUUACACAAGUAUGGAUACAAAAGCAUCAAGAAGCACACAUCCUCCUGCAUCCACCAACCACAAUAGAUUUGGUUUUGAUUUUAGACCAAUCCAAGCUGCUCACCAGUAUGCUACAAAAGGAUCAACAUUUAAUUUGUCCAUGAGACCAAAUAUCCUAUAACAUCACACUGAAGCAACCCAAAUUACUAAAUGGAACUAAAAUUUCUUCUUAAGAUACUUGGCUUGGGAAAUUGGUUAAGUAUGCUUCUUUAGAGAAACAAAAUGAAACUGACACAUCAUCAUAACACAAUUUUAUAGAGUACCAACUAAAUUACAAUUGAGUUAGGAAGAAUAAAUGUAAUGAUAGGUCAUUUUCCUUCCAACAUAUGUAGCAUUUACAGUUAAAGCAAAUAGGAACAUUAAUGGAUUAAGCCCCUAUAUGUCAAGACCGAAAAUGUUAGAAUGUGCUAAGUCCUCUCUUUUCUUGAUGAUACUAUAGCGCCUAAAAUGGAUGCAUCAACUUCAAUAACAAGUUAUGAGAACCAUUAGAUGUUUUAAAUCAUAAUUAGUAUCAAAAUAAUGAGAUUUUGCCUAGUGAUUCACUAACCAGGACCCAGACUAUGAUACUUAAAUCAAUGAGGGAAAUCAAUUACAUGUAGUAUAAUUCUCUUGAAUGAGAGAUCUUUCUAGGACUGGCUCGAAGAUUUCCGAGGAUUGGUGAACUCAGAGGAACUUCUCCAAAAACAUUAGACUAAUUUUUUUGUCCAUCAGAAAGUUGUCUCCCACCAGCACUGUUAUUGUCCUCUCUUUUCUUAUUGAUUGUCCCGGUCUGGUUAGACUUGAUCUCCUGCAUUGCAAACAAAAGAAUAAUGGCGUAUUAUGGAUAUGUGGUAAAAAAGCAAGAAUCAAACUCCAUAUCAUUGAUUGUAAUAUCAGCAGGGAUUGAACCCAAGCCAUGAUUUUGAUUUAAUAAAAAUUAAGAUGGAUAAUUAAUAAUUAAUAAUUAUUUAUAUGGGGCAAAUUGUUUUCAUGAUUUGUUUCCUUUUUUUUUUUAUCAUACUAAAUCUAAAACUCAAAAGGGUCACCCACUUCUCUCACUUGCUCAGGCAUCAAGAAGCCUUUUUUCUGAAGUUGCUCUCCAGACGAGAGAAUCCCUAAAAAGGCCCUAUUUUCCUCUGCCAGGUACUAAUCUAAUCAUGUUUUUUUUUUUGAAACCCCCGUUUGAUUCCCAAGAAAAUCCAUCCCCCAUUUGAUUUUUGCGAAAAUUCAUCCUCAUUUGAUUUCCGACAAAAUCCAUGCAAAACCCCCAAGGAAAACAAAAACAUUUGUUUUUUUUUCCUCCCUAUGUUCUCAGGAUCUGUUCUAGGGGUCUCUUUGCUUUUGUGCCAUUGGAUUUCAAUUUCACAAACCCUAAAUCCACGAUUUUUGAGCCAGGCUGAAAAAUACAACCUUUGCCAGCAAAUCGUGAUCAGAUUACCAAAUAGCAUCUUAGGUUUUUUUUUAAAAAAAAUAAAAGUUUGGACAGAUUUUGCAUCCUGCGUGGGCUGGGCUGGUCGGAAAUAUCGGGAAAAUUUCUCGAAAAUACGGUAAAAAUUACCGAUAAAUACCGAAAUAUUUCUCCAUAUUUCAAACACUGGUGAUUCUCAAAUUUUUUUCCUCAACGAUUCCCCACAAACAGCCGUCUUGUGAACAUAAAAAUUUAAGAUAUAACAAAAAAAAUUCCCCAAAUAUUCUAAAUCACAGGGUUGUGAACAAUGUAAAAAAACUUUCGGCCCAAAUAUUUUCUCAACAGCCAAACAAAUCCUUAAAUGGAAAACUCACCUGCAAUUAAUCCAAAAGGAAGAGGAAGCUCCACUUAAGUUUCUAGAAACCUUCAAAAUAUUCCACCUUUGAUGAAGAAAUAUGAAGAUAUGGCUCAACUUUGGCUUCAUUGAAGGUUUUCGGAAGAUGGCUAUCGGGUUUGGGUGGUCAGCUCGUGAAAAGAGACACUAGGGUUAGGCCAAAAUGAGACGAAAUGAGAGGAAAUAACAGAGUUAUGAAAAUGCAGAGCAAACGAGCCAUGAAAAUGUAGAUCGGGUUAGGGCAAAAUGAGAGGAAGUGACAGAGAGUUUCCCCAAAUUUCAAAGUUCAUCGGGUCGGGUGUUCUAUGGGUUUUGCAAAUUUGAUAACUUUUAAGUUUUAGAUUUUGCGUUUAUUAAAAGCGCAACUUCCGAUGACAUGGAGGUGAUGGUUGCUAACAAGAUGCAUGGAUGGGUAAUUUCAAAAAUGCAAUUAUAAACAGUAUAUAGUGCAUGAAAAGGAAAAAAUUUCUUCAAAUAGUGGAGCUAUCUUGGGUUAUGCAAACUUGGGUUUUGAAAACAAUUGAGAAAAAUGGGUUCCCGAAACACAACUUUCCCAACUUGGAAUGGCGAAUUCCAGGUGGGAAUCACUCAUUCAUAUAGAAGCACAACACCAAGUCACUAACCCCCAUCACUUCUAUCAAUUCAUUUUUCACCAACCCCCAUCAAGUUUGUGGAAUUUUUGGACUCUCAAGUAUUUUUUAUUGAUAUAUUUUAUUUCAAAGAAAAGCUUGUCUCACCUUUAUGGUGCCUCUGAUAUAAGGAUGGUGAUUGCAUGACCAGCAGGUGUCUUUGCAAUAAAAUUUUAUGGAAUUGAUAUAUUUUUUAAUUAAAGAAUCCCAUGCAUUAAUUUUAUUUAAAUAAAGUUUAUUUAUUUAAUAAAAAUAUAUAAUUAUGCGCAGAGGAGAACCCACGAAUAGUCAUUUUAGGUCGCUUUCGGUCUGUGAAAUUUUAGGAUUACUUAAUUUGAUUUUUUAGCUCUAAAACUCGUUAAUAAACCUAACAUAUGAAAUUGUAUUGAAUUUGAAGUCAUUUUACACACGAAGAAAACCCAAUAAAGUCAAUAAACUUGGUGAGGGAGGAUUUGGUUUAUGAAUAAAAAUAUUAAUUUUUAAUUUAUUCUUAUCUAUAUAUAUAUAUAUAUAUAUAUAUAUAUAUAUAUAUAUAUAUAUAUAUUUUUUUUUCCAUCGAUUGAUCAUCCCUUUAUCAAUUUUCUUGCAUAUCCGAUAAUGAAGGCCAAUUUGAUUGUUGUUAAUCGGAUUGUUGAUGACAUAUUAAUGAGAAGUUGAUGAAUGCUUAAUUGAUCUCAUGUUAAUCGAUGCCUAUUAGAAUUGAAAUUAGAGUUAUUUUCUUUGAAAUUAUUUUUACUUGAUUGAGGCCUUUGAUAACAUACAAUAGUGGCUAAGAGAUCCUUUAUUUGAUUUUUUUUGCCUUUGGUUUUAUUUUUCAUUUUUUUUUUAUUGUGAUGUUUGGAUUGUUCACUUUGCUGUUGUUUUGUUAAAAUUAUUGAACCUCUAUAAUUUAAAAAUUGAAUUAGGCUAUUUCAUGUCUCUCUAAAAUUUUUCUUAUGAUUGCAUGAUGUUGUAGACUUCCCAAAUAUAUUGAUAGAAUUUUGUUUGAGUCUAAAAUCAUUUUUCAAUUAAGAGAUAUAAACCAAUAUUUCAAUAGGUCCACUUUUUUCACUCUAUUUUGGACACCAAUUUUAUUAUUAUUAUUUUUUUUGUAAAAUUAAAUUAUCUCAUGAUCUCUUUAAUUUGUUUUGAUAUUUUUCCAUUAAUAUCAAUUCUUAAAUUUAAUUUUAGGCCCUGAAUUUUUGAAAAUUAAUUCUCCAAGUAUAACAAAAAAAAAAAUUUUCCUACACCUAUUGCACUAACCCUUUUUAUAGUCAAGGAAAGUUGGCUUAAUUUAAAAUUUCACAUUGUAUAAGUCAAGUUGUUAUUUUUUACGUAAGUUAGAUAUAUUGAAGGUAUUGUACAAUUUUUUUUUCAUGAUUUUAUUAUGCAUAUAGAUAGGUUAAUUAAAUAAGUCUUUUCAUGCUAUAGAAUUUUGCUCUAUUUUUUAUCAAUAUAAUUGUGAUUAAAUCAAGUAUUAAAUGAGAUACGAUUGAAUGAUUUAGCCUUUGGGUUGCAAUCUAGACACAUAAGAGAUAUUGUCCAAGUUUUUUUAUGGUGAAAUUCCAUAUCUAGAUAUUUUUUUAGGAUAUAUUUUGAAGGUGUCUUUAAUCUAGAUGCAUGUCGAUUAUUCUAUAGAGUGUCCUUGAUGUGAAUUAAUCUAGUAUUGAUUGACACGUAAUUAAAUGUUUUGGGAUUUUGUAUUGUAAUCUAGACACAUUGAAGAUGUUAUCCAAUUUUUUUUUCAUUAUGCAAUAACACCUCUAGGUAUUUAUUUAUGAUUUAUUUUAAAAACGUUAAUGUUCUAACCCAAUGCUGAGUAUUUUGGAUGAUUUGUUAUUUUCACCACUUUUUGCACAUUUUUAAAUCUUUUGGACCAUUGUUAUAUAUUGUAGACCUAUUGUAUAUGAUAAGUGAAUUUUUUUUUGCACCAUAAACCCUUAUUGAAUAUUUUAAUUGAACUCAUUUUAAAAUGGUAUGCAUACUAAAAGUGUAUUGAACUUACAUGACCAUUGUUACUUGUUUUUUUUUUAUUCUUUUAUUGGAGUAGUGGAUGCAUUAUGUAUGAUGAUAGAUUUUUAUUAAGAUUUUUCAUGUCUAUUUUUUAUUGUUUGUGAACUAACCCUCGUUGAUUUUAUGAAAACCCUAUACAUGUUAUUAAGGUGUAUUGCUCUCCUUCCUUUCAUUUUUUUAAUGCAUGGUUCAUUUGAGUGAUGCAAAUUAUGAUUUCACCAUUGUCUUGAUUGUGUAUUACUUAUUUUUUUGGUAUCCACUAAUUUAAAAAUCAAUUGUUAUAGUUGUCUCAACUCAUUAGUAGAGACCUUUAUUUAGGCCUUGGAGGGGUGCUAUCGUAUGAUACAUCCCCAAUAGGUAACCUAACUCUUGGAUUUAGACUCGUGUUUUCAAAGACACGUUUUUUCAAAUUAAGAGUCACUCUUAGGGUUUUAUUUCUUAUUUUGUUUUCUAUUUUUUUUAAAAUAAAAUAAGUGGCAAUUCCGCCUUUUAAAAAAAUAUUUUUUUCAUAAAAAAUGAGUUAUCAUCAAGUAAGGAUGCACAUGAAAAAUGUAAGUCCACUAUAAGGCUAUAUCAAUUGGUCUUCCCUCUACAGAAUAUUCAUUCAAGGAGCUAAUGGCUAGAUUAUUUUCCAAUAAUCAUUCAGUUGUUGUUUCGCUCAUAAAAUAGGAGAAGAUUUAUUCUUUCCAUUUGUAUCAGCAUAACUUAGCUAAACUUAAGCAGAAGUAGUUGACUUGUCUUUCAUUUUCUACCCAUUUUUGUAUAUAUAUUAUGCUCAACAAUGGUAAUUUAAUAAGGGUUUGCUAUUGUUUUAUUCUCUUGCACAAACUAUUCUUCAAAGUACUCAACUAUGGCAUAGAUAAACCUUUCAUCUACUUGACAUUACUCAAAAGGCCUCGACGUUACUCAACAUUAUCUGAGCUUUUCUCCUACAGAUGCUUUGACGGCAUGGCAAUGCAACCAACCUCAAGGCAACGACACCCACUUACAUACUGUGUGAUAAAGGAGAAUCAUUUGAUUCUCCAUAAGAUUUGCUAUAUCCUAAUUUGGUUCCAUAAAAUCUGAAUGUAUAACUAUAAAUAUAUGUAGAUAUGUUUUCAAUAUUUGUAUUUCAAACCUUUCCUGUUUUAUAGGAUCACAUUGUUGUUAUUUAUUAUAUAUAUAUUUGAUGUUAUCUUCUGCACACGGCAAUGAGGAUUUCAAUCAUUAUACAUUGUUUAUUAAACAUCUUUUUGGUAUCAGAGCAAGGUUUUUUUCUUUGAUUCUAACCAUGGUUGAUUCGGCUUCUUCAUUUCCUUCUCUUCCGCUUAACAUAAUGGUGCAUAUGCUGAUUCAUGCCCGAUUGGUGUUCCAAUUGAUUCAACUCAAUUGAUGUGCUUUGAUCUCAAUCCUCAUACGGGAGUAAUCAACAAAAUUUAUAAACCUAUUUCACCAUAUACCGGGGUAGCAUUUAGCUAGCAUAGUAUAGUGGCUCUAGGAUCGUCCACAGAGAUGGGUUUUCACUUUGCAAUUGAUAUUAGUUCAAAAACUAAAUUGGUGCUUUUUCUUUUCUUUUUUAGCUUUAAAAGAAGACAUAAGUUUGAAUGAAAACGGAUGGUAUUAAGCUAACCUAACAUAAAGUAACUAAAAUUAACUAAAAAGAAAUUAGAAAGAAAGGUGUUUCUUGGGAUUUCAGGUUACUAGGAUCAGGUGCCAAUUGCAAAGUGGAAAAUUCCAGAUUUUUCUCCUCGCAUUGAGUAUUUAACCUACAGUUAUUUCCCGAACCGAUAUAGGUUUAACAAUGAAGAUUUAAUCCAUAAAAAGUCAAUAGAGAUGGUAGUCAAGUUCCGUUAAUGGCUUUAGACACUAUGGGUCUUCACCUUAAGCCACUUUCCAAUGGCUCGUACAUGAUAACUAAUGGACUGAUGUGGAUCUAGCAAUAAGCAUCCACAGAGACCUGAAGCUUGCCAUGUAUUGGCCAUUCAAAGUGAUUCUAAGGGAUUUAAAGCAAAACUUUAGAUUUAAAAGCCAUUUAUGAACUCCAACUACCUGUAUUUAACGCACGAGAGUUUUCCACUUUUUCAUCUAGACUUUUCACCUAGCUUCCUUCACUCCAAGAAACCAAAGGUUUAGCCUUUCAUCCACUGGGAAAACAUCCUCAGAGGUUGUUUGACUUCCAAGAAAAAGAAAAAUAAAAGAGAAGGAAAAACAGAGCAAGGCUCUGUAUAUUCUAUAUAUUGAUCUAUUUUACAUACUUCUAUAUCUAUAUGUUUUACAAUGGAUGCAAGGGAAUAUAUAUAGAGAAGUUUUUCCAACCUUCCUAGCUAAGAAAUCUUAUUGUUGGUGGAUUACAAGGAGAAGAAUGGAAAUUUAUACAAAAAUAUCUAAAAGAAAAUAUCUCGUGUGGAAUCGGCAAAACAGAGGAGAUUUCGCACCACGCAUGGGCUGCUGUGCGAAAUUCAAGGUGUUGUGCGAAUUUCAAGGUGUUGUGCGAAUUUCGCAUAAGCCUGGAGCAGUUGUCUUCCGAAGGCCAUAUCUUACUCAUUUCAGAUCUAAAUAGUACACGGUUUAAAACAUUGGAUUCUUGACUUCCUGAGCUUUGAAAUGGUAUAUAGCAUGUAAAAAAUAGACUUCAGAAAGUACUCCAAAAGUGCGAAGGAAGACUGCAGCUGCUGUCUCUGUUUUCUUCAUUCUGUUUGUUUUUCCUCUUUGCUUCUCUCCUUUACUUGGCUUGUCUUAAUGAUCCAAAAAGCUGUCAAAACACUCAAACUAGCCACAAAUAUGAUUAGAAGUCAUUGCUAGGUCCUUAACAUGCCAAUUGGAAUAAGAAUGGAGAACUACUACACAAAAGUGCUUAAAACAUAAUGAAUUAAAGGCACAAAAUAGCACUUUUUGGGUAGUUACCAUUAAACCGAUUUCCUCAAAUUACUUAUUGUGGAAAAAUCAGUUUGCUCCACUGUUAGCCAGUCAAGAUUUGUUUGGAUUUACUCUACUCUUCUCUUACCGAGGAGUCUAUGAGUGAAGUAUUGGGUUUACGUCAUUCUCAUGAGGCUUGGCGCGCUCUUGAAGUCUCAUUCUCGCACCGGUCGAAGACUUGUGAACUGCAACUCAAUGAUGAACUCCAAUUGAUGCAACGCGGCUCUCAUCCCAUUGCUGAGUUUUCCUGUACCUUCAAAGGUCUUUGCGAUCAAUUGGCUGCGAUCGAUCGUCCCAUUGACGACACAGAUAAAGUUCACUGGUAUUUACGAGCAUUGGGGCCCAACUACAAGAUCUUCUCCACCACCAUGAUGUCACAGCUUCCGCUACCCUCCUUUGUCGAGAUUGUUCCGAAAGCUUUGAGUCAUGAGAUUUUUGAAAGGUCAAUUUCGCACUUGUCUUCUAACUCUGCUUAUUAUGUGCAGCAUACUUCUAAAUCUGUAGGGGUUAAGAAAUGGAAGAAUUGGCCUCCCACUUCGUCUAGCUCUUCUACAAAUUCAAAGUCCUCAUCCACUGUUCACUGCCAAUUGUGAGACAAGAAUGGACACCUAGCCAAACAUUGCUGGAGCUUCUUGAAACUCAAGAAGAAGCAGUCGGGUAAUAUUGUUGAAGCUUUUUCAGCCUACUCAAUUCAAGACCCGAAUGACACUGAAUGGUUUCCUGAUUCUGGUGCAACGUCCCAUAUGACAAGUGACACCGAGGUUGUGGAUCAACCAACUCUUUACUUUGGUAAUGAACGUGUCAUGGUUGGAAAUGGUCAGCCUUUAGCAAUUUCUCAUACUGGUUCCAUUUCAUCUCUUAUGCCGUCUAGUUCUCUUCUUUUAUCAAAUGUCUUAGUUGUUCCUGGCAUUAAGAAAAAUCUUAUUUCGAGUAGUCAACUUACAACAGACAAUAAUUGUCUUGUUACCUUCUUUUCCUCUGGUUUUACCAUACAAGAUCAGGUCACAAGAACCAUACUGGGAGUCGGAAAAUGUGAAAAUGGUCUCUAUGUGUUAGAUCGUUGUCAUCAUGCCCUUAUGUCCACCACUUCUCCUUCACUGCGAGCCUCUGUUUGUUUAUGGCAUGCUCACCUUGGUCAUCGCAAUUAUCAUACUGUUGCUUCUCUUUCUAGAUUAGGAUAUAUUUCUUGUAGUAAUAAAUUGGUGAACAUUGAUUUUGAAAUUUGUGUUGGUUGUAGACUUGGCAAAAGCCAUCGUUUACCUUUUUCUCUGAAUGAUGAACAUUGUGCCAUGCCUUUUGAUUGCUUACACUGUGAUUUAUAGGGUCCGUCACUAGUUCUCUCUUUUACUGGAUAUAGAUACUAUGAGGUAUUCAUUGAUGAUUGUACCAGAUUUAGUUGGAUAUUCUUUUUAAAACAAAAAUUUGAUUUUUUUUUAUACUUCAUCCAUUUACAACAUUAUAUUGAGACUCAAUUUUCAUCUAAAAUAAAAUCCUUUCAAUGUGAUGGUGGAAUCGAAUUUACAAAUAAUAAAUUUUGAUCUCACUUCCAAUCUUGUGGCAUUGUUCUCCAUUUGGCAUGCCCCUACACUCCUAGUCAAAACAGCAUUGCCGAACGCAAGCAUCGCCAUGUCAUAGAAACGGGUUUUACCCUUAUGUUCCAUGCACGUGUGCCGCUUUCUUUGUGGGUUAAGGCCUUCUCAACUACUGUCUUUCUCAUUAACCGACUCCCGUCACCGUUACUUGAUGGCAAAACUCCUUAUGAGCUCUUGUUUGGUAAGCAACCAGGUUACUCUAUGCUUCGCACUUUUGGGUGUCUUUGCUUCCCUCAUUUGAAAGAUUACUCACCAAAUAAAUUGUCUCCAAAAUAUGCUUCUUAUAUCUUUUUAGGUUACAGUACACUUCAUAAAGGAUUUCAAUGCCUCGACCGAACGACACAUCGUGUCUAUGUUUCUUGACAUGUGCAAUUUUAUGAAAAUAUUUUUCCUUAUCAUGGUGAUUUUGUACAAAAUUUACAAACCAACAUUAACUAUACCCCUUUUUUCUGAAUGUCAGGACUAUGUGUCUAGUUCUUCUAAUAUUGGUUCUUCUCAUUCAUUUUCGAGUUCACCAUGUUUGUCUUGCAGUGAUUCUCCACACCUGUCCUCAGAUCCUCCCCCUGAUCUACAAGGUCCUAUUUCUAUGGAACCCCUCUCUGAUUCUACAACUUCAGACUCAACUUUUCCACCGUCGGUGUCUUCCGUUCCUCGUGUGACCAUUUCCAGCCACCCAAUGAUUAGCAAAGGAAAAACUGGUAUAUUCAAACCACGAUUAUAUCAUGCUAUGAAUGUUUUAUCUUCUUCUCAAACUUUCCAGGCACUUCUUGCUCUCAAAGAACCUCGGGGUUUUAAGUUUGCUACAAAACACCCUGAAUGGCUCUCGACUACGGAUUAUGAGAUUUAAGCUUUGAAGACAAAUGAUAUGUGGGUUCUUGUACCUCAUCCUAACAAUCACAAUGUAGUGGGUUGUCGCUAGAUUUUCAAAACCAAACUUCGAUCGGAUGGGUCCAUUGAGCGUCACAAGGCACGUCUCGUGGCUCAAGGAUUUUCUUAGAUUCAUGGUCUUGACUUUGGUGACACAUUUAGUCCUGUAGUGCGCCCUGCUACAAUCAGAAUUAUUUUUUCAUUGGUUGUUACUUCUAGAUAUUGUUUACAUCAACUAGAUGUUAAAAACGCCUUUCUACAUGGUUUUCUCAAUGAAGAGGUGUAUAUGGAACAACCACCUGGUUACACAAAUCCACAUGCUCCCACUGAGGACCACUUUCGUGCUCUCAAGCGCAUUUUGCGCUAUGUCAAAGGCACUCCUCAUCAUGGACUUCAACUCUAUCAACAAUCCACUCAUGAUAUUCUUGCUUACUCUAAUGCAGACUGGGCAGGUUGUCCUGAUACACAUCGUUCCACUACUGGCUACGCUAUUUUUUUUUGUACCAAUUUGGUUUCUUGCUCCUUUAAGAAACAAAGCAUUGUCUCUCAAUCAAGUGCCGAAGCAGAAUAUCGCUCUUUAGCUAUUGCCACUGCUGAUAUUGCCUGGAUUGUUCAACUACUUCGGGACCUCCAUGUUACACUCUCAACAACACCUAAAAUUCUUUGUGACAAUCAAAGUGCAAUUUUUAUGGCAAUCAAUCCGGUUACUCGCCCUCACUCAAAACAUAUUGCGAUCGACUACCACUUUGUUCAUGAACUUGUUGCUAAUGGCACUUCGAAAGUUGAUUUUAUCCCUUCACAUCUACAGCUUGCUGAUUCAUUGACCAAAGGUGUCACCAAGCCUCAGUUCUUUCUCUUCCGAUGCAAGCUCAGCGUUAUCCCUUCUCCCAUGCUCACCUUGCAGGGGGAUGAUAAGGGAGAAUCAUUUGAUUCUCCAUAAGAUUUGCUAUAUCCCAAUUCGGUUCCAUAAAAUCCGAAUGUAUAGCUGUAAAUAUAUGUAGAUAUGUUUUCAAUAUUUGUAUUUCAAACCUUUCCUAUUUUAUAGGAUCACAUUGUUGUUAUUUAUUCUAUACAUAUUUGAUGUUAUCUCCUACACACGGCAUAGAGGAUUUCAAUCAUUAUACAUUGUUUCUUAAACAUCUUUACUGUGCAAGAGGCCACAAUGGAAAAGUAUUCCUAUAAGUGGCAUAGUGUAACACACAAUUCUUCAUGAAGGCUCCAGUGAUUUCCUGCCAUAGAUAAUUUGAUGAUUAAAUGGUUAGACUACCACCUAGUAUAUAUAGUUAGGUACAAAAGAACAUCAUUUCCAUUUGCCAAAACCAUGUUAAAAUGUUGCUCCUUUUGUUUUUUAUUCAUGUUCAAGUGAGCUACCUGUUGGGGAAAAUCACCAUCUUCCAUUUGGGAAUUAAUCAACAGCUUUGCAGCCCUAUGAAGAGGUGUUGGGUCUCUCUCAGCCUGUUAAAAAGGAAAGGUUAGACUCAGAUGUUUGGGGAGAAGCCAUGUUGUGAAAGUAAUGUAGAAGACCAAGGUUAGCUUAUGGAUGGGGGAACUGUAAAAAUCUCUACCAGUAAUGUAGAAGACUAAGAUGUUUGUUCCACAUGCAACUUCAAUGAUGAGGGCCUUAAUCAAGCCACGAACAAUUUCUAUGUUUAUCAAAGGUUGGAGACAAGGGACUUCUUAUUUCAUCAGCAAAGUGUUUCAAUGAGCCUUGUGAUUUCUCUACCAGUCUUUGACGUCCACUCCUAUGAGCUAACAGCAAACCCAAGGUAUUGUCAUCAUGCUCAGCUUUGGGGGCCGCCACCUGAGAGCCCAAGUUUUGAACAAUUUUGCAAGAAUGGUUGCGAACCAAGACACUAAGAAAGUAACCUUCUGUAACUACCCAUUUGUCUUCAAAAUCGAAUCACAACUUCCUCUUUUAUUAAUUUCGGUGUCAAUCCAGUCUACCCUUUAUCUGCCCUCGAUUUUGAUCUCGGUGUCAAAUCACUCGGAUACACAGCCUGUACAGAAAAUGUGGCACACUGAAAGGUGGCCAUGCAGUUUUCAGAAACCAGUAACACAAGAAAAAGUGAGAUGACCAUGCAUGCAGAAAUUGAGCUUCAGCGUUUUGAGAGUGUUAUUCACCGACCCUUCGAUACAAUUCGACCCAUAACUUUCAUGAUCACCACAGCAAAGGAGUCCAUCUUCUUUCACAGUUUUGGACUGUCCAAUUGAUUCCGCAUUAAGAUCUUCAGUUCUUGGGCUUAUUGAACGAGGUUGUCACAUUACCUCCAAUUGCCUCCACUUCUAUCGAUCUCUUCCUCCUCCUUUCAGUUGCUCAAACCUUACCACCCAAAUGAACUUCACUGCCUUCCACGAGCACAAAAACCACAAACUCCUAUAAAGCAAAACAGAGCAGUUUGAAGAAUGCACGGUAAAUGAGAAAUGAACCGAGAUGAGAUUUAAGAUACCCGAUGCGGAGAAGUGAAAUGUGCCAAAAAACAAAGUAUGAUCCAAAAGAACAAACAAAAGACCCAUUAAAUAGAAACCCAUUUCAGGUUGAAAUCAAUGGGCUCAGGUCAGUGGCAAAACUGAAACUAUAUCCAAACCUUUCCUCAGAUGAAAAUCAAAAGAAAACGUGAGAAAAGCAGAGUAAUAACACAAGUUCACAACCAAACAAACCAACAGUGUUCAGGAACCUCAUGAGAGGAUGAGAAACAAAGCAAUAAACGUAAACAAGCAAGGAAAUCACAACAAGCGUACCUAAAAAUCCUCCUCUCAAGCAAGAAUACGCUUGGCUUCCUGCUUUUCUUCCUCUCCAGAAACCUGUAAUCCAGCUAGCUCCAACCUCUGCUUCUUCUCCUUACUCUCUUCCAGCUCUUUCUCUGCUCUUACUUCAUUCUUCCUUCCACAGUCUCCCUUCUCUGUUUCACAGCUUUUUCUCAGCUCUCUCUGUCUAAGCUCAGCUCACCAUGGUUUCUUCUCCAGAAUCCCUACCCAGUUCACUCUCUCUCGGUGCCUUCUUUUCUUUUUCAACUCAUCCUCUUUCCUGUCCAAGACAUCUCUCUUCUCUCUCAGAACCCACUCACAGCCUACUCAGCUCAUCCAUGGUUCUUGCCCCACCCGAGAAUCCUUUCUCUCUCAAACCAAACAUCACCCCCUGAAAAUCCACAUCCUCCCUGUUGAAUCCCUCCGUUCUCUCUAGUUCACCCUCUCAAAUGGUUUUCUAAAAACAGGUACCUCACUCUCUCUUUCCCAAUCUCUCUGUUUUUCUCCUCUUCUCAGUUUUUCCUUUCUUCCUCCCAAGCGUAUCUCACUCAGCUCACCACCCUGUGCAACUCCCUACUCUUCUUCUGCUCUUCCUCUGUCUUGGGUCUAGCUCCCUUUGUUUUCUCCCUCUCUCAGAGCUCUCUCUCUGGUUCCUCUCUCAAAAAUGGCUCUCUCACAGGCUCACUUUUUCUCCUCUCAGCGCCGGCCACCCGAAUAUCCUCUGCACUCCCUCCUUCGGUAGAGAUUCCCCCCCCACAAAAUUUUAAAAAAAUCAAUCCUCCAAUAAUUGUGCUGGGACCUAAAAUAAUCUUCUAAUGGUUUUCAAAAUGUAGCUCAAAAAUCAAUAAUGAGCUAAGUAGGCACAAACUACUAAGGGACACGAUGAAAAAUUGACUAAAAAUGGAUCCUAAGCAUGUGCUAAAAAUCAAUAAUGAGCUAAGUAGACACAAACUACUAAGGGACACGAUGAAAAAUUGACUAAAAAUGGAUCCUAAACAUGUGCUAAAAAGGAGUAGAAUAAGAGCAAAAACUAAUAAUAAAAAUGUGUGUGCUAAGGACAAAAUAAAGGAUUUACAUAUAGCCACACCUACAUCUAUUAAAGAUUCAUUAACUAAAGAUGAUUUACAACCUUUCAAUAUGAGCAGCACACCUUGGUUGGUACUCUCCAAUAUUUCACAUUCACUAGACCAGAUAUCACUCAUGCAAUUAACGAAGUGUGCCAAGGUCUCCAACAACCAAACCAAAUUUCAAGGUCGUGAAAUGAAUUCUACGUUGUUGAUCAAUUGUUAGCUAAGAAAUGAAUAAUAGUUUUUAGGAGAGAGACUUUUAGAAAAAAAAAAAAACAGAAUCAAUGUCAAACUUAUUUGGGUUUAAAGAGAAUUUGGUUGAUAAUAAUUCAUGUGUAACUGCACUUCCUUUGUCACUAUCACCAUGUGACUCCAUAUAGUGUUUGGGAGAGUUAGAUCUUGGAACUGGGCGUUUGCAAAAAUAGCAAUUCCCGAAUUUAAUAAAAUGUAGAAGUGUAGAAAAAAGGAAAACGGAACUAUGGACUCAUGCUUCUACAUGAACUAAGCUUAGAUAUAUUGACUAAUCAAACUCUAGUAUUGAUUUUGCAUGAGAGGCGCAUAUUUAUAGACUCUAAAAAACUUUCUAGAUUUGAAAAUCUUAUAACAAGACUCACAAAUAUUGGACUCAAGUAAGUUUGUAGAAAAUUUCUGAACAUGUCCAAUUUAACAACCUUGCUUGAGAUUCCUAAUAACUCAAACUAGAAAUAAAAUAGGAAUUUUUAACAAAAUUAGGAAAUUCCGACUAAACCCAAAUAAGAAAAAACAUGAGCUACUUUUGACUACCAAACUAAACUAUCUUGACAUUUAAUGUCACAAAAUCACUUUUGGUAGACUAAAACUUGAAAGAAUGUAAUAAAUUGAGACACUAAUGACUCACAUCUACCAUAGACACCUCUUGUUGAACUGAAAAUGUAGGUCUUUUUUCUUUUUCUUUUUUAAAUAUCAGUAAACUGUUGAAAAUGUAGGUUAGUUUCUGUUGCUCUUGCUGAUCUGUUGAAUUGAUUGAAUAUCUUCAAUUAUUUUUGUGUUUUAAACCAGCUGAAAAUAGAGAAAGAAGCUCACAGAGUGAUGCAACAGUCAGUAGUAAUCAACCAAGCCUUCCUAAACUCAUACACUACAAGUGGUUGCUUCGAGCGGCUAUCUACAUCCUCUUUUUUCCUGCUGGCCAAUCCAUAGCCACUCUCUUGGGAAGAUUGUACGAUGACAAAGGUGGAAAUAGCAAAGGGAUGGCCAUAUUUGUUCAAUCAGCAGGGGAACUUCCCAAUUCUCCUUUCCCUCUUCUUUUUCUUCUCACCAUCCACCAAAUCCAUGCUUUGUUAGCCUCUCAAAGGCCCUUUUUCAUAUAUAGUUUCAACAAGGUACUUUUCGAAGAUGCAUUAAACCGUUCCUUUAUCUAAGUAGUGAUUUUGGCACUGCAGGGCUCUUCAAUUUCUUUCUUAAUUUUUCAAUUUGCACGAAUGUGGAAACUUUUAAACAUCAAUCAUUUGCUACAAUAAUAAUCAUGUAAAUUUGGUCCACUUUUCCCAUUCUCUAUAAUUGAUUAGCUUAGGAGCUGUAUGGAGAGGAAAAUGACAUGGGUCGGUGUUUGACAAUAAUAUAUAGGAAACCUCUGAUGCAGGCUCUUGGCAUUAAAAUGAGCUAAAGAUGGGUUUGGAAACCACUUUCAAAUGAAAAUUGACAUGCAUAAUUUUUGGUGUAUUUGACAAUAAUAUGAAACCUCUGAUGCAGGCUCUUGGCAUUAAAAUGAGCUAAAGAUGGGUUUGGAAACCACUUUCAAAUGAAAACUGACAUGCAUAAUUUUUGGUGUGUUUGACACAUGCAAUAAAAAUUACUUAAAUAGGAGUGACUUUGUCACAUGGCUUCAGAUGGAAUUACAGCACAGUAUUGGAAUUAGUAUUCAAAUGGCUGCCCACGUGGAGAGUUUUUUAGGCCUCAAUCUUAACAGCAUAGGUUGACCACUCGGAAAUUGGGACCACAACCUAGCCUAGGCUUGAUCUAGGCACUGCUUAGAGACACAUUUCACUUAACUUCUUCGAUCUGUUACUUGUAUUUAUUGUGACACUUAGUUGCUUCUUGUUUAUCAAACAAGCAAGACCUUUCGAUGUUUAUGGAUGAAUUCCUCUUGUCAGCAUUGGUUCUUUAAUAUUCACCAAAAAGUGAACAAGCUUGGAGCCAUAGGUAGAUAUUUUACAAAGCCUUCUAUACUGUUAUCUUAUGCUAAGUACUGAAUAUAAAUGUUGUUGAGGGUACCAACAGUGACAUGUAGUUGCAAUGUUGAUUAUGAGAACGCCAACGGCAUAGUGCAUCAACGGAUAUUUGAGUUUGCUGAGAAGGAGGCCUUUAUAUCAUCGACCAGAUCAGGAUUAUUUGAAUUUAGUAAGGUCCUGCUAUUGUUUUAUUCUCUUGCACAAACUAUUCUUCAAAAUAUGUUACCAUGACAUAGAUAAACUUUUCAUUUGCUUAACAUUGUUCAAAGGGCUUGACAUUGCUCAACAUUAUCUGAGCUUUUCUCCUACAGAUGCUUCUUUGGCAUGGCAAUGCAACCAGACUUAAGGCGAUGGCACUCACUUACAUACUCUGCAAGAGCCCACAAUGGAAAAAUAUUCCUGUGAUCUGCAUAGUGUAACAUGCAGUUUUUCAUGAAGGCUCCAGUGAUUUCCUGCCAUAGAUAAUUGAUGAUCAAAUGGUUAGACUACCACCCAGUAUAUAUAGUCAGCUACAAAAGAACAUCAUUUUCCAUUUCCCAAAUCCAUGUUAAAAUGUUACUUCUUUCGUUUUUUAUUCAUGUUCAAGUGAGCUACCUGUUGGGGAAAAUCACCAUCUUCCAUUUGGGAAUUAAUUAACAGCUUUGCAGCCCUGUAAAGAGGUGUUGGGUCUCUCUCCGCCUGUUAGAAAGGAAAGGUUAGACUCAGAUGUUUGGGGAUAAGCCAUAUUGUGAAAAUAACGUAGAAGACCAAGUUAAGCUUGUUGAUGGUGGAACUGUACAAACUGACCUGACCAGAAGAAAGCAGCCCCAUCAGAGCCCACCCGGUUUGUACCAGAUUUGACUUGUUUCCUUCAAGAGGUGUAUGUUUCUGUAUCACCAAGCACAAGGAUUACUUGUUUUUGUGCAUGUUUCUACCAGAAAACAGAGCAGUGGGUGGCAUGUAAGAAUUACCUUGUCCUGGCAAGAAAUAUAGCUCUCUCCCCAACCACCAUCAUCUCUUUGUGAUUUGAGUAGAAACUCAACAGCUCUACCAAUAGCAAGACAGUUGUGGUAAGUCCUGCCAGCAGCUGUUAGGCCCCCAAGUGCAAACCAUGAGCCAUAGGUGAAACAUACUCCCCAAAUGCCUCUUUGUUUAAAUGGAUUUGCACUGCAUAUAUAAAAAAAGAUUUCCCCAGUGAAAUAGUAAUAGUGGAGUUGAGAAACAUACCAUGAGCCAUCAGGCAUUUGUUGGUCUUCAAUGUACUUGGUAGCAUUUGUGAUGAAAUUGUCUAUCUCCUUCGUCCUGUGUCGGGGGUAUAACUUCUUAAACAAAACCAGAGCCUGAAUUGCUGAUGCAGUGCACUCAACAUACC
rnacentral:lncRNA from 1 species